UUGGCAUGAGCAAUGUUGAUUUCAAUAUAUACUAAAUGUUUUUACUAUAGAAGUAACUGAGUGAACUAGGACACAUUGUUGUACCCAAGUUAGUCAUUGUCUCCAGCUCCGUUGAACCCUUCUGCAUCUCCACCACCCCAAUCUUGAUCCCAAGUUAGUCAUCGUCUCCAGCUCCGUCGAACCCUUCUGCAUCUCCGCCACCCCAAUCUUGAACAUUUGCUGGUCCAUCAUCGACAUUAACAUCUAUAGCCACGUCGAAACCAAUAUCAUCAAUAGGGACUUCUUGCAGUUCUGGCACGGUCUUCUUAAUCUCCAUAGAUGCAAUGUUUGCGUCACUGAAAAAAUCAGCAUACGGCUUCGAAACCUGAACAGAGAUAUAAUAUUUAAAAAAUUCUUAAUUAUAUACGCUGCAUUGCUGUAGCAAACAAUAAUCUUGAGAUAACAUAUUUGUAUAUAGGCCAUGCCAAUUGCCACAUCUUAAUAAAACUGCAACUGGAAAUUCAUUCUCCAUUCUUGUCUUCUAGCCAAAUAAGGAAAAAUUUAAAUGUUCAUUAAAAUUUUUAUAAUUCAAAGCAGUAGAUGUAGAUGUAGUAGAAGAGGAUAUCGAAACUUUGUUCUGAGUGAUGGUAAGGGAGAUUCAAAGCAAAUUUAGUAUAAAAAGAUUUAACCACCUUACAAAGAGCAUUCCUCUUUUCUGCACUCUCGAUGAGAUUCUUCCGGUGCUCGUCUUUUCUCAAAGUUGAAGCAGAACCCACAACCUGAAUAAACAAAGAGGCAGCUUCUGUUAUAUAAGCAAAGCAAUGAUUGUACUGUACACAGUUCUGAAAAAAAUCAAAAAAAAGCGCUUCAAAUUUAUUACCCAAACAGAAGACCUUGCUCUGGUAAUUCUGACAUUCAUUCUCCCAGAAUCAGCAACAAAUCCGAUGCCUUUAUCUUUGCUUGCCCUGACACAUGAAAAUAUAGCAACAUCUUUUUCUCUUCCCUGCAUUAGGAACAUGAUACAUUUAACAAAAUUUACAACUUUUAGAACGAGGAAAACAAGUAAUGCGCAAGAUGCAUCCGGUGAUUAUAAAUUCAAAUAAAAUCUCAAGACGAAUAUAGAGCCGUAUUAAUCUCAACCAAUGAAUAGUAAAUUUUUAUUUCGAAGAGAAUAAAUUUGUUAGCAAAUCAAAGAACCAUAAAGUGAAAAAUUGCCUAAACAUGAAGCGGAAAGAAAUUUUUUACUUUUACCUGGAAUCCAUCCAGUGUUGAUGUCUACAAAUUUCUUUGAAUCUUCACCAAAGGUAUCCUUGAACUUAUCACGGAAGAGGCUUACUUGAGAUCUAUAGGGAGAUAUUAUAGCAAUUUGAGAGCUCGACUUGAGCUCUACAAAUCUAGCUAAUAACUUGUGAUACAUUAGCACAACAAACUCAGCCUCGUCAACAUUUACCCAAGAGCCACUAUUUGAAGGCUGGGACUCUUUUCGCUCAUGUAAAUCAAAAAAACAGAAAGGACCAAAGCAGCUGUAUAUGUGCCAUGCACGUCUAGUUUCACUUUCAACAGCAGGACCAUCCUCCAAGGCCUCCUUGUAGAAUUCUUUAGAAGGAAAGCUUCUUAUCUGCAAGCAGAUACACUUGUGUACAGUAAUAUUAUACAGAUGAUAUAAGAUAUCACCAGCCCUUUGUUAUAUAAUAAAAUAAUAUACACUUAUAGAAUUGGCAGUACUUGGGGCAGCUAUAUGUUGCAGCUCUGAGACAACCGACAAGUCAAACAAAGAUAUAAAGAUACAAGUCUUCAUGGUAGUUUGGUCCUUAACAUCUGUACCGGAUACCCCGCUUCUUGAAAUCUCUUAAACAAGCUCAUCCCGUACCUAUUCAAUAUUGUUAGGGAAAAAAUUAUGCAACAUAAUUACAUAAGAUGAAGAUGAUGAUUGAUAAACCGCCAUGUUUAAAACUAGUUUAUACACUACUUUGAACAUAUAUGCAUUCCUUACUUAUAUUUCUCGGCAACAGGAGAAAUCACAGUGGCUGGAGGUUGAAGAGGAUCACCAACCUAAAUAGAUUAGAAAUGAUGUCUGAGAAAGUAAUCUCAAAACAGAAGUGGUAAAAUUUAUCAGCUAGCAAAUUGAUAUAACCAAAUUGGCAUAAUAUAAACCUUUUAUUUUCACUUCCUAGUUGCCAAAAGAUUAUGACAAAGUGUUUAUAAAUACUAUUUUAUGUUUUAUGAUAUCUCAUAAUAUACAGCACCAAAAAAUCUUUUCCAGAGCCUCCCAUCAAUCAUCACGUGGAGUAUGCAAUGUGUUCAAAAUUUUCUUUGAAUUUAAAGUAACUGCUCGAAAUGAAAUUUUGCAAAUAGGGAUUUGUUCUUACUAUAUUCCAUCCUGUUUUAAUUGUCCCUUUUGAAAGCAAAAUUUGAUCUAAAUUAGUUGUCCCUUCUCUUCUUUCAAUGUGCAUUUAUCAACAAUCUUCCAAAACUACUCAUUCUUAUCUGUCAUUUUCAACUGUAGCAUCCUAAUACUAUCGUAAGUUGAUGUAAUAAAUGUGGGUAGAUAUGGGGAAACAGUACAACUUUUUAAACCUCUUAAUAUGUGUGAAAUCUUCAAAAGGGACAUUUAAUUUGGGAUGCAGUAAUACAUUACGUUUGUGAAGCCAGUAAACACGCAUUGCAUAUAUUCAGUGUUCUAAAAGUCAAUGAUCAAUCCCUAGAUGGUAGCUCACCGUCUCGAUUAAGCAUAUAUCAGGUCAAAAAUCAUUUUUCAUGAAAUCGGUCAAAAAUCGUCCAGUUGAUUAAAAUUAGUAAACUUCAUGAGAAAACAUUUAAAAUUUAAAUAAUAAUAAAAAAGGUAGAAACUUGGACAAAAUAGUAAGAGAAGUAUUAUUUCCGUAUGUAUUAUUCAUAUUUAGAUGGUAAAAUUAUUUAUUCUAAUGUAUUAAUAAAUAUUAAGAUUAUCUCUAACUAAGAUAACAAAAUAAUUAUAAGUAUAGUAAUCAUAUAAUAACUAAUAUAAUCCUUCACUGAUUAAGUCCGAUUCCACUUUUUACCACGCUGCAUAUAUGAAUUAACUAGCCAAUACUGUAAAAUAGUUGGAGAGAAAAUUCCAUAUUACUAGCAUGUUUUAUGUACCAGGAAUACUUGCUUGCAUCCAUUAGCCAGUGGAACAAGAGUGUUGCUGCUUCUAUCUAUUCAUGACAAAAAUUCAAAAUCAGAUGAAGAUCUAAAAUAGAUUAGAGCAGGUUCCUAAUAGUGUAUCUCUGAGCUUUUCUGAAAACAGACCUAGCAUAAAAGUAUCCUAACCUAAAUUUAGAUGUACUGAGUAUACAUUCUCACAUACUCAAGUAAAUAUCUAUAAUCUUCCACAGAUAUACUACAAUGUGUUCCACUAGAUGCUCAAGGGAACUUAGAUAUAACAUAUAAGAUAUAUUUGCCAAGUUUUAGUGAAGACCUGAUGUCCCCAAAAGGUGGUAAAAAGAGAAAAAAUUAAGGGAAUAACUAGUGGCGGACCCAUGAAUUGUAUUAAGGGGGCUAAGUUUUACUUUUAAAAAAUCACGAAUGAGAAAAAAUCAUUUCAAUACAUUAACAUUAAUAUCAUUCGAAAUCAUUACAUAUAAUAUAAAUACAAUUCUUACAAUGACAUUCUACUAGGUGCCAUAUUUUGAAAUCUCAUUAUAAUGUCUUUGACAUCAAUUGAAAUUUUUUUUGGGGGGGGGCUAAAAUUUAUUUUCACAAUUUUCUGUAUGCAUAUAAAAAAAAAUCCUUUUUUUUAAAGUUCAGGGGGCUCCAGGUCCCCCCCCCUCCCAAACUCCCACCCCCCGCGCGCCCGCCCCUUACAAGGUCCUCCCAUUGGAAUAACAAUACAACAAUAAUUCUAGUAUAAAAAUUGACAACAUGUGGAAGCAGUAACUUAUUAGCUACUUUGUUGUAACUAGCAAUAUUUGCUUAUAUGAAUGAUUCAAGUUGAUACUUGAAUGACUGGAGAAAAUAAUGAUACUUGCUGGUAUAAAUAAAAUUACAUGUUAUUCAAGUAAAUAUCACUAUUCGUAACUUAAACGUUUAUCAACAGAAUAAAGCACAAUUUGCUGUUACAACAUUCGACUGGGUACUAACCACUUUGAAUAUAUAACUGCUAAGAAAAUUAAUCCAUAUAUUAAGGCAAAGGUCAAGCAAACGUACCGCUUGGGCAGCUUCAUCUUUUAUAACAACAUCAAAAGUGCAAUUCAGUUUACUGAAAAGAGAUGAACCACUGAAACUGAGUGUAGAGAAUACCUGCAACAAGUUCAGGAAUCAGCAAAGCUUUCAAAGUUUAAUUUUAAAAAGAAGACUAGAAUAACAUACAAUCGCUGCUUCAUCUAAAAUUGAAUUACGGAUGGCAUUUUUAUCCCUUCCAGCACUUCCAUGCUUCUGUUUUUCACCAGUCUGGAAAUCCACGCCAGCAAUUUUUUGUUCCACCUAAAAAUUAGGACAUAAUGGAGCCUGUCUAAACGAAGGUACACAAAUUUUCAGAAAGUUUGCCAAUGUGUUUGUCUUGCCAGGUACUUGCAAGAUGAUCCAUAGAUACGGGAGCAAAAGAGUGAUGGACGUUGAGACCUAUUCGUACAAUUUAAGGGGUGUAUAAACGAUCACUUUCAUCAUGAAUACCCAAGAACAGCAAAAAAUGACGUAUAUUAGUUGGACACACAAACAAUUCUAUCACAAGGAAAAAGAUGUUACUUAUAGAAAUCUUCAGAACUGACAUAUUUAAGAUGGAAGGAUAAGAAACGUGGCAUGUUACAUUCAUAUGCCGGUAUUUUCUUGGAGAAAAGUUGGCUAGUUUUGCCUUUUCGUGUAAUAUCAAUUUGUGAGACUAGGUCAGAAACUGCAGCUAGAGUGCCCAUUUGGAAGUCACUCAUAGUACGAAACGCCUCCCAUUUAUCAGCUUCCAGGAUAACAGAGCAUAUAUCCUUUGAUUAUGGCACGACCCAGCGGGGCAUAAAUUGCCCAGAGUUGGUUCACCAAUCGCGUAAGGAAGGGGAUAGUCCCCACCAUCACAUGCCUGAAAGAGUCGUUUGAACCACGGAAGACUGCGCCAAUGCCUCAAGUGUUACCAAUUUCAGAAGGAACGAGAGAAUGUGUUCCAUGAACGUUUACUUUCAGAGUGCCUGGGUUGGGCGGAAUCCAGUGAUAUGCCAUGUUUGCGCUGUUGAAAAAGAAAGUAGAGCCCCGAAUUUUUAUGGCUGCAUACUUGCAAAAUUUGGAGAAGAUUUGUACUACUUAACGUUUGUAAGUAAAUGCUCGACUGAAGCUUGAGAAGAACCACCUGAGUUCAUCAUUGCUAAUACAGUUGACUUACACAUGGAACUCAGCAUGUAUUAGCAAGUGAAGAUACGGAAUCAAUGUAGGGAGUUCCAUGCAAGUUAAUAUACUUUGAUAAUUCUAUAUGAAGCAGUCUAGUAAUGACAACAAAAGUAGCCCUCUCUUGCAGGUCCAUGAUGAAAGCCAAUUAAAAGAAUUUUGCCAAGCAUAACUUCAUGUUUUCUGCCGACCACAAAGCAUGACCUACUAAAUUAAUGUUUUUGACGUAGUAAAGCAGCAUCUCAACUAGAGAAGCGUGAAGUACAGAGAAAGGCAAGGCCCUCUCUUUCCUUGUCACACCUAUGGAAAGUACUUCUCACGCAAGGCAAGGAGAGCAGCAUCCGGUUCAUGCACUUCAAUUAAGUACAGUAACGCAGAUGCCAUAGAUGCAUCUGCUGCAAACCGAUGACCAAGCAUUUCAUCUAGGUACACCUGCUUCAUAGUAAUUCUUAUUCUGUAAACAACCGCAGAAAAGCAUGUUCAAUGUGACAUCAUUAGGCAAGCAAUCUUUGGCUUCCGUAUAGUUCACUCGCUUCAUCCAAUAACCCUUCAUGACAAUAUGCUUGGAUCAUCACUGUGUAUGUCUUGACAUCAGAUGGCACACAUUUCACAGGAAAGUUGUUAAAAAUGCUUCUUGCGUUCUCCAGAUGUCCAUUUUUGCUUAGUCCAUCAAUCAGAACAGUGUAAACCUGUAUAUCAGGAAUCAGAAGUUAGUUAAGCUUAUUGUGAUACUUGUUUAUGGCUACAUAUUGAAGUUUUAGCGCUCAAUGUCCGGGCAAACAUGUUUGCUUGUUUGGGAACAGGAUUAGGUUUCUGUUAUCUAUUUAAAUCAGGCAAGUGGUUUUUAGUAGUACUAAUAAAUUAGUCUGAUGCAAGUCUGGAUAACAACAUUUCAAGUACUUUAACUGAGAAACAGCUCAAUGUAGUAGUGUACAGAGGGGAACAAGGCUAGUGAACAAACAGCUGGCAGAGUGCUUAUAGACUUGCCUUGAUUAGAAGACUUUAGUUUAACUAUUAGCACUUGCAAUUUCUUAACAUUUAGGCAAUGCUUAUCAGCUUCUUCACGAGAACUUAAAACACAGAAACACAAAUAUUUAAGAUGGAAGGAUAAGAAACUUGGUAUGUUAGAUUCAUGUGCCGGUAUUUUCUUGGAGAAAAGUUGGCUUGUUUUGCCUUUUCGUGUACUAUGCAUCCAUCAGAAUUUACAUGUAUAAAUAACAGGGCUAGCAGUUGAACAAAAAUUCAUACAGGAACCAUUUAAUUGAAUAUCAUCAUAACAGGAAAUAAAGGUCUUAUAUGGAGAUUUUAACUGAACAACAGAAGUGCAUCAUCGAGCUAUUAAAAUCCAAAUUAGAAUCAUAUGAAGCAACUAUUGCAAGAAUUUCUUACGCAAAGCAAGAAGAGCCGUGGAUAAGUGUUUUGUAGGUAGCAUCACUAGGCAAGCAAUUACUAGCUUGCAUUUUCACAAAAGUUUAUUAACUUCAUCCAGUAGCUCCCCUUGACAAAAUGUGUAAAUCUUGACAUUAGGUCUUAAGCGAACGAAGGCUGUUAAAAAGACUUUUUGCCUUUUCAAAAUGUCCGUCUUUGCUUCCACACGUCUGCCUGUAAGAAAAUAACAUUCCAAUAUAGUACGGUAACUCUCAAUAGUUGCUUUUACACCUUCAAAAAUGCUGGCAAAAUCGAAAAGAGUAUGUACCUUAAAAAAUGCUGGCAAAAUCGAAAAGAUUAUGCUGGAAAUAUCUAGCAUAAAUAAAUGAAAGUAAUAAAUUUUUAAAUAAUUAAUGAUUUGAAUCAUUUAUUUUUAAACAAAAAAUGAUCGAUCAAUUUCUAACCUUAACAAUGUAUAAGAAAAUAAUAUCAUUAUAAAAUCAAUAUCUACCACUUAAAAUUGAAUAAAAAAUAUUUUAAUGCUAUAUUUUUACAUAAUCUUCACAUUCGUAUCAUCGGAUCAUUUAUAAGCCGCACUAAAAAAAAAAAUCUACAGUAGCGUUUAGAAACUCUAUGUUCAUAUUACAAUCAGUAAAAAAAUAACUAAUAAAAUGACAACUAUUAAUCAUAAAUACAAUAAAAUAGAUUGUUUAAGCUAGGUAGACAGCAUAACUCAGUCCUCGUAUUUCCCACGAACUCUAAACACCUGGGAAUUAUAAGGGUGCUAUAUAGCAAGGUCCAAGGAACACCUUUUAUAAAGAUUCAUAUACAAUGGAGACCAUAGAGGGUAAUGGUACAUGCUGGGUUUGAACAAGAAGAGUUGGGAUUUAAAGAUAAUGUCAAAAGAUAAGAAUUUUAUUUGGAGGGUGGUCACAAGAUUUAUUCCUAUGACGAUGAAGUUGGUUAAAAAAAAGUACUGAUUCAAAAUAGUGCUUGUAUGUAGGAAAGAUAGUGAGACAAUAUUUCACUUAUUGGUUUCAUGUUUUCUUAUUCAUGUUUGCCGGAGAAAGAUGAAGGUAAUAAAUUUGAGGAAAGAUAAAGUUAAUAAAUUUGAGAAAUAAUGCCAAAUUUGGUUGUUGACUCUCAAAUUUGUAUGACAAAGUCGUAAGAAAAUGAGUAUAUUAGUAGAUAAGCAAUUAUUGGUAGAUAAUAUUGAUGCAUUAGUAUUUCUUCAUUUACACAUUUGAGCCUGUUGAUAAGUUAAGUCUCAAAAUGAUACUAAAAAGAUGAAUUCUCAACCUGAAGCACGAUGUGAUUAUAGUUUUGUAACACGAUCGAGAUCGCGUGGUUACUUUAUGAAGGCUCGGAUUCAUAAUUUUACUUAAAAUAUUUAAAUAAUGAAAACGUAGAUAUUAAAAAAUAUAUUUUAGUGCUCAAUCUCCCGGAGAACAUGUUUGCUUGUUUGGGAGCAGGAUUAGGUUUCUGUUAUCUAUUUGAAUCACGCAAGUGGUUUUUAGUAGUACUGAGAAAUUAUUCUGUUGCAAGUCCGGAUAACAACAUUGCAAAUACUUUAACUGUGAAACAGCUCAAUGUAGUAUUGUACAGAGCGGCACAAGGCUAGUGAACAAAUAGCUGGCAGAGUGCUCAUAGACUUGCCUUGAUUAGAAGACCUUAGUUUAACUAUUAGCACUUGCAAAUUCUUAACAUAUAGGCAAUGUUUAUCGGCUUCUUCACAUCUCUGCUUGAGAAGUUAGAACACAGAAACACACAUAUUUAAGAUGGAAGGAUAAGAAACGUUGUAUGAUAGAUUCAUAUACCGGUAUAUUCUUGGAGAAAAAGUUGGCUAGUUUUGCCUUUUCAUGUAAUAUGCAUCCGUCAGAAUCAGGGACGGAACCAGGAUUUCGGAUUGGGGUGGGCUUGACAAAUCACAAACCCCCUGUUGCGGUGCAAGAAUGAAGAAGCGACCAGUUUUUAAGUCUCUAACUCUUUUCUGCAGUCAAGAUUCUCUAAUCUAUGCUCUUUAUGCUCUCUGUAUCUUUGAUAUUAGACUUAUAGUUAUGGGCUGGACCUAUUUAUGAAUGGGCUUGGGCUAACAUAAUACAUAAUAUACAUAACUACUAUUUAUUUUUUUUUAAAUUAACCCUGGGCUUGAGCCCAGGGGAGCCCCCUCAUACUUCCGUCUCUGGUCAGAAUUUACAUGUAUAAACAACAGGGCUAGCAGUCGAACAAAAAUUCAAACAGGAACCAUUUGAUUGAAUAUCAUAACAAGAAAUAGAGGUCUUAUUUCGAGAUUUUAACUGAACAAUAGUAGCGGAUUAUCAAGCUAUUAAAAUCCAGAUUAGAAUUAUAUGAAGCAAGUAAGCAACUAAUGCCAGAAUUUCUUACACAAAGCAGGAAGAGCAGGAACCUGUUUUUCAAUUCAAGUAAUCCCAGGGCCAAGGACAUUAAAAUGCAUCUGCGGAGCCUUGAGCACACAUUGCUUCUACAAGUACAAUUGCUUCACCGUACUUAUUGUGAAAACAGCCGUGGACAACUGUGUUGUAGGUAGCAUUAGGCAAGCAAAUACUAGCUUCCAUUUUCACAAAAAGUUUAUUAGCUUCAUCCAGUAACCCCCCUUGACAAAAUGUCCAUCUUUGCUUCCACACAUUUGCCUGUAAGAAAAUAACUUUGUAAUAUAGUACUGUAAGUCUCAAUAGUUGCUUUUAAACCGUCAAAAUUGCUGGCAAAAUCGAAAAGAUUAUGUACCUGAGAACUCUCUCCUUCGCUACACCUACGGCGAGUACUUCUUGCACAAAGCAAGGAGAGCAGGAUCCUGUUCUUGCACAUCAAGUAAAUCCAGUAAAACAGAUGCAGUAGAUGCAUCUGCUGCAAAGCCGCGACCAAACAUUUCAUCCAUGAGUACACCUGCUUCAUAGUAAUUCUUAUUAUGUAAACAACCGCGGAUAAACAUGUUGUAUGUGACAUCAUUAGGCAAGCAAUCAUGAGCUUCCAUUUCCCUGAAUAGUUCAUUUGCUUCAUCCAAUAACCCUUCAUGACAAUAUGCUUGGAUCAUCACUGUGUAUGUCUUGACAUUAGGUCGCAAACCUUUCGCAGGAAGGUUGUCAAAAAGGCUUCUUGCAUUCUCGAGAUGUCCAUUUUUGCUUAGUCCAUCAAUCAGAAUAGUGUAAACCUGUAUAUCAGCAACUAACCCACUGGACUCUAGUAUUUGAAAAAACGAUAGUGCUUCAAAUACAUAACAAUUCUGGCAAAGACCAUGCAACAAGAUACGACAUGUCACUUUAUUUAACUCAACACCUUGGUUAAUCAUCUUUUCCUUAAAAAAUUCACGUGCUUCAACAUGCCUGCCCACAUGAAAAAAACCUUGCAGUAUAGUACUGUAAGUCUGAAUAGUUGGGGUUAAACCUUCAGAGGGCAUUUGUUGGAAAAGAUCUAUGGCUCUGUCCACUUUCUUCUUUCUACAGUACCCGUUGAUCAGAAUAUUAUAGCAAAGAGCAUUAGGCAGUAUUCCCUUUCUCGCCAUGCUUUCGAACACUGCUAAAGCUUUAUCAACCUCUCCCCUCAAGCAGUAUCCAUCCAUUAGUGAGCUGUAAGUGACUACAUCAGGAUAAUGGCCUCUUUGAAUCAUCAACUCUAUCACAUCCUCUGCAUCUUCAAUCAUUCCUUCCUUGCAAUACGCAUCAACCAAUAUAUUGUAAGUAAAAACAUCUCGAGAAAUGUUCCUAACAUCCAUCUCCUUGAGCAAUUGUUUGACAUCAUGCCAUCGAUUAAUGUCACACAGACCUUGAACUAAGGAGUUGUAGGUUAUGACAUUUGGAGAUAUGCCUUUCCUUGUCAUUUGGUGGAGAAGACCCAAUGCUUGAUCAACUAACCUAUAUUUACAUAAACAAUCAAUAAGUGUGGUGUAAGUUACGGUAUCAGGCUUGCAACCUUUCUUCUCCAUAAUUUUGAACAACUUAACAGCCACAGAAGGAUUCCCUCUCUUGCAAAUGCCGUCAAUGAUAAUUGUAUAGGUAACAACAUCGGGUUGAAUAAGUUGAAAUCUGAUGAGGUUCUGGAACAAAAGCUGAGCCUCUUGAAGCAUAUCUUGGGAAAUAAGGCCCCUGAUGAGAGUGGUAUAAGUCACCACACUUGGCACAAAACCGUGCUUGAUGAUUCCAGCCAAUAGUGAAAAGGCAAAAUCGACACGAUUCAAGUGACAGAAACAGUUAAUGGCAGUAGUGAAGGUAUAUAUAUUAAGGGGGAUGCUUCGAACACGCAUAUCCCUAAAGAGAGACACAGCUACAGAGUACUCUUUCAUUUUAACGAGGGCGGCUAGCAGUUGAUUAAAUUUAAGAACAGGAAGCAUAGGCUUCAUAAGGAGCAUUUUAUCAAACACUUGGAGAGCAUCAUCGAGUUUAUCGAAACCAACCUUUGAUUUCUCAUAAAGUAAUUGCUGAAGUCUCGCAUGAGAUGUAUUGGAAAAAUGAGGAACAUAGGGGUGUUUGGGGUUAGGUUUAGUGGAGAACAUAAGAAAAUGAGCAUCGAAUUGAAACAAUGCGAGACCACAAGUAGUAGCUGCAGACUCAGCUGCAGAUCGUAGAAAUGGUAGCACUGGUGUUAAUGAAGCGAGACUCCUCAUCGCUGCUUAUAUAAUCAGUUACUGAAUGCUACUUCUUGCCGGUGCUCUCACUUCACUGGGUUCACUUGCCCAGAACACAAAAUAUGACGGAACAAUGGGAUGUACUGUGUACUCAAGUUACAAAUUAUAUCUCAUAUAGUAUAAUUUUACGUGUUAAAUUUAUAUAAAUAUAAAAAUUAAUAUAUAAUUUUUUAUUUGAAAUUAUACCAUACCACACUUGUCCAUUUUUGCUUAGUCCAUCAAUCAGAAUAGUGUAAACCUGUAUAUCAGCAACUAACCCACUGGACUCUAGUAUUUGAAAAAACGAUAGUGCUUCAAAUACAUAACAAUUCUGGCAAAGACCAUGCAACAAGAUACGACAUGUCACUUUAUUUAACUCAACACCUUGGUUAAUCAUCUUUUCCUUAAAAAAUUCACGUGCUUCAACAUGCCUGCCCACAUGAAAAAAACCUUGCAGUAUAGUACUGUAAGUCUGAAUAGUUGGGGUUAAACCUUCAGAGGGCAUUUGUUGGAAAAGAUCUAUGGCUCUGUCCACUUUCUUCUUUCUACAGUACCCGUUGAUCAGAAUAUUAUAGCAAAGAGCAUUAGGCAGUAUUCCCUUUCUCGCCAUGCUUUCGAACACUGCUAAAGCUUUAUCAACCUCUCCCCUCAAGCAGUAUCCAUCCAUUAGUGAGCUGUAAGUGACUACAUCAGGAUAAUGGCCUCUUUGAAUCAUCAACUCUAUCACAUCCUCUGCAUCUUCAAUCAUUCCUUCCUUGCAAUACGCAUCAACCAAUAUAUUGUAAGUAAAAACAUCUCGAGAAAUGUUCCUAACAUCCAUCUCCUUGAGCAAUUGUUUGACAUCAUGCCAUCGAUUAAUGUCACACAGACCUUGAACUAAGGAGUUGUAGGUUAUGACAUUUGGAGAUAUGCCUUUCCUUGUCAUUUGGUGGAGAAGACCCAAUGCUUGAUCAACUAACCUAUAUUUACAUAAACAAUCAAUAAGUGUGGUGUAAGUUACGGUAUCAGGCUUGCAACCUUUCUUCUCCAUAAUUUUGAACAACUUAACAGCCACAGAAGGAUUCCCUCUCUUGCAAAUGCCGUCAAUGAUAAUUGUAUAGGUAACAACAUCGGGUUGAAUAAGUUGAAAUCUGAUGAGGUUCUGGAACAAAAGCUGAGCCUCUUGAAGCAUAUCUUGGGAAAUAAGGCCCCUGAUGAGAGUGGUAUAAGUCACCACACUUGGCACAAAACCGUGCUUGAUGAUUCCAGCCAAUAGUGAAAAGGCAAAAUCGACACGAUUCAAGUGACAGAAACAGUUAAUGGCAGUAGUGAAGGUAUAUAUAUUAAGGGGGAUGCUUCGAACACGCAUAUCCCUAAAGAGAGACACAGCUACAGAGUACUCUUUCAUUUUAACGAGGGCGGCUAGCAGUUGAUUAAAUUUAAGAACAGGAAGCAUAGGCUUCAUAAGGAGCAUUUUAUCAAACACUUGGAGAGCAUCAUCGAGUUUAUCGAAACCAACCUUGGAUUUCUCAUACAGUAAUUGCUGAAGUCUCGCAUGAGAUGUAUUGGAAAAAUGAGGAACAUAGGGGUGUUUGGGGUUAGGUUUAGUGGAGAACAUAAGAAAAUGAGCAUCGAAUUGAAACAAUGCGAGACCACAAGUAGUAGCUGCAGACUCAGCUGCAGAUCGUAGAAAUGGUAGCACUGGUGUUAAUGAAGCGAGACUCCUCAUCGCUGCUUAUAUAAUCAGUUACUGAAUGCUACUUCUUGCCGGUGCUCUCACUUCACUGGGUUCACUUGCCCAGAACACAAAAUAUGACGGAACAAUGGGAUGUACUGUGUACUCAAGUUACAAAUUAUAUCUCAUAUAGUAUAAUUUUACGUGUUAAAUUUAUAUAAAUAUAAAAAUUAAUAUAUAAUUUUUUAUUUGAAAUUAUACCAUACCACACGUAAAAAAUAUUUUGAGAUCUAAGAACGAUCACUUUCACAGAUUGCAAGGUUGAGCAUAAAAGGUGUCGAAAACAUAAAAGAUGUCGAAAAGUAAAAUUCGGUAUAUAAUAUGUCAUGUCUUACCACAAAUCCAACACAACAUGCGCAAUUCUGCUGUCUCUGGUCGACGCUCGAUGCUUUUGAGUUUUUUAAAAUGACCGACACUCAGAACCAUAUAAUAAUGACGAUAUGAUUGUCACUCGAUAAAAUUUAUCUUUCAACUACAAAGGUACAUUUUUUAAAUCAUCAUAUAUAUGUAUCUCAAUUUUUUUGAAAUUAUAAUUUAUUUCAUUUUUUUCUUUUUAAUGAAUUUAUAACUUUUUUACUAACAUUAUAUUUUCUCCGUUUUAGUAUAAUACUCCCCGUGACGCUUUUUUAGUUGUCAUGUUUGAAUUUUGACAAGUCAAAUUGAUCAAAAUUUGACUAAAUUUAUUAAUAUUUUAUUAAUUAAUAAAAUAAUAAAUAUGUCACCGAAAAUAACUAUUUUUUUCACAACCAAAAUAACUUUCAAUCUACUCUGAUAUGUAAUUUUCCAGUAUUUUAAAAUAAUAUAAGAGGUACUUAUAAUUUUUGAUCAAAAAUUAGUAAAUUUGAUUAAUAAAAUAAAAAUGUGACAAUUAAAAAGAAACGGAAGGAGUAGUUUUAAGAAUAGAGCAAUAUCGGUCUUCUAAUUAAUAUUUUAAAAUUUUAGGUGCAUAAUUAAAUUUAGCUGGGUGGAAACUGAACCUGUGAAAGGCUACCUUAGCUAUUCUCGCAGCUCAUAACAUUUAAACUAUAUGUUGAUACAUAGGGUACGGUUCAAAUUAGAACCGAUAUUAAUAUUAAAAUUAGAACUAAGGUAUACACGCGGAACUUAGGAACACACAUGCUUUGAUUGAAAUUUAUACGUAUUAUAUAACUAAAUAAUAAAAAUAAUUGGGUUGAUAAAUUUGCAUGAGCAUUGUUGAUUUUAUAAUAUACAAAAUGUUUUUACUAUAGCAGCAACAGAGUGAACCAGGACACAUUGCUAUACCCAAGUUAGUCAUCAUCUCCCGCUCCGUCGAACACUUCUGCAUCUCCACCACCCCAAUCUUGAUCCCAAGUUAGUCAUCAUCUCCAGCUCCGUCAAACCCUUCUGCAUCUCCCCCACCCCAAUCUUGAACAUCUGCUGGUCCAUCAUCGACAUUAACAUCUAUAGCCAUGUCGAAACCAAUAUCAUCAUUAGGGACUUCCUGCAGUUCUGGCACGGUCUUCUUAAUCUCCAUAGAUGCAAUGUUUGCGUCACUGAAAAAAUCAGCAUACGGCUUCGAAACCUGAACAGAGAUAUAAAAUUUAAAAAAUUCUUAAUUAUAUACGCUCCAUUGCUGCAGCAACAAUAAUCUUCGGAUAACAUAUUUGUAUAUACGCCAUAGCAAUUGACACAUCUUAAUAAAACUGUAACUGGAAAUUUCAUUCUCCAUUCUUGUCUUCUAGCCAAAUAAGGAAAAAUUUAAAUGUUCACUUGAAUUUUUAAAAUUCAAAUCAGUUGAUGUAGAUGUAGUAGAAGAGGAUAUCGAAACUUUGUUUCUGAGUGAUGGCAAAGGAGAUGCAAAGCAAAUUUAGUCUAAAAAGAUUUAACCACCUUAUAAAGAGCAUUCCUCUUUUCUGCACUCUUGAUGAGAUUUUUCCAGUGCUCGUCUUUUCUCAAAGUUGAAGCAGAACCCACAACCUGAAUAAACAAAAAGGCAGCUUCUGUUAUAUAAGCAAAGCUAUAAGUGUACUGUACACAGUUCUGAAAAAAUUAAAAUAAGCGCUUCAAAUUUAUUACCCAAACAGAAGACCUUGCUCUGGUAACAUUCAUUCUCGGAGAAUCAGCAGAAAAUCCGAUGCCUUUAUCUUUGCUUCCCCUGACACAUGAAAAUACAACAACAUCUUUUUCUCUUCCCUGCAUUAGGAACAGGAUACAUUUAACAAAAUUUACAACUUUUAGAACGAGGAAAACAAGUAAUGCGCAAGAUGCAUCCGGUGAUUAUAAAUUCAAAUAAAAUCUCAAGGCGUAUAUAGAGCCAUAUUAAUCUCAACCAAUGAAUAGUAAAUUUUUUAUAAAAAGAAUAAAUUUGUUAGCAAAUCAAAUAACCAUAAAUCUUUUGCAGAGCCUCCUAUCAAUCAUCCUGUUGAUUAAAAUUAGUAAAAUUUAGGGGGCUCCAGCCCCCACCAUGUGGAAGCGGUAAUUGUUAGCUACUUUGUUGUAACUAGCCAUAUUUGCUAAUAUGAACGAUUCAAGUUGAUACUUGAAUGACUGGAGAAAAUAAUGAUACUUACUGGUAUAAAUAAAAUUACAUGUUAUUCAAGUAGCAAAGAGUUGGAGAGGAAGUAUGGCAGAAUUAGUAGCAGCAUCUCAACUAGAGAAGCCUGAAGUACAGAGAAAGGCAAGGCCCUCUCUUACGGAAAGUACUUCUCACGCAAGGCAAGAAGAGUAGGAUCCGGUUCUUGCACUUCAAGUAAGUCUAGUAACACAGAUGUUGUAGAUGCAUCUGCUGCAAAGCGGCGACCAAGCAUUUCAUCUAGUAGUACAUCUGCUUCAUAGUACUUAUUAUUCUGUAAACAACAGCGUAUAAGUGUGUUGUAUGUGACAUCAUUAGGCAAGCAAUAAUGAGCUUCCAUUUCCCUGAAUAGUUCAUUUGCUUCAUCCAAUAACCCUACAUGACAAUAUGCUUGGAUCAUCACAGUGUAUGUCUUGACAUUAGGUCGCAAACCUUUCGCAGGAAGGUUGUCAAAAAGGCUUCUUGCAUUCUCGAGAUGUCCAUUUUUGCUUAGUCCAUCAAUCAGAAUAGUGUAAACCUGUAUAUCAGCAACUAACCCACUGGACUCUAGUAUUUGAAAAAACGAUAGUGCUUCAAAUACAUAACAAUUCUGGCAAAGACCAUGCAACAAGAUACGACAUGUCACUUUAUCCAACUCAACACCUUGGUUAAUCAUCUUUUCCCUAAAAAAAUUACGUGCUUCAACAUGCCUGCCCACAUGAAAAAAACCUUGCAGUAUAGUACUGUAAGUCUGAAUAGUUGGGGUUAAACCUUCAGAGGGCAUUUGUUGAAAAAGAUCUAUGGCUCUGUCCACUUUCUUCUUUCUACAGUACCCGUUGAUGAGGAUAUUAUAGCUAAGAGCAUCAUGCAAUAUUCCCUUUCUAGUCAUGCUUUCGAACACUACUAAAGCUUUAUCAACCUCUCCCUGCAAGCAGUAUCCAUCCAUUAGUGAAUUGUAAGUGACUACAUCUGGAUAAUGGCCUCUUUGAAUCAUCAACUCUAUCACAUCCUCCGCAUCUUCAAUCAUUCCUUCUUUGCAAUACGCAUCAACCAAUAUGCUGUAAGUAAAAACAUCUCGAGAAAUGUUCCUAACAUCCAUCUCCUUGAGCAAUAAUUUGACAUCAUGCCAUCGAUUAAUGUCACACAGUCCUUGAAUUAACGAGCUGUAGGUUAUAACAUUUGGGGAUAUGCCUUUCCUUGUCAUUCGGUGGAGAAGACCCAAUGCUUGAUCGACUAACUUAUGUUUACAUAAACAGUCAAUAAUUGUGUUGUAAGUGACCGUAUUAGGCUUGCAACCUUUCUUCUCCAUAAUUUUGAACAACUUAACAGUCACAGAAGGAUUCCCUCUCUUGCAGAUGCCGUCAAUGAUAGUUGUAUAGGUAACAACAUCGGGUUGAAUAAGUUGAAAUCUGAUGAGGUUCUGGAACAAAAGCUGAGCCUCUUGAAGCAUAUCUUGGGAAAUAAGGCCCCUGAUGAGAGUGGUAUAAGUAAACACAUCACGGACAAAACCGUGCUUGAUGAUUCCAGCUAAUAGUUUUUGAAUUAUCUCAUUCAAAAACUUUUAGGGUCAAAGCUUCGUGUUCCCGAUUUAAUCAAUUAAUCCAUUACAACAUUGUGAAUUGAUUUGAUUUUGGAAAAUCGAUUAAUUUUUAUAAUUUUUUAAUAGAAAUAAAUAUAAUAAGUUUAUUGGAAUUAAAAUACUAUAUCAAUUCAAAUAUUAAUAAGUACAGAAUUUAUGAUAUAAUAAAGAUAUAUUUAUUACUAAAUAACCAAUGCCAUAUAACUAAAUAUUAAAAUACGUUCGAUUUUCAUUCCAAUUAAUCCCUCUGAUUAAUUCCCGAUUUUCGAUUAAUACUAAAUCGGUAGAUUAACUGGUUAGGUCUGAUUUCCGAUUUCUGUAACAGUGGUCAAGAGUUAUAUUUAUAUACUAGUUUAUGACUCGUGCAAUACCCGGGCAGUUAUAAUAUUUGUUAUUUUAUCGUAUAUAUUUUAAUUUAAACUAAUACUAUUAUGAGAAUAAAAUUAUGAUAGAAUAAUAUGAUUAAAUAAAUUUUUAUUUAACGGAUGAUAAAUUCUUAAUAGUUAAUUUCGUCAAAUUGCUAAUUAAAAAUGAGGUCGAAUAUAUAUAUUUUACUGAGAAUGUUACAUUACAUUUUUUUUUUCAUGUUAUAAUUUAAGGAGAUCUAUAAAAUCAUAUGUAAAUCAACCUAUCAAUCUUUUAAUAUUUCGUUAUUGAUAAUUAAUAAUAUAGUAUGGAACAUAUUAAGUUAAAAAAAUACGUAAACCAAAUACCGACCCAUCAUACUGACCUAAAUGUUUUGGUUUAUUAGAUAAUAAAAAAUAUAUUAUAACAUGUUAUAAAUUAAAGAGAUUCGUGACUAGAAUACCAACCGGCUCACAGAACUCUCGACUAACAUACCGACUAAGUGAACUUUUCCUAAUUCUGAUUUUCGAUUUGUGUAAUACUAAAUCUAUCAUUGGCUCAUUAUACAUACAUUUAUAGAGUAUAUAAAGGUUAUUAUUGAUAUUUUGUACUAAUGUAUUUAUUAUACAUUAAUGUCUAAUUGUUAAUAUACAUUAAUUAUUACAUGAUUUGGAAUUAAUUUAAUAUUAUACAUAUAAAUAACAUAUAUCUAAUCAUUUUUAAAAUUUUAACUUUUCCCCACAAAUUUUGUAAAUUUUAAUAUUUUUCCUGAUUUUUGAGUGAUUAAUCCAGUUUUGACCAAUUAAUCAUCGAUUUAACUGAAUUUUACUAAAUCAUAUUAAAACCCGUCUGAUUAUCGAUUAUUCGGUUAAUCGACCGAUUUUAAUUAUUAUGAUUUAAUAAAAUUAUAUAUGUGAUUUAAUAAAAUGAUAUAUAUAUAUAUAUAUAUAUAUAUAUAUAUAUAUAUAUCAUUUUUUUAACUAGUUGAACUAAAUUAAUAAGUAUAUACAAAUUUAUAUUAAUACAUAAUCUAAGUAUAGAUAAUAAUAAUAUCAAUAAUAUUAAUAAUAUAGUAAUAUNAAUGAUUUAAAAUACAAACAAAUAUAAAAUUUAAAUUAUACAAAUAAUCUCAACUUAAAGAGAAUGAACAAAAGAUAUAUAUAACAUACAUUAAAAAAAAUAGUAUAAAGCAAUCUGUGUUUUGCACAGGUUAAAAAGCUAAUUAGAAAUAGAUCAGUGAUUUCUCAUAACGGUUUCUCUGAAUAAAUAUAUAAUUUUUUUUAAUUAUAAUAUACAUGUAUCAAUAUAAUGAUAAUUUUAGGAGUGGCUAUGACUCCCUCUGAUCUCUGUUUAAACUUGUCUUAUAUAGGGAUAAACUAAAAACAAAAUCAUAGAAAUAAAUAUUCAUGUGAUAGUGCAAACAAUUAUCAAUAGUGUGGUGAGCAGGUCAUCAUUUAGCCGACUUUACUUGAGUUUUUUAUUUUGUUUGUAAGCACAAUUUUAUAUAUAAACAAUCUUCCAACAAGAAGAUGAUGAUUGGAAAUAAGUACAAGCAUUAGGAACUAAUAAGUCAAAGUUUGGGACCUAAAAUCAGCAUCAAAGCAGGAGCAUAUUAGUCGAUAUCCAACAAAGAGGAGAUCAGCAGCAAGCAUUCCAGCUUGGUGAGUUUCCUCCUGAGCACCCACCUCUUCCACACAAUUAUCCAUCUAAAACUGACCAUUCUGCAUGGCUAAACCAUUAUCCUGCAUGUUUUUCAGGAGCAUGAGCCAUGUUAACAGGGGCGUUAACUUGACCUAAACCCAAUCUAUGAAUUUGAUCAACUAGCCAAGGGUAGCAUAAAAAUUCACAGGAUCUUGGGCCUAGUCAAGAAGCACCACAUCCUUGAAAUCUGGAUGAUCGACCCCAAGACAUACGCUAUCACACAAGUCCAGCUCCUGUCUUUGAGCAAAAUAUCGAUUUGUGAGACUAGAUCAUAAACUGCAGCUGGAGCACCCAUUAGGAAGUCCCUCACAGUACGAAACGCCUCCCAGUUAUCAGUUUCCAGGAUAACAGAAGCAUAUCCUUUGAUUAUGGCACGACUCAGCGGGGCAUAAAUCGCCCAGAGUUGGUUCGCCAAUCGCGUUAGGAAGGGGAUAGCCCCCACCAUUACAUGCCUGAAAGAGUCGUUUGUAAGUAAAUGCUCGACUGAAGCUUGAGGAGAACCACUUGAGUUCAUCAUUGCUGUUGCUGAUACAGUUGACUUGCACGUGAAACUCAGCAUGCAUUGGCCAGUGAAGAUAUGGAAUUAAUGAGGGAGAUCCAUGCAAGUUAAUAUACUUUGAUAAUUCUAUAUGAAGAUCUUAAUAUCUUUUGCCUGAAUUAUUUGACUAUUCAGAUUCGAGAAAUGAAUACCAUGAUAAGAAUGGUUGAGCUUCCUUCUGAAGUUGAUCAGUGCAAUCAAAUUUGAAUUAAAGCCAGGCUGACAGCAGUUUCUCUUUGAUCCUUCUCACGAUAUGAUCCACCUUAAAUAACCUUGCAUGCAUUGGCUGAUGAAAAUUGUACAAAGAUAACCUAUUCUCAGAAUGGCUCCAGGUCAGCAACUUAUUCAUCGUAGCAGCUCUUAAAACACUAGUUGCUUCCACACGUUUGCCUGUAAGAAAAUAACAUUGCAAUAUAGUACUGUAACUCUCACUAGUUGCUUUUAUACCUCCAAAAAUGCUGGCAAACUCGAGAAGAUUAUGUACCUCAGAACUCUCUCCUUCGUUACACCUACGGCAAGUACUUCUUGCACAAAGCAAGCAGAGCAUGAUCCUGUUCUUGCACAUCAAGUAAAUCCACUAAAACAGAUGCAGUAGAUGCAUCUGCUGCAAAGCCGUGACCAAGCAUUUCAUCUAAGAGUACACCUGCUUCACAGUAAUUCUUAUUCUGUAAACAACCGCGGAUAAGCAUGUUGUAUGUGACAUCAUCAGGCAAGCAAUCAUUUCCUACCAUUUCCCUGAAUAGUUCAUUUGCUUCAUCCAAUAACCCUUCAUGACAAUAUGCUUGGAUCAUCAUUGUGUAUGUUUUGACAUCAGGCCGCAAACCUUUCAAAGGAAGGUUGUCAAAAAGGCUUCUUGCAUUCUCUAGAUGUCCAUUUUUGCUUAGUCCAUCCAUCAGAAUAGUGUAAACAUGUAUAUCAGGAACUAGCCCACGGCAUUCCAGUAUUUGAAAAAAGGAUAGUGCUUCAACAACAUAACUAUUCUGGCAAAGACCAUGCAACAAGAUACGGCAUGUCACUUUAUCUAACUCAACGCCUUGGUUAAUCAUCUUUUCCUUAAAAAAUUUACGUGCUUCAACAUGUCUACCUGCAUGAAAAAAACCUUGCAGUAUAGUACUGUAAGUCUGAAUAGAUGGGGUUAAACCUUCAGAGGGCAUUUGUUGAAAAAGAUCUAUGGCUCUGUCCACUUUAAACUUUUUACAAUAACCGUUGAUGAGGAUAUUAUAGCUAAGAGUAUUAGGCAAUAUUCCCUUUCUAGUCAUGCUUUCGAACACUACUAAAGCUUUAUCAACCUCUCCCUGCAAGCAGUAUCCAUCCAUUAGUGAAUUGUAAGUGACUACAUUAGGAUAAUGGCCUCUUUGAAUCAUCAACUCUAUCACAUCCUCUGCAUCUUCAAUCAUUCCUUCUUUGCAAUACGCAUCAAUCAAUAUACUGUAAGUAAAAACAUUUUGAGAAAUGUUCCUAAGAUCCAUCUCCUUGAGCAAUUGUUUGACAUCAUGCCAUCGAUUAAAGUCACACAACCCUUGAAUUAAAGAGCUGUAGGUCAUAACAUUUGGUGAUAUGCCUUUCCUUGUCAUUUGGUGGAGAAGACCCAAUGCUUGAUCGAUUAAUCUAUGUUUACACAAACAGUCAAUAAUUGUGGUGUAAGUUACAGUAUUAGGCCUGCAACCUUUCUUCUCCAUAAUUUUAAACAACUUAACAGCCACAGAAGGAUUCCCUCUCUUGCAGAUGCCGUCAAUGAUAAUUGCAUAGGUAACAACAUCGGAUUGAAUAAGUUGAAAUCUGAUGAGGUUCUGGAACAAAAGCUGAGCCUCUUGAAGCAUAUCUAGGGAAAUAAGGCCCCUGAUGAGAGUGGUAUAAGUCACCACACUUGGCACAAAACCGUGCUUGAUGAUUCCAGCCAGUAAUGAAAAGGCAAAAUGAACACGAUCCAAGUGACAAAAACAGUUGAUAAUAGUAGUAAUGGUAAAUAUAUCAACAGGGAUGCUUUCUACCCGCAUCUUUCUAAAAAGGGAGACAGCUACGGAGUAGUGUUUCAUCUUAACAAGAGCUGUUAAGAGUUGAGUGAAGUUGAUAACAGUGGGCAGAGGCUUCAUAAGGAGCAUUUUAUCAAACAGUUGAAGAGCAUCAUCGAGUUUAUCAAAACCAACCUUAGAUUUCUCAAGGAGUAAAUGUUGAAGUCGAGCAUGAGGUGGAUUAGAGGAACAAGGGAAAUGGGGUUUGGGUUUAAAGGGAAUAUUAGGGUUAGGGUUAGUGGAGAAGUGAGAAACUGUAAUAACAGAAUAGGAUGUAAGACAACAAGUAAGAGCUGAAGCUGCAGAAUGUGGUAGGAAUCGAGAAUUAAAUAUCACAAAUUUCAUCAUCAUAUCUCUACUUGUCAGACUCAGAUUUUUACCUGGUAGAACGCAAAAGAGCAGAGUAUCAUCAACUGAAGCCCAGAAUUUUGAUUUACGCCUAUGUUAUCACUCUGUACCAGAAAUUAUUAGGUUUCUUAAAAUAGUAUUCCCGUUUUAGUUCACUCAAUAUUAAAUAAAACUUUAAAUUGUUUUCCAAAUAAAUUGAUAUAUUUAACAUUUGUUUUUAGCCUUUAUAUAACUUAGAUUUAAUAAGUGUUUGACGAGAGCUCGAUUGGACUAUUUACAUCAUUGUUUAUGUCAUUUUAUUAUUUCAAAAAUAUAAUAAAUUUUAAUAUUUUAUAUUAAAGUGGUCAUAUGUUAAGAUAUCUCAACCACCUAACUUCAUCUCUACGAGAACUUGUUUAAAACUGUCAUAUUAUUAUAUAUCACGUUAUUAAAUUUUGAUUUGUUUUAUAGAAUUGAGUAUUUUUUUUAAAUAUACGAGUUUCACAUAGACAAUUCUUAUUUUUGUUUGAUCACUAAAAAUCGAGUAAGAAAGUCAAAUAAGGUUGAAGGUGUGAGGAGAAUAUUCCUAAUAAAAUAUAUGAUAUAUGUCCUUAGAUGUGAAAGCCAAACAAAGUUGAAGGUGUCAGAGAAAUAUUCGAAAAAUAACAUAUUAUAUAUGUCCUUAUAUGUUUUAACAUGCAUAUGUAUAUAUUAUUGUGAUUUAUUUUUAUCAUGGGCUUACAUGUAAUACACUUCAUUUUGCAACUAUUAUUAGGUUAAAUUUGUUGUCAAAAUAUCUUUUAGAUGUGACAUGGUGAUUUUUAUAGCAAUUGGAGUGUUUAAAUGGCAUCCUUAGAGCAAGUCCAAUGGUGAUGUUAAAAUAGAUGUAGCUAUUGUUAUAAUUUGAAAUCAAAAAGUGGUUUUUGGUGCUAAAAUAGAAUUUAUGGUCCAAUGAUAAAUGUAAAAUAGCACCAAAUAUAUCCAAAUAAAGUUAUAUUCCAAUUAUAUAAUCUUAAAGUACAUAACUAUAUUUGUCAGUAUUACUUUAUUCAUGCAUUUUGUCACUUGCAUGCUUAUGUGGCAAUUAUAGCACCAUCUAUACUUGGUUCUAUAUUUAGCACCAAGUAUAGCAUUUUGCUAUUUUACAUUCAAGUUUAGCAUCCCAUUGGAGUUGAUUUUUUUGCUUGGGUGCUAUAUUAUAGCAAUAGCACCUAUUUUAGCACCACCAUUGGACUUGCUCUUAGAAAUCGGGUAGAUAGGUGAUAUUCCCUCUCUCUCCUCCAAUUUUUUAUCGUUUCGAAUGGAGUGUUUGACACGUAUUUUUAAAGUUCAUGUAAAGUAUAGCUUCAUAAUUUAUUCUUUUUCUGAACAAAAAUUUAAUGUUUAAAUUUUUUAUAUUGGAAAAAAAUUAUAAAAAUAAGUUAUAGAACUAUAUUUUAUAUGAGUGUUAAAAUGCGUGUCGAGUACUCCACUCCAAACGAUAAAAAUUGGGGGGCGGAGAGUAUAUUCUAACGAGAAUGAUGGCCUCUUUCACAUAAAUCCUAAAAUAUUGAUAACUAUUAAAAAUAUCUUAAAUUAAUAAUUAAAGCAGAAAUUAUCAAUUUAGUCAUUUUUUUCUAUUUAAUUUUUUGAGAAACUUAUUGAAAUGAUAUAUAUGACUAUCAAAACGAGCCUCUAUCGAAAACAACAAGUUAACCACUUCGAUAAAAGUUGGAUGAAUUUAACGUGGCGUUUGAAUGUUAUUAGUGAACAUUUUGACAUAAAUAGUUGUACAAGGACAAUGAUCUUCAGUCUUGUAAUCUUGUUGAUAAAAACAUUCUAAAUCUUUAUUCGAAUAAAAAGUACCUUGUGCAUUCGCAUUUUUCUAGGACCUAUAUUUUUCUAGGUGACGGAGAAGAUUAAAGAAAUUGGCACUCAAAUCUGAUUCUCACACUUUGUAUUAGAGUGAGUUGCCCAAAAUUUUUAAAAGCCCGUUUUCUGAUUAGGUGGCAAGGAAAAAAGAAAAGAGUGGCAGAGCACUUGGGUUCAGCAUUUCACAGCACUUGCUCUUAGUUCCCAAAGAUGAGAAGUGUUUCUCAGUUUCACUAUUAGCUUAUAACUCGAUACUUUAAAGUUUAAGGCUAAUAAUAUCUUCUUCUUGAUCUAUCUUAUUUGAUAUGUUAGUCUCAUGCAAGUCCCGGUAACAACAUUGCAAAUAUAUUUAAGAACUUACUGGGAUCGCAGAUCUGGUGUGUCAGAUUCAGAAUUGCNAAUUAAGAACUCACUGGGAUCGCAGAUCCGGUGUGUCAGAUUCAGAAUUGCAAAAUCUUUUGAAAGCAUACAAUAUCCACAAAGUUACGAGCUGAAUACCGCUGUAGGGAUGUAUACAAUUGUAUCCACUGUGUUGCCACUCUAAAAACCAACAAAAAGUUCCACCCAGCUGACAUUAAAGACCUGGGCUGACUGGUCUGAUCAGCCGUUCAAGUUCUUUAUCUGAGAGCACUGGCCAGGUUAAUGGUUCUGCAAUGCACUGAGAAGUCUGCAGACUCGGAAUCAGAUGACCUCAACUAAGGUCAUCAGAGGUCAGUAUCUAAGAGUAGUAAGAGAGGUGAUAUAGUGAAGAAGAUAAAUUAGAAGUCCAUGACCAGGGACGGAUUAUAGGAUGCACAAGACACUCGCAGCAAGCAAGGAACUCGCUCCACCUAGCCCCAUCGGCAAGGCUUCAUAAAGCCACGAAAAACAUCAUAUAUAUUUCCUGAGUUCGAAACCUUACUCUCUCCCAAAAUACUUGAUAAAAUAAUCCAUCAAAAUAUAGGUACACAUCCAAUAUACAUUAGCAUUGUGCUUCACUUAUGAAUAGUUUACAGUUUGUCGAGGCUGCCAAUCUCUCUAGUCUCUUUAAUUGAUUUGCAGUUCUUUCUUUUUUUGCUAAAUCUAUUCAACUCAGUGGCUUAGAAUUUUAAAUGGACUACUAUCCUGCAGCAUUAGCCAAUUCCAGACUACUUAAUUCUUGAUAAAAGUGGUAACCGAAGUUACCUAUGGAAAGAAACCCAUACACAUACAAGCUCUUUUACUCAUUGCGCUGAUAAUUUCAGACUGCAGUUAAGCUAUAUUAAGCCUUUUAGUUAUUUCAUGUAAUAAAGACAUUAAGAUAAAUCAACAUUCUAUAGACAAAAAGUCGAUGUAGUGCAGAGGAGCUCCAUUCUUAAAUUUAAAUUCAACAAAAUUAUAUCAAGAUAACACCAAAUCAUUUGUGAUCAGUCAGAGAAGAACUGCAAAUUUAACGACAAUGCAUUUGAAAUGAGUGCUGCUAGGGUUGCAGACCCUUGAAAUUAAAAUGUUGGCAAAUUGAAGAUUAUGUACCUUAGCAAUCCCUCACUUUGCUUGACCUAUGGCAGAUACUUCUUAUGCAAAGCAAGAAGAGCAGGAUCCUGUUCUUGUGAUUCAAGUAGGUCCAGUAACAGGGAGGCGGUAGAUGCAUCAGCUGAGAAGCCACCAGCACACAUCUCAUAGACCACCGGCUUCAGCAUACUUCUUAUUGUAAAAACAGACACAAUAAGUGUGUCAUAGGUAACAUCAGUCGACAAACAACCAUUAAAAGUCCACCAACAAUUCAUUCGCCUCAUGGAGUAAUCCCUCUCCACAUACUGCUUGUAAGAAAAUAACAUUGCAAUAUAGUACUGUAAUAACUCUCAAUAGUUGCUUUUAAACCUUCAAAAAUGCUGGCAAAAUCGAAAAGAUUAUGUACCUGAGAACUCUCUCCUUCAUUACACCUACGGCAAGCACUUCUUGCACAAAGCAAGCAGAGCAGGAUCCUGUUCUUGCACAUCAAGUAAAUCCAGUAAAACAGAUGCAGUAGAUGCAUCUGCUGCAAAGCCGCGACCAAGCAUUUCAUCUAGGAGUACACCUGCUUCAUAGUAUUUCUUAUUCUGUAAACAACCGCGGAUAAGCAUGUUGAAUGUGACAUCAUUAGGCAAGCAAUCAUUUCCUUCCAUUUCCCUGAAUAGUUCAUUUGCUUCAUCCAAUAACCCCUCAUAACAAUACGCUUGAAUCAUCACUGUGUAUGUCUUGACAUCAGGUGACAAACCUUUCGCAUGAAGGUUGUCAAAACGGCUUCUUGCAUUCUCUAGAUGUCCAUUUUUGAUUAGUCCAUCAAUCAGAAUAUUGUAAACAUGUAAAUCAGGAACUAACCCCCUCGAUUCCAGUAUUUGAAAAAAGGAUAGUGCUUCAACAACAUAAUUAUUCUGGCAAAGACCAUGCAACAAGAUACGGAAUGUCACUUUGUUUAACUCAACGCCUUGGUUAAUCAUCUUUUCCUUAAAAAAUUUCCGUGCUUCAACAUGUCUACCCACAUGAAAAAAACCUUGCAGUAUAGUGUUGUACGUCUCAAUAGUUGGGGUUAAACCUUCAAAGGGCAUUUGUUGAAAAAAAUCUAUUGCUCUGUCCACUUUCUUCUUUCUACAGUACCCGUUGAUGAGGAUAUUAUAGCUAAGAGCAUCAUGCAAUAUCCCUUUCUAGUCAUGCUUUCGAACACUACUAAAGCUUUAUCAACCUCUCCCUGGAAGCAGUAUCCAUCCACUAGUGAAUUGUAAGUGACUACAUCAGGAUAAUGGCCUCUUUGAAUCAUCAACUCUAUCACAUCCUCAGCAUCUUCAAUCAUUCCUUCUUUGCAAUACGCAUCAAUCAAUAUAUUGUAAGUAAAAACAUCUGCAGAAAUGUUCCUAAGAUCCAUCUCCUUGAGCAAUUGUUUGACGUCAUGCCAUCGAUUAAUGUCACACAAUCCUUGAAUUAACGAGCUGUAGGUUAUAACAUCUGGGGAUAUGCCUUUCCUUGUCAUUGGGUGGAGAAGACCCAAUGCUUGAUCAACUAAUCUAUGUUUACACAAACAGUCAAUAAUUGUUGUGUAAGUUACAGUAUUAGGCUUGCAACCUUUCUUCUCCAUAAUUUUGAACAACUUCACAGCCACAGAAGGACUCCCUCUCUUGCAGAUGCCGUGAAUGAUUGUGUUAUAGGUAACAACAUCGGGUUGAAUAAGUUUAAAUCUGAUGAGGUUCUGGAACAAAAGUAACCACAAAAUCAACUAAAAGGCAAACAAAAAUUCAACCAAAAGCAACCCACUGCUUCCUUCUCGAUCUCUUUCUUUACCUCUCUCCACCAAACUCUUUAUCCUCUCUCCUCUACCAACCACUGCCGCGUGGCUUAUCCGCUGCGACAAUGAUUUCUCCGGCAGAAUUUCAUUCAUAAACCCAAUCAAUACAAAGUCCCAAUUUCAUGAACCCCAAUUUUCUAUUCCGAACAUAUGUAUGAUUAUGUGUAUGUAUGUAUACGCUGUGAUUGAGAGAUGAGAUGAUGGAUUAGAAAGCCAGAAGUGAGCGAGCUUGUUUGUCAACAAACUCCUUUCCCUCUGCCUUUGGUAUGAAACGUAAAAUAUAAACUUUACAGUGCUUUUUUUACAAAAGGUCGUAUAUUCGAAAUGGUUUAAAGGAAAUCAUAUUUCUGCAAUAUAUAUGUUAAAAAGUAGUACAUUAGCUGAAUUCCCUAAAUAAAAUUACAUGUUAUUCAAGUAAAUAUAUCACUACUAGGAGGGUGCCCGCUGCCGCGGACUAAUAUUAUAGGAAAAAUUUUAUUUUUGGAAAUAUUCAAUUCGAAUAGUUUGAUGUUUUUUGUAACAUACAGUGUCUAAAACCUUGUAAUUUAAAUUAAUUUAAUAUAGAAAUUUAAUUCAUGUAAUAUCAGUAUCAAAUUUUAAAUAUUAUCAAGUAAAACAAUAAAACACCUUAUAAGACACAACCAUUUUGUUAACAUACAAUUAAUUAGAUGGAAGUAAACAUAUUCAGUAUCAAUUACAUGCCACAAUACCGCGGACUAAUAGUACAGACAAAUUUUUUAUUUAAUAAAUUGCAGAUUAAAUAAAAAAUUUCUUUGUUGUGAGACUCUAUUGUUGACAACUAUUGUAAUUAAAUUUUAUAUCAUAAAUGAAAAACCGAUAUAAUCUAAAUAUCUGUAUUUAGAAUAUUCUCAAUUAAAUGAUUUCAUGUUACGUAAACUAUUUACGUACUAAUAAAAAAAAUUAUUUCAAGAAAGGUAUAAUAUAAUAAUAGUCAAUCACUAAAAUUACGUAAUAAUUUAUUAGUACGUAAAUAAUCAUAUUUUAUAAAGUAUUCCUCGGCGUCGCCGAGCGGCGACGCCUCGCACUUUAAUCGAAUAUUUUAUAAUCAAAUCAAAAUAAUUAUAUAGCUAAUGACGUCUCGCGUUUUAUUCAAAUAAUUUAUAUUUAAAAAUUUUGCAAUCAAUAUUAAUUUACAUGUAAUUCAUAGUUUUCUUAAAUAAACGAUAAUGAUUACUAUAAAGAGUCAUAUUUACUUGAAAAUUUGCGAAUGCAGGUCAAUAAUAUAUACUCCCUCUGUCUAACUAAUUUCUUAUCUAUAUUUUCGUAUAAGAUUAUUAUAAUUAAAUAAAAUAAAAUUUAUUUCAAGAAAGGUAUAACAUAAUAAAAGUCCAUCACUUGCAUUCUAAAAUUACGUAAUAUUUUAUUAGUACGUAAAUAGUUAUAUUUUAUAAAGUAUUCCUUGGCGUCGCCGAGCGGCGACGCCUAGCACUUUAAUCGAAUAUUUUAUAUUUUAAUAUUUUAUAAUCAAAUCAAAGUAAUUAUAUAGCUAAUGACGUCUCGCGUUUUGUUCAAAUAAUUUAUAUUUUAAAAUUUUGCAAUCUUAAAUAAGAGAUAAUGAUUAAUAUAAGAAAUCACAUUUACAUGAAAAUUUGCGAAUGAAGGUCAAUGAUAUAUACUCCCUCUGUCUAUCUAAUUUCUUAUCUAUAUUUCUGUAUAAGAUUAUUAUAAUAAAAUAAAAUAAAAUUUAUUGUAAGAAAGAUAUAAUAUAAUUAAUAAAAGUCCAUAAUCAUUUACAUUCUAAAUUUACAUAAUAUUUUAUUAGUACCUAAAUAGUCAUAUUUUAUAAAGUAUUCCUCGGCGUCGCCGAGCGGCGACGCCUCGAACUUUAAUCGAAUAUUUUAUAAUCAAAUCGAAAUAAUUAUACUGGUAAUGACGUCUCGCGUUUUAUUCAAAUAAUUUAUAUUUUAAAAUUUUGCAAUCAAUAUUAAUUUACAUGCAGUUCGUAGUUUUCUUAAAUAAACGAUAAUGAUUAAUAUAAAGAGUCACAUUUACAUGAAAAUUUGCGAAUGCAUGCCAAUAAUAUAUACUCUCUCUGUCCUAACUAAGUUCUUAUCUAUAUUUUUGUAUAAGAUUAUUAUUAUAAUAAAAUAAAAUAUAUUUCAAAAAAGGUAUAACAUAAUAAAAGUCCAUCAGUAUUUUUGUAUAAGAUUAUUAUUAUAAUAAAAUAAAAUAUAUUUCAAGAAAGGUAUAACAUACUAAAAGUCCAUCAGUUACAUUCCAAAAUUAUGUAAUAUCUUAUUAGUACGUAAAUAGUCAUAUUUUAUAAAGUAUUCCUCGGCGUCGCCGCGCGGCGACGCCUCGCACUUUAAUCGAAUAUUUUAAUAUUUUAUAAUCAAAGUAAAGUAAUUAUAUAGGUAAUGACGUCUCACGUUUUUUUCAAUUAAUUUAUAUUUUAAAAUUUUGCAAUCAAUAUUAAUCUACAUGGAAUUCGUAGUUUUCUUAAAUAAGAGAUAAUGAUUAAUAUAAAGAGUCACAUUUAUAUGAAAAUUUGCGAAUGCAUAAUAUAUACUCCCUCCGUCUAACUAAUUUCUUAUCUAUAUUUUUGUAUAAGAUUAUUAUAAUAAAAUAAAAUAAAUUUUUUUUGAAAACAUUUAUUGUAAGAAAGAUAUAAUAUAAUAAAAGUCCAUCACUUGCAUUCUAAAAUUACGUAAGAUUUUAUUAGUAUGUAAAUAGUCAUAUUUUAUAAAGUAUUCCUCGGCGUCGCCGAGCGGCGACGCCUCGCUCUUUAAUCGAAUAUUUUAUAUUUUAAUAUUUUAUUAUCAAAUAAAAAUAAUUAUAUAGCUAACAACGUCUCACGUUUUGUUCAGAUAAUUUAUAUUUUAAAAUUUUGCAAUUAAUAUUAAUUUACAUGCAAUCCGUAAUUUUCUUAAAUAAGAGAUAAUGAUUAAUAUAAAGAGUCACAUUUACAUCAAAAUUCGUGAAUGCAGGUCAAUAAUAUAUACUCCCUUCGUCUAAUUAAUUUCUUAUCUAUAUUUUUGUAUAAGAUUAUUAUAAUAAAAUAAAAUAAAAUUUAUUGUAAGAAAGAUAUAAUAUAAUAAAAGUCCAUCACUUACAUUCUAAACUUACGUAAUAUUUUAUUAGUACGUAAAUAGUUAUAUUUUAUAAAGCAUUCCUCGGCGUCGCCGAGCGGCGACGCCUCGCUCUUUAAUCGAAUAUUUUAUAUUUUAAUAUUUUAUAAUCAAAUCAAAGUAAUUAUAUAGGUAAUGACGUCUUGCGUUUUGUUCAAUUAAUUUCUAUUUGAAAAUUUUGCCAUCAAUAUUAAUCUACAUGCAAUUCGUAGUUUUCUUAAAUAAGAGAUAAUGAUUGAUAUAAAGAGUCACAUUUACAUGAAAAUUUGUGAAUGUAGGUCAAUAAUAUAUACUCCCUCCGUCUAACUAAUUUCUUAUCUAUAUUUUUGUAUAAGAUUAUUAUACUAAAAUAAAAUAAAAUUUAUUUUAAGAAAGAUAUAAUAUAAUAAAAGUCCAUCCCUUACAUUCUAAAAUUAAGUAAUUUUUUAUUAGUACGUAAAUAGUCAUAUUUUAUAAAGUAUUCCUUGCCGUCGCCAAGCGGCAACGACUCGCACUUUAAUCGAAUAUUUUAUAAUCAAAUCAAAAUAAUUAUAUAGCUAAUGAUGUUUCGUGUUUUGUUCAAAUAAUUUAUAUUUUAAAAUUUUACAAUUAAUAUUAAUUUACAUGCAAUUCGUAGUUUUCUUGAAUAAAAGAUAAUGAUUAAUAUUUGAUAAAAAAAAAGAGAUAAUGAUUAAUAUAAAGAGUCACAUUUACAUGAAAAUUUGAAAAUGCAUGUGAAUAAUAUAUACUCUCCGUCUAACUAAUUUCUUAUCUAUAUUUUUGUAUAAAAUUAUUAUAAUAAAAUAAAAUAUAAUUUAUUUCAAGAAAGGUAUAAUAUCAUAAACGUCCAUCACUUACAUUCUAAAAUUAUGUAAUAUUUUAUUAGUACGUAAAUAGUCAUAUUUUAUAAAGUAUUCCUCGGCGUCGCCGAGCGGCGACGCCUCGCACUUUAAUCGAAUAUUUUAUAAUUUUAUAUUUUAUUAUCAAAUAAAAAUAAUUAUAUAGCUAACGACGUCUCGCGUUUUGUUCAAAUAAUUUAUAUUUCAAAAUUUUGCAAUCAAUAUUAAUUUACAUGCAAUUCGUAGUUUCCUUGAAUAAAAGAUAAUGAUUAAUAUAAAGAGUCACAUUUACAUGAAAAUUUGCGAAUGCAGGUCAGUAAUAUAUACUCCUUCCGUCUAACUAAUUUCUUUACAUGUUCUCUUUACUAUUCGACACGCAUUUAAGAUUUUGAUUAAGUAUAAUUUCAUAAUUUAUUUUUAAAAAUUUUGUUCUAUGACUAAAAGUUUAAACAUAAUAUUUUUAAUUUAGAAAUUCAGAUUAUCAAAAUAUGAAAACUUAUAACCAACGUAAGAACUUGAGAGGAAAUAGAAAAUAGAAAAGAAAGUAUCAUUUUGAAAUUUGAAAGUGGGAUAGUUGUAUUUUUUAUCAGUUUGUGUAUAUAAGAAAGAGCAAGCGUACUUUGAGAAGCCAAACUUCUCAUGUAAGCUGUAAUAGUUACAUGCUGUGGGCCCGUUGUAGUGGCAGCUGGCUGUCAAUGACAUGCACGUAAAAUUCGUAAUUACGGAGUAAAGCAGGAUUGAAAUGUUUUCAUGAGACAUCUACUGUAGUAAACACGCUUCAAUAUACUGUAGGUUGAUAGGUAGAUAGAUAGAUUAGUCAAUAGAAGAUUUUUAAAACAAUGCUUACCUAUAAUCUUGUGAUUAGUGUAGCUGUAUUGAAAAUAGGAUCACGUGUGUUUCAUAAGGCACGGCCCUAUCAUCAAUUCGAAAGAGCAUAAACAUGUUCUUGACAAUAUUGCUGGAAAAUCUUUCUUGUUUGAUUGGUAUUAUAAAAAUUAUUCAUUGAAACUUAAACAGGAGAGUAUAUUAUAAUAGUUCCUUACCCUCUCCAUUUUAUUCAAAUAUUUAUAUUUAGGUUGCGCAUGAAAGUUAUAAAAGUAAGUAAAAUAAUGAGAUAAAUAUCAAAAAUUGAAUUUAGUGGUGGGAUUGAUUGAUAUUUAAUGUAUAAAAUAAGUAUAGUGGAGAAAAGUAAUGCGAUUAGUGAAUUUUUAUAUUAUAAAAUUAUAUUAUAUUUGGUAAAAUUUGAAAUGUAAAGAACUGGAUGGAAAUUAUAGAAAGAAAAAUAUAAAGAAAUGGUUGGGACAGAAUGAUUAGGUAUUAAUUAAAAUUUAUGCUUAUUUGAAGUUCAACUGGUAUUCUUACUAAAAUUUAUGCUUAUUUUAAAGGUCAGUAAUAUAUACUCCUUCCGUCUAACUAAUUUCUUUACAUGUUCUCUUUACUAUUCGACACGCAUUUAAGAUUUUGAUUAAGUAUAAUUUCAUAAUUUAUUUUUAAAAAUUUUGUUCUAUGACUAAAAGUUUAAACAUAAUAUUUUUAAUUUAGAAAUUCAGAUUAUCAAAAUAUGAAAACUUAUAACCAACGUAAGAACUUGAGAGGAAAUAGAAAAUAGAAAAGAAAGUAUCAUUUUGAAAUUUGAAAGUGGGAUAGUUGUAUUUUUUAUCAGUUUGUGUAUAUAAGAAAGAGCAAGCGUACUUUGAGAAGCCAAACUUCUCAUGUAAGCUGUAAUAGUUACAUGCUGUGGGCCCGUUGUAGUGGCAGCUGGCUGUCAAUGACAUGCACGUAAAAUUCGUAAUUACGGAGUAAAGCAGGAUUGAAAUGUUUUCAUGAGACAUCUACUGUAGUAAACACGCUUCAAUAUACUGUAGGUUGAUAGGUAGAUAGAUAGAUUAGUCAAUAGAAGAUUUUUAAAACAAUGCUUACCUAUAAUCUUGUGAUUAGUGUAGCUGUAUUGAAAAUAGGAUCACGUGUGUUUCAUAAGGCACGGCCCUAUCAUCAAUUCGAAAGAGCAUAAACAUGUUCUUGACAAUAUUGCUGGAAAAUCUUUCUUGUUUGAUUGGUAUUAUAAAAAUUAUUCAUUGAAACUUAAACAGGAGAGUAUAUUAUAAUAGUUCCUUACCCUCUCCAUUUUAUUCAAAUAUUUAUAUUUAGGUUGCGCAUGAAAGUUAUAAAAGUAAGUAAAAUAAUGAGAUAAAUAUCAAAAAUUGAAUUUAGUGGUGGGAUUGAUUGAUAUUUAAUGUAUAAAAUAAGUAUAGUGGAGAAAAGUAAUGCGAUUAGUGAAUUUUUAUAUUAUAAAAUUAUAUUAUAUUUGGUAAAAUUUGAAAUGUAAAGAACUGGAUGGAAAUUAUAGAAAGAAAAAUAUAAAGAAAUGGUUGGGACAGAAUGAUUAGGUAUUAAUUAAAAUUUAUGCUUAUUUGAAGUUCAACUGGUAUUCUUACUAAAAUUUAUGCUUAUUUUAAACAAAACAUAUAAAUAAAAAAUUUAACCAACCAGUUUAAAAAACACCACUCCAACCGCGUUCAUCUGUUGUCUAUAAUUUUAGCCAACCUUCUAUGAAUGACUAUAUUUGUCGAUCCGCUACAGGUCUGUAAGAAAUCUAUAGGAAGAUUACACAUCAUUUAUUACCAUAUUGAACUAAUAUAUUCUAUUUUAACAAUCUAAAAUAUUAAUAACAUACUAUUUUUAAAUUAUAGCCAACUAAUAUAGUCAAUAUCGUUGAAGCACAAUUUCUUACAGGUUCAGCAAAUUUUACAUAAUAUCUUACGGAUCCAAUUUAGCCAACGAUUAUAACCAACCCCGUUGAAGAUGCUCUUACAUGGGCGGGAAUAAUACAUAAAUUUGGGAUGAUUUGAAUUACAAAUCUAAGUACAAACUUAGCCGAAAAAAAGGAAAUAGGGAGAAGGAGCAUGGGAAGUAGGGACAUGCAGGACCGAGCGAGGCUUGUGUAUGUAAUAAGUACUCAUUGCCCAUCUUAAAAUAUUGAGUUAGUAAGAUUGGGUCAAAAAGUAUGGAAGGGUUUGAUGGGUAAAACUUUUUCCCAAAACGACAUUUGUUUUUGAAAAUAGUGCAAGAUAUCUGGUAAUGACACUAACAUGCUUAUCUCAUUCGUUUUAAUUUACAUUUUCAUUUUAAAAAGUCACAAAAUUCAAGAAAAGAGAACAUUCACAAAUUCAUUACAUUAAAUAUUCAUAAUAUAUAAAAUGAGGUUAAUGAAAUAUGAAUAAGAGAUAUCUGAAGUAAAAAUUGAUUUUAAAAAUAUAAUUUUACAUUGAAAGUUAAAGUAACAACUAUUUAAAAUUAUUUUUUCAUAAAUAAAUUGAUUAUAUUUUUAUUGAAUGAAAAUAAACUAUAUAUAUUUGCAAAUAUUAAAUAAUUCAAUUCAAUUAUAUAUUAGAGAAUGACUACUGAAGCUAUAAUAUCAAAAUCCAAAUAAUGUUGUUAGUUUGCUUUUUUUAAUACUCUGUGGCAGUUUUUUUAGGUUACUUUUUUACAUGCAUUUUGAGAUUUUUAUAAAAUAUAAUUUUAUAAUAUUUUUUUAAAAAAAUUCACGGAUAAAUGUUUGACAUUUAAAUUUUAAUUCAAAAAAAGUUAAUACAAAUAUAUAAAUUAUACUCGAUAGCAGUGCCAAAAUGAUGGCCUAAACUUAGCGGAUGUUUGGGUACACUACUUACGGACUUAAAAGUGGCAUAAGUCCGCUUCCACUUUCUAGUGCCUGUUUGGCAAACUAUUGAAGUACUUAAUUAUUGUGAAAAAAGUGCACGAAAAAAAAGCUACGUUACGCAGCUUUUUUAUGAGACUCAGCUUCUUUUUGUUCUGAAAUAAUUGAACCUACACUCACAAAGAAGCUAAUGAAUUACUCGAGAUGCAUAAUAAAUCUUAAAUUUAUUAUAAUAAUUAAUAAUAAUUAUAAUAAAUCUAAAUUUAUUAUAAUAUUAUUUAGUUAUUAAUUUUUUUCUUUAAAUACAGAGUUUAAAAUUUUGUAUUUUGUAAAGAAUAAAUUAACAGUAAAGUUAAUAAGUUAAAAAAAGUAACUAUUCCGUCAAACCCGUUAAGUCUGUUGGCUGUUUUAACAGGAGCCACUAAAAUGCUGUUUAAAAUGAAACAAUAGCCACCGAUAUGUAAAACAGGAAAUGUAGCCAUUUUUUCGUAAACCGAUGGUAAGUUUGGCCACCGAAAUGCAACUGACUAUAAAUUAUGUGCAUGUACGGAAGAGUGGUGUAUUUUAUCCGACGAUGCGCUCAAAUCUCAUCACAUUUCCAGCGUCCAUCAGAUUUUCUGACUAAUAUAGUAAUAUGGAUGCACAGCCGCACAGGAGCUGAUGCCAGUGGAGCAAGUACUCUCGAGUCUCGAUCAUGGGUUUUAAAAACUCUGGGCAAGAUGUCACUGUUAAGCAAGGUGGUGCUGACAGUACCAGUCCAAAAGAAAUCCUGUAGGGCUGUAUAGGCUUGUUGUUCGCAUGUAUUUUGAGAGUUUUCUAAAGUAGAGUUUCAUAACAUUUUUUUAUAAUUUUCUUUUAUUCAAAUAAAAGUUAAAUAUCAAAUUUGUAUUCAAAAGAAAAUGAAAUUAAGAUAUAUCAUAUAACUAUAUUUUAGAAUAAUUUUAAAAAACAUACCAAAAAGUAAAGUAUAUAAUGGACGUGGGAGUAUGGUGUGACAUUUGGUGUAAAAAUUACUCCAAUCCAACAUCAAAACAGUGUAAAAAUUACUCCAAUCCAACUUCGAAAUGGUGUAAAAAUUACCCCAACUGAAUUGGUUGACACCAAAUUUGGGAUCAAAUUUUAAUUUGGUGUAAUUUUUACAUCAAAUUUGGAGUAUUUUAAAAUGUCUAUUAUAUCCGCACACUUAUUAAAGAAAACAAAUUAAUUUCUUUUAUGUCCCAUUAAAAUUGUUUUAGUUCCUUAUCUAUUGAACAUGUUAAAAUUUAAGUACAAAUUCAAUAUUAUAUAAAUAACUUAAUAAAGAUUCCAUUUAAUGUGUAAAAGAUUUUUUUUAUAGAGGAUAUGGUAUUGAUGGGUUGAACUGAAGUUUUGAUAUAACUUAAUUUUCAAACGGGAAUGAUGUCAUUAGUUGGAGAUGGUCUUAAGCAUUCACAUUGGAUGCCCCAUCCCUAUCCCUAUAUUCUUGCUAAAUUUAGUAAUUCCCCAAAUUCAUCUUCAUGAAUUUAAAAAUCUCCUACAUCUCAUUCCCCAUUCUAUCUUACCCCAUCCCUAUAUUCUUUUUUAUAUUACUUCUUUCUCUCUCUUUCAUGUAUUAUAUAAUCAAUCACAUCUCAAAAUAAAACUAAAAAAUGAAAAGAAAAGGAUUAGGGCAUGAAUAGUGAGUCCCCAAAUAUGAGGUUUUAGUUUUUGUCCCUAAAACAAAACCCCAUUUUAGGGAUUCGGAUGGAGCAACAAGCCAACAAUUUUGAUAAAAAAUUAAAAAUUUCCUUAAAUUAUAAGGAUAGGGGAGAGAUAGGGAAGCCAAUGUGGGAAGCCAAUGUGAAUGCUCUUAUAUGUCUUUCUCUUAUGUUAAGUUUAGUUUCCCAUCUUGUAAAAACUAUAUAUAUACAGAGUACUGAAUAUAAAAUAAAUCCGAAUACACACAGUUAUCCAAGAAUAGGUUAAGAGGAGAGAUAGUGGUUGGAGCAGAAUAUCCUGCUUUUAAUCAAUGGAGUAGUGUUGUUCAUUAAUUUUAAAAGACCUCUAACCUAGACUCCAGAGUUUAAAAGCAUACACCUUUUACUAUUGUUAUUCAUUGUCAUUAGACCAUCCCAGAAAGUGAAAAGCUUUAUCCCGCGGAUGUGCAUAUUUAACUGUACUCGAGUCUUAACAGCUGGCUCGGUUUAGUAAUUUGUUAAGUAUAUAAAAAUUAUGAGCAUGUGCAUGAUAUAUAUUGAUAUGAGAGUUAAAUAACAUGACCUAUUUUCAAUUGUACAUAAUGAGAGUUAAAUAACAUGAACUAUUUUCAUAGGUAACCCGUAAGUCGUAACCUCAACUUGGCAACUUCUAUGACAACAACAAUCUCAAAUUACUUGCCACCGUAUUGACCGUUGAGCCUUUGAAUGGGAUGAACCAUUAGCUAGAAAAUUAAAAGCAGGUAUCAACUAUCUGGACAUUUUUAUUUUUUGUUUUGAAAACCAGAUGAUAUAAUUGGACCGUUUGGGUGUACCUAAGAUGAGUUAAAAAAGUGAAGUUUGAAUUAUAAUCAAGUUAAUACUUAAUUACUUCAGAGAGUUUGCUAAUAAUCUUUGGCCAAUAAUUGCUCCAGGCUUUAGACUCGCUAGAAAAUGUAUGAGAUAUUAAUCAAUAUACUCCAUCUUCAUCAUCCUGCACAUAAUGCAUUCCACCAUAUUCAUCAGCAAAAUUAGAUAUGAUAGUAAUUAGCCAGGAUUAUCACAGCACCAGAUCUUAAAAGGUAAUUAUACUAUACCUUUUUUUUUUAUAUAUAUAAGCCAUCAAAUCCAAAAAAUAAAAUAUUUGUCAUCAAUACUCCUACAGAGAAUAUUGGAUACAACUUGAUAUAUCUCUACAAAGCUAGUAUCGAUUCAUUUAAAUAAAAUCAUGGUGUAGAAAAUGACUAUAUUGUGAGCCGGUGAACCAUUUCAUGGCAAUCUGCCUUGCCACCCAAAAGACUGAAGCCAGUUUUGUACCUAGUGGAGGCACACAUGUUACUUGUUCUUGAGCGGUCUAUCCCCAAGAUAGUAGAGUUUGGCCCUCCUCACAUUCUUCUUGUCCAGCACCUUUAUCUCCUUUAUAUUAGGCGAAUACAAUGGAAAUUGGAAAGAGAGAUUCAAAUCCAAUUCCUGUUACCAGCCUUCUUAGUCUAACUGUAGUGUUGAGACCAGCGUUGCGCCUUGCAAUAACAAUGCCUUUCAAGGUUGAAGUGCGUCUCUUCUUCUCAGGUGCACUUUGAGCUGGAUUAUAUAACCAGGUUUGAUAUCAGCUGGUAUCUCUCUAUGUGCUUUGAGCAGCAGGACCUGGACAAUUUCUUGGCAACAUCUCCGAGAGGGGAGAUGCCAUUUACGGUAGAAAAUACAGCUAUGAUCUCACAUAAUAGGACAUUAAACAAAGAUGGUAUAUAUUUUUAAGUACCUGAGACGGUAGACAUUUCCUUUAACACAUGAGUUCUGUUCUAGCAAAAGAAGACGAUAAUCUCUUGUAGAUCUUGGUUUUCUCAUCAAGAACUCAUCAAAAACGGCAAAUUCAAAAUCCAGAUGACUGAAAAACAAACAAACAACAUGCAUUACAUUAUAUGUGUGGCAAAAUUAUUGAGUAAUCAAUGUUUCUUAAAACAUUGCAUAAAUACAUAGUUGCAUACAAAACAAUCAAUUUGUUAAAUGCAGCAACUUGAGAGAGGGAAAGUAAAUAAGUAGAGAAAGUGAGAGGGUUUUCAAAUUUUGAAAUUUGAAGAUGACUAAAACAGAUGAGAAAGAUGACUUACAUGAAUUGUAUAUAAUUUUAAGUACAAUAAUGAAUAACCCAUCAACUUUUCACAUUGGGAGUGAGAAGACACACAUAUUGUAUACAUACAGCUGUUCUAUUACACAACACGCACGCAAAUUCUCCAUGUAGUACUGAUAUAGUACAAAGCUUUAAUGACAAUAUGUCCUUCAUUUUUAAAAAAAAUAAAAAGCAUGCAGGAGAGCAGAGAAUUACACUCUAUGUAUAUGCAAUUGCACAUGCAAAAACAGUAGAAGUAUUAUACAUGUAGGCAUACAUAGUAUACCAGUCGUACAAAAAUCAUGAUACAUCAGCUUUUCCUUUGUAAAUAUGUACAAAUGUAGUAUUAGUAGGUAAAUACAUAGUAUUAUACGUUAGAAGGAGUAGAAAAAGUACAGUAUGAAGGUACUGAAAUUAUUCAGGAAUUAUAAGUUAUAUAGAUUAGUAACUUAAACGUUUAUCAACAGAAUAAAGCAAAAUUUGCUGUUACAGCAUUUGACUGGGUACUAACCACUUUGAAUAUAUAACUGCUAAGAAAAUUAAUCCAUAUAUUGAGGCAAAGGUCAAGCAAACGUACCGCUUGGGCAGCUUCAUCUAUUAUAACAACAUAAAAAGUGCAAUUCAGUUUACUGAAAAGAGAUGAACCACUGAAACUGAGUGUAGAGAAUACCUGCAACAAGUUCAGGAAUCAGCAAAGCUUUCAAACUUUAAUUUUAAAAAGAAAACUAGAAUAACAUACAAUCGCUGCUUCAUCUAAAAUUAAAUUACGGAUGGCAUUUUUAUCCCUUCCAGCACUUCCAUGCUUCUGUUUUUCACCAGUCUGGAAAUCCACGCCAGCAAUUUUUUGUUCCACCUAAAAAUUAGGACAUAAUGGAGCCUGUCUAAACGAAGGUACACAAAUUUUCAGAAAGUUUGCCAUGUGUUUGUCUUGCCAGGUACUUGCAAGAUGAUCCAUAGAUGCGGGAGCAAAAGAGUGAUGGACGUUGAGACCUAUUCGUACAAUUUAAGGGGUGUAUAAACGAUCACUUUCAUCAUGAAUACCCAAGAACAGCAAAAAAUGACGUAUAUUAGUUGGACACACAAACAAUUCUAUCACAAGGAAAAAGAUGUUGCUUAUAGAAAUCUUCAGAACUGACAUAUUUAAGAUGGAAGGAUAAGAAACGUGGCAUGUUAGAUUCAUAUGCCGGUAUUUUCUUGGAGAAAAGUUGGCUAGUUUUGCCUUUUCGUGUAAUAUCAAUUUGUGAGACUAGGUCAGAAACUGCAGCUAGAGUGCCCAUUUGGAAGUCACUCAUAGUACGAAACGCCUCCCAUUUAUCAGCUUCCAGGAUAACAGAGCAUAUAUCCUUUGAUUAUGGCACGACCCAGCGGGGCAUAAAUUGCCCAGAGUUGGUUCACCAAUCGCGUAAGGAAGGGGAUAGUCCCCACCAUCACAUGCCUGAAAGAGUCGUUUGAACCACGGAAGACUGCGCCAAUGCCUCAAGUGUUACCAAUUUCAGAAGGAACGAGAGAAUGUGUUCCAUGAACGUUUACUUUCAGAGUGCCUGGGUUGGGCGGAAUCCAGUGAUAUGCCAUGUUUGCACUGUUGAAAAAGAAAGUAGAGCCCCGAAUUUUUAUGGCUGCAUACUUGCAAAAUUUGGAGAAGAUUUGUACUACUUAACGUUUGUAAGUAAAUGCUCGACUGAAGCUUGAGAAGAACCACCUGAGUUCAUCAUUGCUAAUACAGUUGACUUACACAUGGAACUCAGCAUGUAUUAGCAAGUGAAGAUACGGAAUCAAUGUAGGGAGUUCCAUGCAAGUUAAUAUACUUUGAUAAUUCUAUAUGAAGCAGUCUAGUAAUGACAACAAAAGUAGCCCUCUCUUGCAGGUCCAUGAUGAAAGCCAAUUAAAAGAAUUUUGCCAAGCAUAACUUCAUGUUUUCUGCCGACCACAAAGCAUGACCUACUAAAUUAAUGUUUUUGACGUAGUAAAGCAGCAUCUCAACUAGAGAAGCGUGAAGUACAGAGAAAGGCAAGGCCCUCUCUUUCCUUGUCACACCUAUGGAAAGUACUUCUCACGCAAGGCAAGGAGAGCAGCAUCCGGUUCAUGCACUUCAAUUAAGUACAGUAACGCAGAUGCCAUAGAUGCAUCUGCUGCAAACCGAUGACCAAGCAUUUCAUCUAGGUACACCUGCUUCAUAGUAAUUCUUAUUCUGUAAACAACCGCAGAAAAGCAUGUUCAAUGUGACAUCAUUAGGCAAGCAAUCUUUGGCUUCCGUAUAGUUCACUCGCUUCAUCCAAUAACCCUUCAUGACAAUAUGCUUGGAUCAUCACUGUGUAUGUCUUGACAUCAGAUGGCACACAUUUCACAGGAAAGUUGUUAAAAAUGCUUCUUGCGUUCUCCAGAUGUGUUUUUCACCAGUCUGGAAAUCCACGCCAGCAAUUUUUUGUUCCACCUAAAAAUUAGGACAUAAUGGAGCCUGUCUAAACGAAGGUACACAAAUUUUCAGAAAGUUUGCCAUGUGUUUGUCUUGCCAGGUACUUGCAAGAUGAUCCAUAGAUGCGGGAGCAAAAGAGUGAUGGACGUUGAGACCUAUUCGUACAAUUUAANAUUUAAAUCAGGCAAGUGGUUUUUAGUAGUACUAAUAAAUUAGUCUGAUGCAAGUCUGGAUAACAACAUUGCAAGUACUUUAGCUGAGAAAAUGCUCAAUGUAGUAUUGUACAGAGGGGCACAAGGCUAGUGAACAAAUAGCUGGCAGAGUGCUCAUAGACUUGCCUUGAUUAGAAGACCUUAGUUUAACUAUUAGCACUUGCAAUUUCUUAACAUUUAGGCAUGCUUAUCAGCUUCUUCACAUCUCUGCUUGAGAACUUAAAACACAGAAACACAAAUAUUUAAGAUGGAAGGAUAAGAAACUUGGUAUGUUAGAUUCAUGUGCAGGUAUUUUUUUGGAGAAAAGUUGGCAUGUUUUGCCUUUUCGUGUAAUAUGCAUCCAUCAGAAUUUACAUGUAUAAACAACAGGGCUAGCAGUUGAACAAAAAUUCAAACAGGAACCAUUUAAUUGAAUAUCAUCAUAACAGGAAAUAAAGGUCUUAUAUGGAGAUUUUGACUGAACAACAGAAGUGCAUCAUCGAGCUAUUAAAAUCCAAAUUAGAAUCAUAUGAAGCAACUAUUGCAAGAAUUUCUUACGCAAAGCAAGAAGAGCCAUGGAUAAGUGUUUUGUAGGUAGCAUCACUAGGCAAGCAAUUACUAGCUUGCAUUUUCACAAAAGUUUAUUAGCUUCAUCCAGUAGCUCCCCUUGACAAAAUGUGUAAAUCUUGACAUUAGGUCUUAAGCGAACGAAGGCUGUUAAAAAGACUUUUUGCCUUUUCAAAAUGUCCGUCUUUGCUUCCACACGUCUGCCUGCAAGAAAAUAACAUUCCAAUAUAGUACGGUAACUCUCAAUAGUUGCUUUUAAACCUUCAAAAAUGCUGGCAAAAUCGAAAAGAGUAUGUACCUUAAAAAAUGCUGGCAAAAUCGAAAAGAUUAUGCUGGAAAUAUCUAGCAUAAAUAAAUGAAAGUAAUAAAUUUUUAAAUAAUUAAUGAUUUGAAUCAUUUAUUUUUAAACAAAAAAUGAUCGAUCAAUUUCUAACCUUAACAAUGUAUAAGAAAAUAAUAUCAUUAUAAAAUCAAUAUCUACCACUUAAAAUUGAAUAAAAAAUAUUUUAAUGCUAUAUUUUUACAUAAUCUUCACAUUCGUAUCAUCGGAUCAUUUAUAAGCCGCACUAAAAAAAUAAAUAAAUUCUACAGUGGCGUUUAGAAACUCUAUGUUCAUAUACAAUCAGUAAAAAAAUAACUAAUAAAAUGACAACUAUUAAUCAUAAAUACAAUAAAAUAGAUUGUUCAAGCUAGGUAGACAGCAUAACUCAGUCCUCGUACUUCCCACGAACUCUAAACACCUGGGAAUUAUAAGGGCGCUAUAUAGCAAGGUCCAAGGAACACCUUUUAUAAAGAUUCAUAUACAAUGGAGACCAUAGAGGGUAAUGGUACAUGCUGGUUUUGAACAAAAAGAGUUGGGAUUUAAAGAUAAUGUCAAAAGAUAAGAAUUUUAUUUGGAGGGUGGUCACAAGAUUUAUUCCUAUGACGAUGAAGUUGGUUAAAAAAAAGUACUGAUUCAAAAUAGUGCUUGUAUGUAGGAAAGAUAGUGAGACAAUAUUUCACUUAUUGGUUUCAUGUUUUCUUAUUCAUGUUUGCCGGAGAAAGAUGAAGGUAAUAAAUUUGAGGAAAGAUAAAGUUAAUAAAUUUGAGAAAUAAUGCCAAAUUUGGUUGUUGACUCUCAAAUUUGUAUGACAAAGUCGUAAGAAAAUGAGUAUAUUAGUAGAUAAGCAAUUAUUGGUAGAUAAUAUUGAUGCAUUAGUAUUUCUUCACUUACACAUUUGAGCCUGUUGAUAAGUUAAGUCUCAAACUGAUACUAAAAAAUGAAUUCUCAACCUGAAGCACGAUGUGAUUAUAGUUUUGUAACACGAUCGAGAUCGCGAGAUUACUUUAUGAAGGCUCGUACUCAUAAUUGUACUUAAAAUAUUUAAAUAAUGAAAACGUAGAUAUUAAAAAAUAUAUUUUAGUGCUCAAUCUCCCGGAGAACAUGUUUGCUUAUUUGGGAGCUGGAUUAGGUCUCUGUUAUCUAUUUGAAUCACGCAAGUGGUUUUUAGUAGUACUGAGAAAUUAUUCUGAUGCAAGUCCGGAUAACAACAUUGCAAAUACUUUAACUGUGAAACAGCUCAAUGUAGUAUUGUACAGAGGGGAACAAGGCUAGUGAACAAAUAGCUGGCAGAGUGCUCAUAGACUUGCCUUGAUUAGAAGACCUUAGUUUAACUAUUAGCACUUGCUAUAUCUUAACAUCUAGGCAAUGUUUAUCGGCUUCUUCACAUCUCUGCUUGAGAAGUUAGAACACAGAAACACACAUAUUUAAGAUUGAAGGAUAAGAAACGUGGUAUGAUAGAUUCAUAUACCGGUAUUUUCUUGGAGAAAAAGUUGGCUAGUUUUGCCUUUUCAUGUAAUAUGCAUCCGUCAGAAUUUACAUGUAUAAACAACAGGGCUAGCAGUUGAACAAAAAUUCAAACAGGAACCAUUUGAUUGAAUAUCAUAACAAGAAAUAGAGGUCUUAUUUCGAGAUUUUAACUGAACAAUAGUAGCGGAUUAUCAAGCUAUUAAAAUCCAGAUUAGAAUUAUAUGAAGCAAGUAAGCAACUAAUGCCAGAAUUUCUUACACAAAGCAGGAAGAGCAGGAACCUGUUUUUUAAUUCAAGUAAUCCCAGGGCCAAGGACAUUAAAAUGCAUCUGCGGAGCCUUGAGCACACAUUGCUUCUACAAGUACAAUUGCUUCACUGUACUUAUUGUGAAAACAGCCGUGGACAACUGUGUUGUAGGUAGCAUUAGGCAAGCAAAUACUAGCUUCCAUUUUCACAAAAACUUUAUUAGCUUCAUCCAGUAACCCCCCUUGACAAAAUGUCCAUCUUUGCUUCCACACAUUUGCCUGUAAGAAAAUAACUUUGUAAUAUAGUACUGUAAGUCUCAAUAGUUGCUUUUAAACCGUCAAAAUUGCUGGCAAAAUCGAAAAGAUUAUGUACCUGAGAACUCUCUCCUUUGUAACACCUACGGCGAGUACUUCUUGCACAAAGCAAGCAGAGCAGGAUUCUGUUCUUGCACAUCAAGUAAAUCCAGUAAACCAGAUGCAGUAGAUGCGUCUGCUGCAAAGCCGCGACCAAACAUUUCAUCUAGGAGUACACCUGCUUCAUAGUAAUUCUUAUUCUGUAAACAACCGCGAAUAAGCAUGUUGUAUGUGACAUCAUUAGGCAAGCAAUCAUCAGCUUCCAUUUCCCUGAAUAGUUCAUUUGCUUCAUCCAAUAACCCUUCAUUACAAUAUGCUUGGAUCAUCACUGUGUAUGUCUUGACAUUAGGUCGCAAACCUUUCGCAGGAAGGUUGUCAAAAAGGCUUCUUGCAUUCUCGAGAUGUCCAUUUUUGCUCAGUCCAUCCAUCAGAAUAGUGUAAACAUGUAUAUCAGGAACUAGCCCACGGGAUUCCAGUAUUUGAAAGAAGGAUAGUGCUUCAAAUACAUAACAAUUCUGGCAAAGACCAUGCAACAAGAUAUUGCAUGUCACUAUAUCUAACUCAACACCUUCGUUAAUCAUCUUUUCCUUAAAAAAUUUACGUGCUUCAACAUGUCUACCCGCAUAAAAAAAACCUUGCAGUAUAGUACUGUAAGUCUCAAUAGUUGGGGCUAAACCUUUAGAGGGCAUCUGUUGAAAAAGAGCUAUUGCUCUGUCCACUUUCAUCUUUCUACAGUACCCGUUGAUCAGAAUAUUAUAGCUAAGAGCAUUAGGCAGUAUUCCCUUUCUCGCCAUGCUUUCGAACACUGCUAAAGCUUUAUCAACCUCUCCCCUCAAGCAGUAUCCAUCCAUGAGUGAGCUGUAAGUGACUACAUCAGGAUCUACUCCUUUUUGAAUCAUCAACUCUAUCACAUCCUCUGCAUCUUUAACCAUUCCUUCUUUGCAAUACGCAUCAACCAAUAUAUUGUAAGUAAAAUCAUUUUGAGAAAUGUUCCUAACAUCCAUCUCCUUGAGCAAUUGUUUGACAUCAUGCCAACGAUUAACGUCACACAGACCUUGAACUAAAGAGUUGUAGGUUAUAACAUCUGGAGAUAUGCCCCUGAUGAGGCAUAUCUUGGGAAAUAAGGCCCCUGAUGAGAGUGGUAUAAGUAACCACACUUGGCACAAAACCGAGCUUGAUGAUUCCAGCCAAUAGUGAAAAGGCAAAAUCGACGCGAUUCAAGUGACAAAAGCAGUUAAUGAGAGUAUUAAAGGUAAUGACAUUAACAGGGAUGCUUUCUACACGCAUCUUUCUAAAAAGGGAGACAGCUACGGAGUAGUGUUUCAUUUUAACAAGGGCAGCUAAUAGUUGAGUGAAGUCGAUAACAGUAGGCGAGGCUUCAUAAGGAGCAUUUUAUCAAACAGUCGAAGAGCGGCAAGAAGUAAAUGUUGAAGACGAGCGUGAGAUGGAUCAGAGGAAUAAGGGAAACGGGGUUUGGGUUUAAAGGGAAUAUUAGGGUUAGGGUUAGUGGAGAAGUGAGAAACUGCAAUAACAGAAUGUCUUAGGAAUCGAGAAUUUGAGAUGACAAAUUUCUUCAUCGUCGUCAUCAUCAUGAUAUCUAUACUUGUUGGACACUCAAAAAAUUAGCCGGCAGAGCAGAGCAGAUGAUAUCAAUUCUUUUCAAUAGUGAUCGAAACUGAAUCACAGUGAAAACGGCGAAAACUUAGAACUAAUCAACAAGAAACAAAACAAACAACACUUGGCAGUUUUUCGUAAAACAGAAGGAAGGAACUCAUCACCCAUUUUAAUGGUAUUAACCCUAACUCGAACGUGUUUUACUCCCAUGCAAACUUGAACCAUGUAUAUCUCUUUUUAAUUUUAACGUAUUUAUUUCAAAACAAAACAAACAACUAAGUCUAUAAAAGAUAAAUAAUAUAUUUUUUCUUAUAAAUGAUGAAAUUUAAAUUAUGAUAUAAAUAUUUAUUAAAAAACAGAUUAUCACAUAUGUAUAGGGCUGUAAAAUGAACCGGGUGAUCCCGGGUACUCCUCUCCUCAAGUACCGGAUCAUAUUAUUUUUAGCUUGUCCAGAUUUGGGUUCGGGAUCGUUUUAUUCGGGUAUAAACCGAUCCCGAGUAUUUGAGAUUCGGAUCUGAACCGGAUAUGAUCCAGUAUCGUAUUUUCUAUUUUUUAACCGGGUAGUUUAUAAUCCAUCAAAUAUGAGCCGGAUAUGAUCCACUAACAUCAAAUAUCAUUAUUAUUUCAGUUGUUCAAAUAAUUAUCAUUUAGUUUAAGUAAACAUAAUAUUAUAAAGUAUAAUAGUUUUGAAUUAAAACUUAUAGUUAUGUGUUGGUAUAUAUCAUUUAUUAAAUAUAUAUGAAGAUAAUAAGCAUGAUCACAUUAAAUAAAUCAUAUUUUAUGAAGAUAUAAACUUAAAUAAGAUAUUACAAUUUUAUAAAAUGAUGACUAUUUACUUGCAAAUGUGUUGGUGUUAAAAUAUAAUAUGUAUAUGAGUUUGAAUCGAAUAUGAACCGUGGAUCAUGUUCGGUUAUUCGGGUAGGAUCAUAUUAUGAAAAAUUAUAUGAGCCUGAAUCUGAGCGGGUAUAGGUGUGCUCGUAUCCGGGAUCAUAUAUUAUACGGGCUUAAUUUUUCCGCCAAAUUUGGAUCGUUUUCAAAACGGAUAUGAGACAUGUAUCAUAUUUUCGAGCCGGAUAUGAGUCGAGACACCGGAUAGUCCGUAUCGAUUUACAGCCAUACAUAUGUAUAUUAGAAAAACAUUUACAGAUAAAUAAUAAAAACACUUUAUUAAUUAUAUUAUGUAAUAACAAUAUGUAUAAAAAUACUGUAAAAGUUAAAUUUGUAAGAGAAAAUAUAAUCAAGUCUAAUAUGAUAUAAUCAAACUUCAAUUCAUUAUCAUACAACCGGACAUGCAAAAAAUGACCGCAUCCAAUAGUACUAAACAAAUAAUAAAUAAGGUUAAAUAUUAAAGGGAAAAUAUAUAUUUUUUGUUACUCAAGUUAUUGUGUAUUUAGAAAUUUACCACCAACUGUAAAUUUUUUUAAUUUACUCAUUGAUGUUAGAUUCAGAUUAUUCUUUUUGUCACUAAAGUUAAGUUCGCCUUUGAUUAUUAAUAUUACUAGCCUAUAACCCGUGCGAAGCACGGGCGACCAUAUUAUUUCUUUUUUUUUAUUUGUAAGCUUAAUAUCAUUUUUUGUGUUUUAUUAUUAAUUUAAUAUAAUGGUAUUAAAUUAUAUUAACUGAUUGGUUAUAUUCACUUUUGAAAGUUUGGCUUGUACAAUAUUUUUCUCUAUUAUAAAAUAUUUUUAAGCAUAAUAAAAAAGUACAAUGGCAAUACGAUUUAGCAAUAACAUGAACAGCUUAAUGAUUGAUCACAAUCAUUUACAAACCAUCCAAAUGUAAAAAUAUCUCUAAUUCUUACUCACAUUAUGGUCAAUUUCAGAUACAUAAAUGGUGCAACGAAUAUUUUCAUCUCUUUGAGACUUAAAAGUUUUCCACUUAUCCGCUUCCUUCCCCAAGUUAGUUCUUCUCUAUUGAAACAAAAUUCGAAAACUAAAAUAUAAAUCAUAUUGACAUUGUAUAAAAAAUACUUUUAAUCACCGAAAAGGCCUCAGCAAUCUCAUGCGAACCAUGGAAGAAAUCUCCUCCGCAGCAAAUUGCUUAUCCUCACCUUUGUAAGAUACAGUACUAAAAAAUUUCACUAUAUUUCAAUAUAAUUCAGAUCCUAAAAAAUUAAAAAAUAAUUGCUUUUUUUAAGUAGAUGAGGACACUUAACUCACAAAACAGAGUCAAAUGAAUGCCACUUCAUUCUUCAAGUCCUGUUCAAAACUUGGCAAAGGAGCAUUCCUUUGGGAGGUUGUUUUCAAAUCUCUUAUUAUCUUGGCAAUAAUCAUAUAUGAGAUGAUAUUUUCUCACCAACUUGAACCACCUUCUUUGUGUCUGGCUUAAUGACCUAAACCUCUCCUUAUGCUAUCAAUUUGUCAAGCUUUCUCUGCAAAACCUUGCAUUCCCUUUCCACACACAAGCAUCAAUCUGAUAGUUCCUGAAUGAGGUAUUGAAGGGACCCUUUGACCAAUUAAUACGUUCUGCUAUCCUAUAGGCUCACUUUAAUGCUCAUUGGUUGCCACAUUGGAUAUUCAACUCCCUUGUCAGCAUAGUUCCUGCAUGUUCUUAUGGGAACAAAAUCCACCAUGAACCUACACCGAGUACAAAUAAAUAGAUUAGUACAAAUAAAUAGAUUGCUUAUAUGCUUGUGCAUCAUUUUCUGAGAUUAUACAUAUAAUCACAAAAAAAUUCAUCGUUUGAAAAUUCACUUACACAAUUUGGUAAAGAUUCCAGAGGAUGGAGUAUGUUUGAAAAUCCUUCGUCGGGUCAAACCACAAAUAUAUCCUUUCUUCUCUAUUGUCAAAGCCAUCAGCAAAAAUAUUGGUCUGAAGUAUGUAAGGCUGCCCGUACACAUUUCCAAGUAACUCAAAAUCUAUUUCAUCGUGAUUAGGCUGAUCACAUGUAAGCUGCAAUCACAAAGACAUUCUUAUCUAUAUUUCUCAAAUUGUGAGUUCUUAGGGGACAUGUCACAAUGUCCAUCAUGUGAUUUCAUCAGUAAUGUGCAUAUGCUAGCUUAACAUGAUGUACUACAUUCACUGUUAUAUUACAUAUAUUGUGUAUGUAGAAACAUGGCCAGUUAAAAAGGUGAGUUGCAGGAUUUAUUUGUCAUCUGCAAUCUAGGAGUAAUUAGCUUUACUCAAAUAUAAAUACACAAACUCUCCCACCUUGUGAGGUAUAAGGGCUUCAGUAUUAUCAUAGCCUAUUAUCUCUGUAGCCAAAUUAUAUGUCCAUCACAUUUGAUGUUUCGUCUGCUCCCGCUCCUAAUGAUGCACACUCUGUCCGGACAACCACUCACACCUAAGUUGUUAUAUAAUUGACCUGGUCUUCUCGAUUUGGAUCAACUUUAGCUGCCGAGUGAGAAUUGGGUACUUGGGAGAUUCUCCUAAAAAAUCAGUUGAGAUGCGGAUAGCUCUUUUUUUCGGACCUGGCUUGCGAAUUCCAUGACAUUGGAAUAUUAGUUAUACAUUUGUAGUUAUAUGGGCUAUGGACAGUAGAGCACCUUCAGGACCAUGUCAAGAAAUUUACUCAGAUUUGGGUGAUUAGUCCCUGCAUCUAUGAAUUAGCACCAAAUACAGUAAUACUUGGACCUAUUUACUAUGAUACUAUAUAUGAGAGAAAAUCUACAGAAUACCAAUCACACAUCAGAAAAUAUAGAAAACACUUGAAACUUCAAACUUCUUGCUGGACGCAGCAUUGACACCAAAACAUGAUAGGAUUUCAGCCUUUAGACUAAAUACCACGAAACUAAUCAACUUACAACCAGUUUAUAAAAUUACAUUCCUUCGCAAUCAUUGCAUAGAUAUUAAAGACCAAAAUAUGAGAUCUUCAUUGCACAUAGAUAAAAAGAUGCUGCAAAGCACAUUUACCUGAAUUUCACCACAUACAUAUUAAAGACCAAGAUAUGAGAUCUUCAUUGCAUAUAGAUAAAAAGAUGCUGCAAAGCACAUUUACCUGAAUUUCACCACAUACAAAUUAAAGACCAAGAUAUGAGAUCUUCAUUGCAUAUAGAUAAAAAGAUGCUGGCAAGCAUAUUUACCUGAAUUUCUCACAUAUGCAAGAUGUACUGACCACACAAGAAUUUAUCACCUGAACAUAAAAUCAGAAAAAAAAUAAAAUUAUCAUGCUACUGCGAUCUAGAAAGUAUAGAGGAGACCCCUGCUACCUGAAUAGCAAAAAGAACAGCAAUAAAUAAAUAAAAAUGAGCAAUGAGUUCUGCACUUCAGUUAUAGCAUUAUAUAAAAGACUGCUGCAGAAAAUAAAAUUAAAGAAAGUUAAGGAGUAAAAGACCUAUAAGAAAUUAUCAACCAGGCUACUCAUAGUGAUAAGAACUGAAUUCACACCAUAUAACAACUUCAUAUUGAGAAGAGAGAAAGCAUACCUAUUCUAGCGCUCUCGGUUCCACAACUACCCCAUCAGAUUCUCUAUCUCCAAACUCAACAUCUACAAACUCAACAGUCAUGAUAUAUUAUUCCUUGCUUCAGUCUUUCUCAAUUUUAUUAGAUCAUCUUCAGCACUCUUUAUAGGCAUACAUGGGUGCAUUGAGAAUAACUAACCUACUCCAUUAUCAAUCAUAUUCUUCCCUAGGUCCCCUGUACCACCAAAUGAAGACCCCCGAUCAAAACCUCCGUGUAUAUAUACAAUUUAACCAAUGAAAACAAAAGGACUUGUAAAAUGGAAUUUAAAAAGUCUUUUAACCGUAACAAUCAAUAAACUGGAAAAAUAGAGUCCCUUAUUAACUUAAAAAUAUUUUAAUUUUAAUUCCAAGCCACCAAAAUGAGCAAAGCACAGAGGAGCCUAAUAAUUAUAAAAUGAAAUGGAGAGAUUUCAGAGAUGACACGUCAUCCUCUGAAGAUCCUCCUUUAUAUAUAUAUAAGAUAAGAUUAAUAUUUCUACAACAUAGGACAUUUGCACCAGAUCCAAUAGGUCAGAAGGUAACAUAAUACCUGUAAAACUUGAACACCAGUCCAUUAACAGCCUCGUACAUAAGCCAACAACUUUAAUUUGUCAAUUAUUUUUAAUCAUAGAUAUCCGUCAUAUAUAAAUACAUAUUGAAAAAAAGAUCACAAACCUUUAUCACCAAAACAAACUUUAUGAAAUUCUCUGCAGACCAACCAAAACAAAGCAUACAGUAUACAACUAACAAAGCAUACAGUAUAGGUAACAAUCCUUUAAUGAAUACACGAGUUUCAAGUUAAUUUGGUAUAGUUAUUAACAAAAAGCAGUACCAUUUUAUGAAUGUGGAUAUAUUGGUGCUCUAAUACAGCCGAGUGAGGGUCUGAACCCACUCAUACAUCCAAGAAAAAAAAAAUUAGCACAAAAGAGUGUUACAAGUUUUUAAACUCAUUUUCCAGAUUGAUAACCUUCUCUUGUGACGCCAAAGAUUCAAGUAAUAGCAGCAGGACCAGAAGAAGAAUUAGGCAACAACUCUCUGUGACUCUCUCCGAUCACAUAAUCAAUUUCCAGCUGCUGGAAUACUAACAAUACAGUUCAUAAAUUAACAGCAGCUGAACAAAUCAUUUACUCGCAGAUGUUCGCAAAGUGUGAGAUAUAUCCAAUAUUAAUUAUAAAAAUAUGUAUAUGAAAUGCCUUGAAAAUCAAAAUGAUAUAAACAACAAAGAUGAAAUUAUCAAUCCUUAUAAGCAACUAAAUUACUGAACUUAAGAUAAAUAAACAAUGGAUAACAAAGAAAGCCAGUUAUUUAGAACACAGAGAACUCAUAUUCAUAUAUAUGUAUCCCGAAUAUACCUUCAGAGGAGAUGAAUUAUGUAGUGUUCUUGAGAGAUGGAAUGAAAAGUAGCACAGGAGCUCGCCGAGAUGAAGAGAGAGACAGCAGGCUAUGGUGAUAGGCUCUUGUAAUUCUACUCUGUCCCUCAAUCAUUUUUAAAAAAUCAGAUAAAUGGUGAGGUUUUUUUCGUGAAGGAGCCGACAAAAUCGAUGGAUUGAUACUAUAGACUACAGGUUGCAGAGAACAGUACUUACUUCAUGAAUACCUGCAGAGAAACAAAAAGCAAAUGCAAUUAGGGACGAGUUUAAGUGAGUAAAGGUAAGAAUGAGGAGAGACAGAGAUAGAAUUACCGAAGUGAGAAUAGGCGAAGUAAUAGUCGGCGCUUGUCUGGUCGGCGCCGAUGAUAGAGCCGUCGAGGCCACACAUGGCAGAAUCCUCUUCGAGAAUGGAGCUACCUGUUGUGGUUCCUUCCAAUUCAUUGUCCUCCUCGUCCUCAAAUUUUAUUUUUGAGAGCUUCUAUGAAGUAUUCAUAUCCUAGGGUUUAUCUGUGUUCAGGGUUUUCGAUUCCAAUUGAGAGCCGCUCUUGUUUGUCAAAUGUUUUAUGUAGUAUUUGGUUUUUCUUCAAAGUCGAUCUCUGUUGGGAAUAGGAGACGUAGUCUAAUGAUGACAAAAAAAUAGGACGAAAAAUGUAGUACGAAACCAAAAAACGUGAACAAAAAGUACGACCGCAAAUUAUACCCAUGUUGGCUUAUUAUAGUAUAGUAUAGAUUUAUAUUCUUUAUAGCAUUAUUAAAAUAUAAUGGUAAUCUGAAAUAUUUUAAUGAUGUGAUAUUUGUCUAUAUUUUUAUAUAUAUUACUUAGUUGUUAUAUACCCAAAAUUGUUUAUCUUAGGUGAUAAGAGUUUCACAAGCAUUGUACGGCUUCUAAAAAAUGUAGUUUAAAAUCCCCAUAAUAUAUUGUUCACACAGAAAGUAAUUUUUGGAUAAAUAUAGUGCACAAAUGGCUUCAAAUAUAUGUUUUAGAGUGUGAUAGUAUGGUCAUCUCGGUAACUGAAAAGAGCCGGCAUGAAGGAGAAAAGUAACACAAAGACUUGCAAAUGCUGCCUCUCACCUAAAUAAAAUAAGCUGGAUGCAUCUUUUAAACAUAGUUUAAAGGAAGCAUAUUUUUUCGUGACAAGGAUAAACAUUAUAAUCAUAAACAUUGUCUGCACAAGGCCAUAGUUUGUGUUUUACAUCGAAGAUAAGAAUCUUAUAGAGUCAAAUCAAACUUGUAAGUUUGCAUGCAAUUCUAUUCUAACAUUCUUACAUAAUAUUUGGCAAGUCUGUGUCAUUAAAAUUUACUGGAAAUGAAAGUGUUUGCAUAUCUUUACACAAAAUGUGUAGAAGUAAAUUGUAAAAAGUUGUAAUUAUAUAUCAUUGUGUGACACCUGCACAUUAAAAUAUCUCAUCUAGUUCAGGAACAACCCGUACACAUUGGGGACAACACAUGUUAGUGUGUUGCUUGGUAGAUUUUGAGAUAAAUCAGUGUUAAACAUUUCAGAUUUAUUUGUAAAAAACUGCAUUCGUAAUGACUAUUUACAUCCUUCUCACUGGAAUCUUUACCUCGGAGAUUGAUUUGAUAGAAAGCUCUUUUGCAUAGGUCUCAUUUGCAGUACAUACUGCUUUGCAGUAGGAGCCAAUAAGGAGUCUGUCUUGCCAUUUGAUCUAUCUUUGAGGGCGUUCAAAGGUGCGUAAUCAACAUUAAAGUAUGAUGAUCCUUGUUGCAUCUGUGCUUGACAAUGUAUCAUUGUGGGUGAGUCUGCAAUGUUAGCAGUAAAUAAUUGGUUACAACUAUACCAUUAGAAAAAAGCAUUUGAGUUGUUGGUGUUCAUAUUAUAACAUGUGUAAUUAAAGUUUAAUAUUUUACGAGACUUGUAGACAUCUUGGUGAGUUGGAUUAUUGAGCCUGUCACCUGAUAAUUUUUUGCCAGCAGUCUAGUAAUGACAACAAAAGUAGCCCUCUCUUCCACGUCCAUGAUUAAAGUCAUGGAUCGGAGUUUAUCAACUGAGAUGAGUUAAGUACUUUACAAAAUGAUAUGUUUUGUUAGCAAGAAACAUGUAAACCACCGUAAUGAGAUUAUUAGUUGUUAAGAAAUUAUAAUUACCAGAACGAGAAACCAACACAGUAAGAAAUUAGGGAUAAGCAUCAGAUUCAAGCAAAUUAUAUCUCAGUGUUUCUCAGUGUCACUGUUAGCUUGUGACUUGAUGCUUAAAGUUUAGGGUAAUUACAUCUUCUUCUGAUUAUUAGCACUUAUUUAAACUAAUUGUGAUAUUUAUUUAUAGCUCCAUAUACAAGUUUCCGUGCUCAAUCUCCAGGACUUGUUUGGGAACAGGAUGUUUGUUACGCUUGUCCGACAUCACAAGUUAGGUCGUGCGCCAAAAUUGCUUUUAUGAACUUAUCUUGAUUAAAUGACUUACUUUAAAUAUUAUGGCUUGUUAUUUCUUAAUGUACAGGCAAUGCUUAUCGACUUUUUAAAAUUUCUUCUCCAGACCAAACGCAGAAAAUCACACAUAUCGAGGAUGGACGGAUAAAAGCAUCCCGAAAAGAUUAUAAUAUAGGUUGUACCAAUUUAUAAUUUAAUAUUUAUGAUAUCUUCAAAUUUUACUCCAAACUACAGCCUAAUUAUUUCCUAACAAGUUAGGAUAUCUAAAUUCAUUCCUUAAAAAGUAGCAGUUCCAAAUUAUAAUUUAAAAAUUACGAUAUUUUUAAAUAUCAAUCCAAACUACAUCUUAAUUAUUUCUUCAUACGUUAGAAUAUUUAAAUUCAUUCCUUAAAAAGUACAAGUUCCUUAUCUUAUGUUUAAGAAUAAAAUAUUCAUUUUCUUCUUCUUUUCACUUUUUCCCUCCACAUUGCUUCCCUUGUAAUAGACUUUGAUUUUAAAUAUAUAUAAUAAUAAUAGGGAGUAUAAGAAUUGUUGUAUGUAAUUUAGUAUAAAUUCUAAUCUAUUGCAAGUUAAAUUUAUUAUGCUUAAGAAUAAAAUAUUUAUUUUCUUCUUUUUCACUUUCUUCUGUCCUUGUUUCACAUUUUUUUCUUUCUAAUGGAGUUUGAUUAUAAACAUAUAAAAAUAGCAAAGAGUACAAGAAUUGUUCGAAUUGUAAUUUAAUAUAAUAUCCUAAUCUACUUUGAUUUAAAUUUAUUAUUAUAUAUUUAAGAACUUGCUGGGGGAUCGCCCUUAGAGAUCCGGUAUGUCAGAUUCAUACGCGGGUUUUUUCUUUUAAAACUUGAGGUAUUUGAUUGGAGUGUUUUAUUAUUUAUUUUAUUCGUAUAGCAAACUGAAACGGAAUACUUCAGCAUUGUCAACUAGAGCAUAGAAUUUCAAAAACUUAUGAAAAGCAUACCAGGGAAACUUGAGGUUACGAGAUCCUGCACCUUAUUCUAAAAAAAACAACAAAAAAGUUCCACCCAGCUGACUUUAAAGACCUGGGCAGACUAGUCUGAUCAGCCGUUCAAGUUCUUUAUCUGAGAGCACUGGCCAAAUGAAGGUUUCUGCAAUGCACUGAGAAGUCUGCAGACAUCAGAAUCAGAUUACCUCAACUAAGGUCAUCAGACAUCAGUAUCUAAAAGUAGUGAAGAAGAGAAAUUAGAAACGGGUUAAUUAUCAAGUUAGUCACUGAAAUGAACUUAAUGUAUCAAGUUGGCCACUGAACUCAAAACGGUAUCAAGAUGAUCACUAAAGUCACCAUAAAUAUCAAACAAGUACCUUGAAAUAUGAGUUCAAAUAAUAAAAAUAUUAUUUAUAAAGUUUUAUACAUUAUUUUUACAUGUUACCACAACCAACUAUAAGGUUAUGACUUCUAGUAUUUAAAAUAAUAUAUAUUUAUAUUUUAUCAAAUUUAUUUAUUAUUUAUAUUUUAUUAUAUAAUUAUUUUCUUUGUUUUAUUUAAAAAUAAAUAAUAAAUAAAUUUAAUAAAAUCUAAAUAUAUUAUGAUAUAUAUUAGAAGUCAUAACCUUUUACUUGGUUUUGAUAACAUUCAAAAAUAAUGUGUAAAACUUUAUAAAUAAUAUUUUUAUUGCUUGAAUUCAUAUUUUAAGGUACUUAUUUGAUAUUUAUGGCCACUUCAGUGACCAUCUUGAUACCGUUGAUACCGUUUUGAGUUCAGUGACCAACUUGAUAUAUUAUGCCCACUUCAGUGACCAAUUAGAUAAUUAACCCAAUUAGAAACCUAUGACCAGUGACAGAUUAUAGGGUGCACAAGACAGUCACUGCAAGCAAGGAACUGGUUCCACCUUCCUCAUUGGCAAGGCUUCAUAAAGCCACAAAAAGAUCAUCGCUCUCCCUGAUGAAAGAUGGAACCAAAUCUGUUCUGAGGAUUGAAUAAUUUGUCGGGUACCUCUUCUUCCUAUCAUAUAUGUACUCAAUAGUCAAUACACUUCCUUACUGCAUAACAAAAAGAAACCAGUCAUCAAGCUUUCCCUAUUGCAUAACAAAAAAACCAAGAAUCAAGCAUUCGGAUCGAAAUCAAAAAACAUAUAUAAAAACCUUUUCUCCCUCCCCAAUCCCCAUGAUCAAAUUCAUGAGCUCGAAACCUCACUCUCCCCCGAAAUACUUAAUAAAAUAAUCCAUUAAAAUAUAUGUAACAAAUCCAUUAAUUGAUUUUGCAGUUUUUUUUCUUUUUUUUUUGCUAAAUCUCUUUAGUUGUUUUGGCAGUUUUGAUUAUACAAUUUCAACUCAGUAGCUUAGUAUUUGAAAUGGACUACUAUCAAGCAGCAUUGAUAAAACUGGUAACUGAAGUAACUAUGGAAAGUAAGCCAUACACAUACAAGCUCUUUAUCUCAUUUCGUUGAUAAUUCAAAACUGCAAUUAAGCUAUAUUAAGUCUUUUAGUUAUUUCACAUAAUAAAGACAUUAAGAUAAAAAAAUCUAUAAACAAAAAGUCAAUGUAGUGCAGAGAAGCUCCAUUCUUAAAUUUAAAUUCAACAAAAUUAUAUCAAAAUAACACCCAAUCAUUUGUAAUCAGUCAGACAAGAACUGCAAAUUUAACGACGACAUUUGAAAUGAAUACUGCCAGGGUAGCAGACCCUAGAAAUUAAAAUGUUGGCAAAUUGAAAAUUAUGUACCUUCGCAAUCUCUCACUCUGUUAGACCUAUGGCAAAUACUUAUUAUGCAGAGCAAGAAAAGCAGGUUCCUGUUCUUGUGAUUUAAGUAGGAAAUUUCCGUGCUUGCACCUGUCUGCAUGUACGAAAAUAACCUUGCAAUAUAGUGCGUUAAAUCUGAAUAGUUGGUGUCAAAUCUUGAAAAAUGCUGGCGAAAUCAAAAAGUGGGCCCUCUCUUUCUUUGUCACACCUAUGGAAAGUACUUCUCACGCAAGGCAAGGAGAGGAGCAUCCGGUUCAUGCACUUCAAUUUAGUCUAGUAACGCAGAUGCCGUAGAUGCAUCUGCUGCAAACCGACGACCAAGCAUUUCAUCUAGGAGUACACCUGCUUCACAGUAAUUCUUAUUCUGUAAACAACCGCGGAUAAGCAUGUUGUAUGUGACAUCAUUAGGCAAGCAAUCAUUAGCUUCCGUUUCCCUGAAUAGUUCAUUCGCUUCAUCCAAAAACCCUUCAUGAAAAUAUGCUUCGAUCAUCACUGUUUAUGUCUUGACAUCAGAUCGUACACAUUUCAUAGAAAGGUUAAAAAGGCUUCUUGUGUUCUCCAGAUGUCCAUUUUUGCUUAGUCCAUCAAUCAGAAUAGUGUAAACCUGUAUAUCAGGAAUCACAAGUUAGUUAAGCUUAUUGUGAUACUUGUUUAUGGCUACAUAUUGAAGUUUUAGUGCUCAAUCUCCGGGAGAACAUGUUUGCUUGUUUGGGAACAGGUUUAGGUUUCUGUUAUUUAUUUGAAUCAGGCAAGUGGUUUUUAGUAGUACUGAUAAAUUAGUCUGAUGCAAGUCCGAAUAACAACAUUGCAAAUACUUUAACUGAGAAGCAGCCCAAUGUAGUACUGUACAGAGGGGCACAAGGCUAGUGAACAAAUAGCUGGCAGAGUGCUUAUAGACUUGCCUUGAUUAGAAGACUUUAGUUUAACUAUUCGCACUUGCAAUUUCUUAACAUUUAGUCAAUGCUUAUCAGCUUCUUCAUAUCUCUGCUUGAGAACUUAAAACACAGAAACACAAAUAUUUAAGAUGGAAGGAAAAGAAACUUGGUAUGUUAGAUUCAUGUGCCGGUAUUUUCUUGGAGAAAAGUUGGCAUGUUUUGCCUUUUCGUGUACUAUGCAUCCAUCAGAAUUUACAUGUAUAAACAACAGGGCUAGCAGUUGAACAAAAAUUCAUACAGGAACCAUUUGAUCGAAUAUCAUAACAAGAAAUAAAGGUCUUAUUUCGAGAUUUUAACUAAGCAAAAGAAGCGGAUAAUCAAGCUAUUAAAAUCCAGAUUAGAAUUAUAUGAAGCAAUUAUUGCCAGAAUUUCUUACACAAAGCAGGAAGAGCAGGAACCUGUAUUUCAAUUCAAGUAAUCUCAGGUCCAAGGACAUUGAAAUGCAUCUCCGGAGCCUUGAGCACACAUUGCUUCUACAAGUACAAUUGCUUCACUAUACUUCUUAUUGUGAAAACAGCCGUGGACAAGUGUUUUGUAGGUAGCAUUAGGCAAGCAAAUACUAGCUUCCAUUUUCACAAAAAGUUUAUUAGCUUCAUCCAGUAACCCCCCUUGACAAAAUGUGUAAAUAUUGACAAAAUGUCAAUCUUUGCUUCCACAUGCCUGCCUGUAAAAAAAAACAUUGCAAUAUAGUUCUUUAAAUCUCAAAUGUUGGUUUUAAACCUUCAAAAUGUUGUCAAAAUCGAGAAGAUUAUGUACCUGGGCACUCUCUUUCUCUGUCACACUUACGGAAAGUACUUCUCACGCAAGGCAAGGAGAGUAGGAUCCGGUUCUUGCACUUCAAGUAAGUCUAGUAACACAGAUGUUGUAGAUGCAUCUGCUGCAAAGCGGCGACCAAGCAUUUCAUCUAGUAGUACAUCUGCUUCGUAGUACUUAUUAUUCUGUAAACAACAGCGUAUAAGUGUGUUGUAUGUGACAUCAUUAGGCAAGCAAUCAUGAGCUUUCAUUUCCCUGAAUAGUUCAUUUGCUUCAUCCAAUAACCCUUCAAGACAAUAUGCUUGGAUCAUCACUGUGUAUGUCUUGACAUUAGGUCGCAAACCUUUCGCAGGAAGGUUGUCAAAAAGGCUUCUUGCAUUCUCGAGAUGUCCAUUUUUGCUUAGUCCAUCAAUCAGAAUAGUGUAAACCUGUAUAUCAGCAACUAACCCACUAUACUCUAGUAUUUGAAAAAACGAUAGUGCUUCAAAUACAUAACAAUUCUGGCACAGACCAUGCAACAAGAUACGACAUGUCACUUUAUCCAACUCAACACCUUGGUUGAUCAUCUUUUCCUUAAAAAAAUUACGUGCUUCAACAUGCCUGCCCACAUGAAAAAAACCUUGCAGUAUAGUACUGUAAGUCUGAAUAGUUGGGGUUAAACAUUCAGAGGGCAUUUGUUGAAAAAGAUCUAUGGCUCUGUCCACUUUCUUCUUUCUACAGUACCCGUUGAUGAGGAUAUUAUAGAUAAAAGCAUCAAGCAAUAUUCCCUUUCUAGUCAUGCUUUCGAACACUAGUAAAGCUUUAUUAACCUCUCCCUGCAAGCAGUAUCCAUCCAUUAGUGAAUUGUAAGUGACUACAUUAGGAUAAUGGCCUCUUUGAGUCAUCAACUCUAUCACAUCCUCUGCAUCUUCAAUCAUUCCUUCUUUGCAAUACGCAUCAAUCAAUAUACUGUAAGUAAAAACAUUUUGAGAAAUGUUCCUAAGAUCCAUCUCCUUGAGCAAUUGUUUGACAUCAUGCCAUCGAUUAAAGUCACACAACCCUUGAAUUAAAGAGCUGUAGGUCAUAACAUUUGGUGAUAUGCCUUUCCUUGUCAUUUGGUGGAGAAGACCCAAUGCUUGAUCGAUUAAUCUAUGUUUACACAAACAGUCAAUAAUUGUGGUGUAAGUUACAGUAUUAGGCCUGCAACCUUUCUUCUCCAUAAUUUUAAACAACUUAACAGCCACAGAAGGAUUCCCUCUCUUGCAGAUGCCGUCAAUGAUAAUUGUAUAGGUAACAACAUCGGGUUGAAUAAGUUGAAAUCUGAUGAGGUUCUGGAACAAAAGCUGAGCCUCUUGAAGCAUAUCUUGGGAANUAGAGUGUUAUAAGUAAACACGUCAGGGACAAAACCGUGCUUGAUGAUUCCAGCCAGUAAUGAAAAGGCAAAAUCGACACGAUCCAAGUGACAAAAACAGUUGAUAAUAGUAUUAAAGGUAAUUACAUUAACAGGGACGCUUUCUACACACAUCUUUCUAAAAACGGACACAGCUACAGAGUAGUCUUUCAUCUUAACAACAGCAGCUAAGAGUUGAUUGAAUUUAGGAACAGGGAGCAUUUUAUCAAACACCUGAAGAGCAUCAUCGAGUUUAUCGAAACCAACCUUUGAUUUCUCAUAAAGUAAUUGCUGAAGUCUCGCAUGAGAUGUAUUGGGAAAAUGAGGAACAUAGGGGUGUUUGGGGUUAGGUUUAGUGGAGAACAUACGAAAAUGAGCAUUGAAUUGAAACAAUGCGAGAGAACUAGUAGUUGCAGACUCAGCUGCAGAUCGUAGAAAUGGUAGCAUUGGUCUUAAGGAAGCCAGACUCCUCAUCGUUGCUCUCACUUCUUGCCGGUGCUCUCACUUCACUGGGUUGAGUUGCCCAGAACACAAAAUAUGACGGAAGAAUGGGAUCUACUCAAGUUACAAAUUACAAAUUAAUAGCUUAUAACCCGUGAUUGUUACUCCUUCUGUUCUUUUUUAUUAGUCGUUUUGACUUUUUACACGUAUUUUGAGAUAUAAUAAAAACGUAUUUUUACAUUUUUAUUUUUUAAAUUUAAGGAUACCUAUAAACCUGGAUAUAAACCAACCGAUCAACCUUUUGAUAUUCGUUAUUAAUAAUUAAUAAUAUAAUAUAAAACAUAUUAUAAGUUAAAAAGACGCGUAUACCCAAAUACCGAUCCAUCAUACUAACCUAAUUUUUAAUGUUUUGUUUUAAAAGAUAAUAAUAAAAUAUAGUAUAAUAUUUUAUUAAUUAUAAACGUUCAUGGGUCGAAUACUAACCGGCUCACCAAACUCGAGUGACCGGGCCGAACAAUUGACCAACUGAACUUUUCAUGUUUCGGCUUUAAUGGUAUGAUAAUAUAAUAGUAUAAUAUAGAUUUAUAAUAUUACUUUUAAAGUGAGACUAUUAAAGUAUUUUAAAAUAAUGUUAAAGUAGCCCUUGUUAAUUAUAGAAGCUCGGCUUUUUAGUUAGAAAAUCUAAAAAAGAUAAUGUGUUUUAGUUAAAAAGGUAAUUACUAUGUUGCUCGAUGUUAUUUUAAAAGAUUGGGUUUUUUUAUUUUGAAAAUAUAAAAAAGAUGAUACUUGAUGUUAUUUUGAAAGAUUGAGUUUUUUUAUUUAGAAAGUAUAAAAAAAUGAUAUAUUUUAGUUAAAAAAAUAACUGGUUAUAUAGAUAGGCCCGUAUUUUGGCCCAAGUACCGACCGACCAAACUUUUAAUGUUUGAGCUUUAAUAGUACUAGCUUAUAGCCCGUGCAAGGCACGGGAGCUUUUUAAUUAUAUAUAAACUUUUUAAAUAUAUUUUAAAUGGUGUGAAGAAAUUUAAUUUAUAAAUAAUAAAUUAAAAUUCGAAAUUAUAAUUUGUUUGUAAGUUAGAACUGUGGUAAAUACAUCAUCACAACCAUUAAUGGCUUCAAAUAAACUAUUGUAAUGAAGUCAUUCCUUUUCUCGUAUGUACCCUGCCAAAGUAUUAAAUUCUUUCUAUCAAAUUUUAAUAUAUUUUGAGUGGAAUACGUUAUUGGCAACUCUUAUUAGAUUAUAUUUAUAAAUGUAUUUUAUAUUAGAAUUAUUAUAGUGUGAUUUAAAUAGCCCGCAAGGGUUGGUUUAGCUGGUUAAAGAGAGGACAUGCAUCCUCUUGCGCACCCGAAGGGUAGCGGCUGCGGGUUCUUAGGUUAAAAAAAUAAAUAAGAAAAUAUAAUGUGAUUUAAAUAUUUUUCAAAAAAUUUAUAUGGUUCUAAAUUAAAAUUGAUAAACAUAAUUUGUUUUUGAAUUAAGAAAAAGAAUCAUAAACAUGCAAUAAGAAGGUAGAAUCUAUUUUGGAUUAAGAAAAAGUUUUUGUAUUUGCUAAUCACAUAAAUACGGCUUAUUAAUUUUAGAAUAUAUUAUAAAAAAAAUUGUGACGGUUCGAUUUAUAUGAUUCUACGAAUAAAACUGGUAGGAAAUAUUUAUUUGGUAUUAAAAAAAUCAAAUACACGUGAAACACAGAAUUUGUUUUGGAUUCAGAAAAGGAAUUAUAAACAUGCAAGGUGAUCUAUCAGUUGCCUUGUAGAACAGAAGUUAAUUUUCCAAUCUAACGGUGCUUAUUUGUUCAAUAUAAGAUCCAACGGAUGAUAAGCUUUUGUACCAGAGGACCAUGCGACCAAAUUAUCUCCCUUACGCUUAUUAUAUAUAAGUAUAUAAUAAUAGUAAGUAUAGAUAGGCCUGUAUUUUGGUCCAAGUACCGACCGACCAAACUUUUAAUGUUUCGGUUUUGAUAGUAUAGUAUAGAUAGAUAUCUCAUUGUAUAACUUUUACGUGUUAAAUUUAUAUAAAUAUAAAAAUUAAUAUAUAACUUUUUAUUUGAAAUUAUACCAUACCAUACCACACGUAAAAAAUAUUUUGGUGAAGUCCCGUGGAGUAAACGAAUGGAGUCAAGAACCAUCACUCACAAAUGGCAAGAUUGAGCAGAAAUCAAGAACGUUCACUUUCACAUAUUGUAAGGUUGAAGGCUUGGGAGACAAGAGAUCGGUUCAAACUUCUUCCUAAAAUCAUACUCCCUCCGUUCCAUAAUAAGAGUCGCUUUGAUUUUUUACACGUAAUUUGAGGUGUAAAAAAAUAUGUCUCUACAUAUUAUUUUUCAAAUUUUCUUUUUUUGAAUAAAAAUAUAGAUGUUAAACUUUUAUUCAGAAAAAGAAAUUUUGAAAAAAUAAUAUUUAGAGAUAUGUUUUUUAACACCUCAAAUUACGUGAAAAAAAGUCAAAGCGACUCUUAUUAUGGGACGGAGGGAGUAAUACUCAAAACAUUAAAUGCGUCGAAAAGUAACAUUCGGUAUAUGGUAUGUCGUGUGUUACCACAAAUCCAACGCAACAUGUGCAAUUCUGUUGUCUCUGGUCGACGCUCGAGGCUUUUGAGUUUUUCAAAAUGGCUGACACUCAAAUCAUAUAGUAAUGACGAUAUGAUUGCCACUCGAUAAAAUUUACCUUUCAACUACAAAAGUACAUUUUUUAAAUCAUCAUAUACAUGUAUCUCAAUUUUUUUGAUUUUACAAUUUAUCUCAUUUUUUCUUUUUAAUCAAUUUAUAACUUUUUUACUAACAUUAUACUUUCUCCGUUUUAGUAUAAUACUCCCCGUGACGCUUUUUAGUUGUCAUGUUUGAAUUUUGACAAGUCAAAUUGACCAAAAUUUGACUAAAUUUAUUAAUAUUUUAUUAAUUAAUAAAAUAAUAAAUGUCACCGAAAAUAACUUUCAAUCUACUUUGAUAUGUAAUUUUCCAGUAUUUUAAAAUAAUAUAAGAGGUACUUAUAAUUUUUGAUCAAAAACUAGUAAAUUUGAUCAAUAAAAUAAAAAUGGGACAACUAAAAAGAGACAGAAAGAGUAGUUUUAAGAACAGAGCAACAUCGGUCUUCUAAUUAAUAUUUUAAAAUUUUAGGUGCGUAAUUAAAUUUAGUUGGGUGGAAACUGAACCUGUGAAAGGUUACCUUAGCUAUUCUCGCUGCUCAUAACAUUUAAACUAUAUGUUGAUAUAUAGGGUAAGGCUCAAAUUGGAACCAAUACUAGUAUUAAAAUUAGAACUUAGGAACACACCCGGAACUUGGGAACACACAUGCUUUGAUUGAAAUUUAUACGUAUUAUAUAACUAAAUAAUAAUAAUAAUUGGGUUGAUAAAUUUGCAUGAGCAUUGUUGAAUUUAUAAUAUACAAAAUGCUUUUACUAUAGCAGUAACUGAGUGAACCAGGACACAUUGCUGUACCCAAGUUAGUCAUCAUCUCCAGCUCCGUCGAACACUUCUGCAUCUCCACCACCCAAAUCUUGAUCCCAAGUUAGUCAUCGUCUCCAGCUCCGUCGAACCCUUCUGCAUCUCCCCCACCCCAAUCUUGAACAUCUGCUGGCCCAUCAUCGACAUUAACAUCUAUAGCCAUGUCGAAACCAAUAUCAUCAUUAGGGACUUCCUGCAGUUCUGGCAAUGUUUGCCUCACUGAAAAAAUCAGCAUACGGCUUCGAAACCUGAUCAGAGAUAUAAAAUUUAUAAAAUUCUUAAUUAUAUACGCUCCAUUGUUGUAGAAACAAUAAUCUUGAGAUACCAUAUUUGUAUAUACGCCAUGCCAAUUGCCACAUCUUAAUAAAACUGUAACUAGAAAUUUCAUUCUCCAUUCUUGUCUUUAGCCAAAUAAGGAAAAAUUUAAAUGUUCACUUAAAUUUUCAAAAUUCAAAUCAGUUGAUGUAGAUGUAGUCGAAGAAGAUAUAGAAACUUUGUUUCUGAGUGAUGGUAAAGGAGAUGAGUCUAAAAAGAUUUAACCACCUUAUAAAGAGCAGUCCUCUUUUCUGCACUCGAUGAGAUUCCUCUUUUCUGCACUCUCGAUGAGAUUCUUCCAGUGCUCGUCUUUUCUCAAAGUUGAAGCAGAACCCACAACCUGAAUAAACAAAGAGGCAGCUGCUGUUAUAUAAGCAAAGCUAUAUAAGUGUACUGUAUACAGUUCUGAAAAAAAUUAAAAUAAGCGCUUCAAAUUUAUUACCCAAACAGAAGACCUUGCUCUGGUAAUUCCGACAUUCAUUCUCCGAGAAUCAGAAACAAAUCCGAUGCCUUUAUCUUUGCUUGCCCUGACACAUGAAAAUAUAGCAACAUCUUUUUCUCUUCCCUGCAUUCGGAACACGAUACAUUUAACAAAAUUUACAACUUUUAGAACGAGGAAUACAAGUAAUGCGCAAGAUGCAUCCGGUGAUUAUAAAUUCAAAUAAAAUCUCAAGACGAAUAUAGAGCCGUAUUAAUCUCAACCAAUGAAUAGUAAAUUUUUAUUUCGAAGAGAAUAAAUUUGUUAGCAAAUCAAAGAACCAUAAAGUGAAAAAUUGCCUAAACAUGAAGCGGAAAGAAAUUUUUUUACUUUUACCUGGAAUCCAUCCACAGUGUUGAUGUCUACAAACUUCUUUGAAUCUUCACCAAAGGCAUCCUUGAACUUAUCACGGAAGAGGCUUACUUGAGAUCUAUAGGGAGAUAUUAUAGCAAUUUGAGAGCUCGACUUGAGCUCUACAAAUCUAGCUAAUAACUUGUGAUACAUAAGCACAACAAACUCAGCCUCGUCAACAUUUUCCCAAGAGCGGGACUCUUUUCGCUCAUGUAAAUCAAAAAAACAGAAAGAACCAAAGCAGCUGUAUAUGUGCCAUGCACGUCUAGUUUCACUUUCAACAGCAGGACCUAGCAUAAAAGUAUCCUAACCUAAAUUUAGAUGUACUGAGUAUACACUCUCACACACUCAAGUAAAUAUCUAUAAUCUUCCACAGAUAUACUACAAUGUGUUCCACUAGAAUUUUCAAGGGAACUUAGAUAUAAGAUAUGUCUGCCAAGUUAAUGAAGAGCUGAUGUCCCCAAAAGGAGGUAAAAGAGACAAAAGUAAGGGAAGAACCAGUGGCGGACCAUGAACUGUAAUAAGCGGGCUAAGUGUACUUUUAAGAAAUCACGGAUGAGAAAAAAACAUUUCAAUACAUUAACAUUAACAUCAUUCAAAUUCAUUACAUAUAAUAUAAAAACAAUUAUUACCAUGACAUUCUUCUAGGUGCCAUAUUUUGAAAUCUCAUUAUAAUGUCUUUGACAUCAAUUGAAUUUUUGGGGGGUUAAUUAAUUUUUUACAAUUUAAGGUUCAAGGUUGAUUAUAUCUUCUCCGUGAUCUAUCAGAAGUUAGUUAAGCUUAUUGUGAUACUUAGUUGAAAAAUCAAAAAGAUUAUGUACCUGAGAACUCUCUCCUUCGUUACACCUACGGCAAGUAUUUCUUGCACAAAGCAAGGGGAGCAGGAUCCUGUUCUUGCACAUCAAGUAAAUCCAGUAAAACAGAUGCAGUAGAUGCAUCUGCUGCAAAGCCGCGACCAAGCAUUUCAUCCAUGAGUACACCUGCUUCAUAGUAAUUCUUAUUCUGUAAACAACCGCGGAUAAGCAUGUUGUAUGUGACAUCACUAGGCAAGCAAUCAUGAGCUUCCAUUUCCCUGAAUAGUUCAUUUGCUUCAUCCAAUAACCCUUCAUGACAAUAUGCUUGGAUCAUCACUGUGUAUGUCUUGACAUUAGGUCGCAAACCUUUCGCAGGAAGGUUGUCAAAAAGGCUUCUUGCAUUCUCGAGGUGUCCAUUUUUGCUUAGUCCAUCAAUCAGAAUAGUGUAAACCUGUAUAUCAGCAACUAACCCACUGGACUCUAGUAUUUGAAAAAACGAUAGUGCUUCAAAUACAUAACAAUUCUGGCAAAGACCAUGCAACAAGAUACGACAUGUCACAUUAUUUAACUCAACACCUUGGUUAAUCAUCUUUUCCAUAAAAAACUUACGUGCUUCAACAUGCCUGCCCACAUGAAAAAAACCUUGCAGUAUAGUACUGUAAGUCUCAAUAGUUGGGGUUAAACCUUCAGAGGGCAUUUGUUGAAAAAGAUCUAUGGCUAUAUCCACUUUAAACUUUUUACAAUAACCGUUGAUGAGGAUAUUAUAGCUAAAAGUAUUAGGCAAUAUUCCCUUUCUCUUCAUGCUUUCAAACACUGCUAAUGCUUUAUCAACCUCUCCUCGCAAGCAGUAUCCAUCCAUGAGUGAGCUGUAAGUGACUACAUUCUCCAUUCUUGUCUUCUAGCCAAAUAAGGAAAAAUUUAAAUGUUCACUUAAAUUUUUAAAAUUCAAAUCAGUUGAUGUAGAUGUAGUAGAAAAGGAUAUCGAAACUUUGUUCUGAGUGAUGGUAAAGGAGAUGCAAAGCAAAUUUAGUCUAAAAACAUUUAACCACCUUAUAAAGAGCAUUCCUCUUUUCUGCACUCUCGCUGAGAUUCCUCUUUUCUGCACUCUCGGUGAGAUUCUUCCAGUGCUCGUCUUUUCUCAAAGUUAGAGCAGAACCCACAACCUGAAUAAACAAAGAGGCAGCUGCUGUUAUAUAAGCAAAGCUAUAAGUGUACUGUACACAGUUCUGAAAAAAAAAAAAAAUAAGCGCUUCAAAUUUAUUUCCCAAACAGAAGACCUUGCUCUGGUAAUUCCGACAUUCAUUCUCCGAGAAUCAGCAGAAAAUCCAAUGCCUUUAUCUUUGCUUGCCCUGACACAAGAAAAUAUAGCAACAUCUUUUUCUCUUCCCUGCAUUAGGAACAGGAUACAUUUAACAAAAUUUACAACUUUUAGAACGAGGAAUACAAGUAAUGCGCAAGAUGCAUCCGGUGAUUAUAACUUCAAAUAAAAUCUCAAGACGAAUAUAGAGCCAUAUUAAUCUCAACCAAUGAAUAAUAAAUUUUUAUUUUAAAGAGAAUACAUUUGUUAGCAAAUCAAAUAACCAUAAAGUGAAAAAUUGCCUAAACAUGAAGCGGAAAGAAAUUUUUUUACUUUUACCUGGAAUCCAUCCACAGUGUUGAUGUCUACAAAUUUAUUUGAAUCUUCACCAAAGGUAUCCUUGAACUUAUCACGGAAGAGGCUUACUUGAGAUCUAUAGGGAGAUAUUAUAGCAAUUUGAGAGCUCGACUUGAGCUCUACAAAUCUAGCUAAUAACUUGUGAUACAUAAGCACAACAAACUCAGCCUCGUCAACAUUUUCCCAAGAGCCACUAUUUGAAGGCUGGGACUCUUUUCGCUCAUGUAAAUGAAAAAAACAGAAAGGACCAAAGCAGCUGUAUAUCUGCCAUGCACGUCUAGUUUCACUUUCAACAGCAGGACCAUCCUCCAAGGCCUACUUGUAGAAUUCUUUAGAAGGAAAGCCUCUUAUCUGCAAGCAGAUACACUUGUGUACAGUAAUAUUAUACAGAUGAUAUAAGAUAUCAACAGCCCUUUUUUAUAUAUUAAAAAUAAAAUAAUAUACACUUAUAGAAUUGGCAGUGCUUGGGGCAGCUAUAUGUUGCAGCUCUGAGACAACCGACAAGUCAAACAAAGAUAUAAAGAUACAAGUCUUCAUGGUAGUUUGGUCCUUAACAUCUGUACCGGAUACCCCACUUCUUGAAAUCUCUUAAACAAGCUCAUCCUGUACCUAUUCAAUAGUGUUAGGGAAAAAAUUAUGCAACAUAAUUACAUAAGAUGAAGAUGAUGAUUGAUAAACCACCAUGUUUAAAACUAGUUUAUACACUACUUUGAACAUAUAUGCAUUCCUUACUUAAAUUUCUCGGCAACAGGAGAAAUCACAGUGGCUGGAGGUUGAAGAGGAUCACCAACCUAAUUAGAUAAGAAAUGAUGUCUGAGAAAGUAAUCUCAAAACAGAAGUGGUAAAAUUUAUCAGCUAGCAAAUUGAUAUAACCAAAUUGGCAUAAUAUAAACCUUUUAUCUUCACUUCCUAGUUGCCAAAAGAUUAUGACAAAGUGUUUAGAACGGAUCGAGUGUUCGGCACGUAUUUUUAUAUGAGUUUUAAAAUGUGUGCCGAGCACUCCAUUCCAAACGAUAAGAAUUGAGGGGAUGGAGAGAGUAUAUUCUAACGAGAAUGAUGGUCUCUUUCACAUAAAUCCUAAAAUAUUGGUAACUAUUAAAAAAAUCUUAAAUUAAUAAUUAAAACACAAAUUAUCAAUUUAGUCAUUUUUUCUAUUUAUUUUUUUUGAGAAACUUAUGGAAAUAAUAUAUAUUCAUAUAUAUGACCUAGGAAGCAUGAGUGCGGGUGCGGGAGUGCGGGUGCGCAGUACGUGGAUACGGGAAUUCGUCAAAUUCCAAAAUAUGGGGAUACGGGUACGGGGGGAUACGGCAAAUAUUAAAAUAUUAAAAAUAUUAUAUAUAUAUAUCUAUGUUUGUGUAAAAUAACCCUUACCUUAUAAGGCAGGGUUCUGCAGCAGAACUUAAGUAUGAGUUAGGGUUCUGCAGCAGAACUUCACAUGCAAAAAAUGUCAAUAUCUAUGUAUUAGAUUUUAGAAUUAUUUUUGAACACACACAACGAUGAAAAAAUAUGAAAAAAACAUGUAUUUAGAUUUAGAUCCUAAAAAUCUAUUUAAAAUUUAGGGUUCCGCAGCAGAACCUUGGUGGUUCUAUGGUUCUAUUUUAAGGACUGGUUCUCUACACACACAUGAGCAAUUAUAUAUACUUACAAUCUAUAGACACACAUGAGCAGAUAUUGCAGAAAACACACUUACCAAUCGACAUACUUGAGCUGGAGAUGCUCUGCUCUCUCUCGUACAGGUACUCAAUUAGUCUAAUUAGGUUUUGAUCCCUCUUUUCUUUCUUUUGACCAACUAAUUUUAAGUUUUUUUUUAUAAAAAAAAAGUUGUUAAAAAUUACGAUUUGUGCCACUGCCGCACCCCAUCCCCGCACCCCCGCGUAUCCCCAUCGCUGCCUCCAUCGAUACGCCAUGUGGCGUAUCCCGCCGCACCCCCGCACCCCCAAGUAUCCCCUACGCAGUUCUUUACCCAGAUGAAGUAUCCCUGCUUUCUAGUAUAUGACUAUCAAAACGAGCCUCUAUUGAAAACAGUAAGUUAACCGCUUCGAUAAAAGUUGGAUGAAUUUAAUGUGACGUUUGAAUAUUAUUAGUGACCUUUUUGACAUAAAUAGUUGUAAAAGAAAAUGAUCUUCGGUCUUGUAGAUAAAAAUAUUUUAAAUAUUUGUUCGAAUAAAAAGAAAUUAUUAAAUAUUAUAUUAUUAUUUUAUAAUUUAAUUGCAUUUAGAUUUUUGGGAUUGUCCCAUGUUCCCGAGACGUCCUCAAACUUGUGCAACAAUUGUUUGGCCUUACUGGGCAACAUACGUUAUAAUCCAAAUUAUUAUAGUUUUCAAGCAUGGCCUCAAGUUCUCUCACCAGGAGUACCAUUUGUGUUUUCUGUUUGUACUUACCGGCUUAGAAUACGGAUAAUAUGUGUGUGAGAGAUAAAGCAAGUCCGGUGCGGAACUCAACUGCUGAUGUGGAAGAGAAAGACUGGGACCUGUAUUGUUUAGGUGGCAAGGAAAAAAAAAAUGAAUGACAGAGCACUUGGGUUCAGCAUUUCACAGCACUUGCUCUUAGUUCCCAAAGAUGAAAAGUGUUUCUCAGUUUCACUAUUAGCUUAUAACUCAAUGCUUUAAAGUUUAAGGCUAAUUAUAUCUUCUUCUUGAUCUAUCUUAUCCGAUAUGUUAGUCUCAUGCAAGUCCCUGUAACAACAUUGCAAAUAUAUUUAAGAACUUACUGGGAUCGCAGAUCCGGUAUGUCAGAUUCAGAAUUGCAAAAUCCUUUGAAAAGCAUACAAUAUCCACAAAGUUACGAGCUGAAUACCGCUGUAGGGAUGUAUACAAUUGUAUCCACUGUGUUGCCUUAAUCUUGCAUCUUACUCUAAAAACCAACAAAAAGUUCCACCCAGCUGACAUUAAAGACCUGGGCUGACUGGUCUGAUCAGCCGUUCAAGUUCUUUAUCUGAGAGCACUGGCCAGGUGAAUGGUUCUGCAAUGCACUGAGUAAGUCUGCAGACUCGGAAUCAGAUGACCUCAACUAAGGUCAUCAGAGGUCAGUAUCUAAGAGUAGUAAGAGAGGUGAUAUAGUGAAGAAGAUAAAUUAGAAGUCCAUGACCAGGGACGGAUUAUAGGAUGCACAAGACACUCGCUGCAAGCAAGGAACUCGCUCCACCUAGCCCCAUCGGCAAGGCUUCAUAAAGCCACGAAAAACAUCAUAUAUAUUUCCUGAGUUCGAAACCUUACUCUCUCCCAAAAUACUUGAUAAAAUAAUCCAUCAAAAUAUAGGUACACAUCCAAUAUACAUUAGCAUUGUGCUUCACUUAUGAAUAGUUUACAGUUUGUCGAGGCUGCCAAUCUCUCUAGUCUCUUUAAUUGAUUUGCAGUUCUUUCUUUUUUUGCUAAAUCUAUUCAACUCAGUGGCUUAGAAUUUUAAACGGACUACUAUCCUGCAGCAUUAGCCAAUUCAAGACUACUUAAUUCUUGAUAAAAGUGGUAACCGAAGUUACCUAUGGAAAGAAACCCAUACACAUACAAGCUCUUUUACUCAUUGCGCUGAUAAUUUCAGACUGCAGUUAAGCUAUAUUAAGCCUUUUAGUUAUUUCAUGUAAUAAAGACAUUAAGAUAAAUCAACAUUCUAUAGACAAAAAGACGAUGUAGUGCAGAGGAGCUCCAUUCUUAACUUUAAAUUCAACAAAAUUAUAUCAAAAUAACACCCAAUCAUUUGUGAUCAAUCAGAGAAGAACUGCAAAUUUAACAACAAUGCAUUUGAAAUGAGUGCUGCUAGGGUUGCAGACCCUUGAAAUUAAAAUGUUGGAAAAUUGAAGAUUAUGUACCUAAGCAAUCCUCACUUUGCUUGACCUAUGGCAGAUACUUCUUAUGCAAAGCAAGAAGAGCAGGAUCCUGUUCUUGUGAUUCAAGUAGGUCCGGUAACAAGGAGGCGGUAGAAUGUAGAUGCAGUAGCUGAGAAGCCCCAAGCACGCAUCUCAUAGGACACGGCUUCAGCAUACUUCUUAUUGUAAAAACAGACACAAUAAGUGUGUCAUAGGUAACAUCAGUCGACAAACAACCAUUAAAAGUCCACCAACAAUUCAUACGCCUCAUGGAGUAAUCCCUCUACACAUACUGCUUGUAAGAAAAUAACAUUGCAAUAUAGUACUGUAACUCUCAAUAGUUGCUUUGAAACCUUCAAAAAUGCUGGCAAAAUCGAAAAUAUUAUGUACCUGAGAACUCUCUCCUUCAUUACACCUACGGCAAGUACUUCUUGCACAAAGAAAGCAGAGCAGGAUCCUGUUCUUGCACAUCAAGUAAAUCCACAAAAACAGAUGCAGUAGAUGCAUCUGCUGCAAAGCCGCGACCAAGCAUUUCAUCCAAGAGUACACCUGCUUCAUAGUAAUUCUUAUUCUGUAAACAACCACGGAUAAGCAUGUUGUAUGUGACAUCAUUAGGCAAGCAUUCAUUAGCUUCCAUUUUCCUGAAUAGUUCAUUUGCUUCAUCCAAUAACCCUUCAUGACAAUAUGCUUGGAUCAUCAUUGUGUAUGUCUUGACGUCAGGCCGCAAACCGUUCAAAGGAAGGUUGUCAAAAAGGCUUCUUGCAUUCUCGAGAUGUCCAUUUUUGCUUAGUCCAUCAAUCAGAAUAGUGUAAAUCUGUAUAUCAGGAACUAACCCACUGGACUCCAGUAUUUGAAGAAAGGAUAGUGCUUCAAAUACAUAAGAAUUCUGGCAAAGACCAUGCAACAAGAUACGACAUGUCACAUUAUUAAACUCAACACCUUGGUUAAUCAUCUUUUCCUUAAAAAAUUUACGUGCUUCAACAUGCCUGCCCGCAUGAAAAAAACCUUGCAGUAUAGUACUGUAAGUCUCAAUAGUUGGCGUUAAACCUUCAGAGGGCAUUUCUUGAAAAAGAUCUAUGGCUCUGUCCACUUUCUUCUUUCUACAGUACCCGUUGAUGAGGAUAGUAUAGCUAAAAGUAUUAGGCAAUAUUCCCUUUCUCUUCAAGCUUUCGAACACUGCUAAUGCUUUAUUAACCUUUCCCUGCAAGCAGUAUCCAUCCAUUAGUGAAUUGUAAGUGACUAAAUUAGGAUAUACUCCUCUUUGAAUCAUCAACUCUAUCACAUCCUCCGCAUCUUCAAUCAUUCCUUCUUUGCAAUACGCAUCAACCAAUAUACUGUAAGUAAAAACAUCUCGAGAAAUGUUCCUAACAUCCAUCUCCUCGAGCAAUUGUUUGACAUCAUGCCAUCGAUUAUUGUCACACAGACCUUGAACUAAGGAGUUGUAGGUCAUAACAACGGGAGAUACACCUUUCCUUGUCAUUUGGUGGAGAAGACCCAAUGCUUGAUCAACUAAUCCAUGUUUACAUAAACAAUCAAUAAGUGUGGUGUAAGUUACGGUAUCAGGCUUGCAACCUUUCUUCUCCAUAAUUUUGAACAACUUAACAGCCACAGAAGGAUUCCCUCUCUUGCAGAUGCCGUCAAUGAUUAUGUUAUAGGUAACAACAUCGGGUUGAAUAAGUUGAAAUCUGAUGAGGUUCUGGAACAAAAGCUGAGCCUCUUGAAGCAUAUCUUGGGAAAUAAGGCCCCUGAUGAGAGUGUUAUAAGUAACCACAUCAGGGACAAAACCGUGCUUGAUGAUUCCAGCCANNNNNNNNNNNNNNNNNNNNNNNNNNNNNNNNNNNNNNNNNNNNNNNNNNNNNNNNNNNNNNNNNNNNNNNNNNNNNNNNNNNNNNNNNNNNNNNNNNNNNNNNNNNNNNNNNNNNNNNNNNNNNNNNNNNAGUAAAUGUUGAAGACGAGCGUGAGAUGGAUCAGAGGAAUAAGGGAAACGGGGUUUGGGUUUAAAGGGAAUAUUAGGGUUAGGGUUAGUGGAGAAGUGAGAAACUGCAAUAACAGAAUGUCUUAGGAAUCGAGAAUUUGAGAUGACAAAUUUCUUCAUCGUCGUCAUCAUCAUGAUAUCUAUACUUGUUGGACACUCAAAAAAUUAGCCGGCAGAGCAGAGCAGAUGAUAUCAAUUCUUUUCAAUAGUGAUCGAAACUGAAUCACAGUAUAAACGGCGAAAACUUAGAACUAAUCAACAAGAAACAAAACAAACAACACUUGGCAGUUUUUCGUAAAACAGAUGGAAGAAACCCUAACUUGGGCAACUUGAACGUGUAUAUCUCUUUUUAAUUUUAACCUAUUUAGUUCAAAACAAACAACAAGAUAGACAAUAUAGUUUUUCUUAUAAAUGAUGAAAUUUAAAUUAUGAUAUAAAUAUUUAUUAAAAAACACAUUAUCACAUAUGUAUAUUCGAAAAACAUUUACACAUAGAUAAUAAAAAUAUUUUAUUAUUUAUAUUACGUAAUAACAAUAUGUAUAAAAAUACUGUAAAAGUUAAAUUUUUAAGAGGAAAUAUAAUCAAGUAUAAUAUGAUAUAAUCAAUUCAUUAUCAUAGAACUGAACGUGCAAAAAAUGACAGCAUCCAAUAGUAUUAAACAAAUAAUAAAUAAGGUUAAAUAUUAACGGGAAAAUAGAUAUUUUUGUCACUCAACUUAUUGUGUAUUUAGAAAUUUACGACCCAAUUAUAAUUUUUUUUAUUUUACUCACUGAUGUUAGGUUCGGAUUAUUUUUUUUGCCACUAAAGUUAGGUUUACCUUUGAUUUAUUAACAUUAUAUUAAUUUUUUGUAGCAUUAUUAAAAUGUAGUGGUAAUCUGGAAUAUUUUGAUAAUUUGAUAUAUGUCUAUUAACUUGUUAUAUACCUAAUAUUGUUUAGGUGAUAAGAGUUUGACAAACAUUUUAUGGCUUCUAAAAAAUGUAGUUUAAAAUCCCCAUAACAUAUUGUUCACGCAGUAAGUAAUUUUUGGAUAAAUAUACUGCACAAAUGGCUUCAAAUAUAUGUUUUGGUAAUUGAAAGGAGCCGGCAUGAAGGAGAAAAGUAACAUUUCACAAAGACUUGCAAAUGCAUUUGCCUCUCACCUAAAUAAAAUAAGCUGGAUGCAUCUUUUAAACAUAGUUCAAAGGAAGCAUAUUUUUUCAUGACAAGCAUAAACAUUAUAAUCAUAAACAUUGUCUGCACAAGGCCAUAGUUUGUGUUUUGAUCGAAGAUAAGAAUCUUAUAGAGUCAAAUCAAACUUGUAAGUUUGCAUGCAAUUCUAUUCUAACAUUCUUACAUAAUAUCUGGCAAGUCUGUGUCAUUAAAAUUUACUGGAAAUGAAAGUGUUUGCAUAUCUUUACACAAAAUGUGUAGACGUAAAUUGUAAAGUUGUAAUCACAUAUCAUUAAAAUAUCCCAUCUAGUUCAGGAACAACCCGUACACAUUGGGGACAACACAUGUUAGUGUGUUGCUUGGUAGAUUUUGAGAUAAAUCGGUGUUAAACAUUUCAGAUUUAUUUGUAAAAAACUGCAUUCGUAAUGGCUAUUUACAUCCUCUCUCACAGGAAUUUCUACCUCGGAGAUUUAUUUGAUAGAAAGCUCUUUUGCAUAGGUCUCAUUUGCAGUGACAUAAUGCUUUGCAGUAGGAGCCAAUAAGGAGUCUGUCUUGCCAUUUGAUCAUCUAGACAACUUUUCUUUGAGGGCGUUCAAAGGUGCGUAAUCAACAUUAAAGUAUGAUGAUCCUUGUUGCAUCUGUGCUUGACAAUGUAUCAUUGUGGGUGAGUCUGCAAUAUUAGCAGUAAAUAAUUGGUUACAACUAUAUCAUUAGAAAAAAGCAUUUGAGUUGUUGGUGUUCAUAUUUUAACAUUUGUAACUAAAGCAUGGUUGUCAUGUCGGUCGACUAGUCGCGACUAGUCGACUAAGCGGUGAAUGGAUGUCGACUCAACUUGUCGACUAGCAGAAUGUUGAUAUUUCGGUCGACUAGUCGACUAGGCGAGCUGCUAAAUUUUCGGCUUUGGUUGUCUCUGAUUAUAUUUAUGCUCUGUUUUUCUGCAAUCUGCACAAUAAGUUCUGCAUAACUCUCUAUGUAUUAUCUGCACAUAUUUGUUGUAUAUCAGUUGUUAUAUAUCAGUUGUUACAUAUUUUACUUUGUUUUAUUGUUAUUUGUUAACUCUUUUUGCUUUUCCAUCAUUCCCCUUAAGUUUCUGAUUCUUAAUUCCUUAGAAUCUGAAAUAAAACAUUGUGGAAGGUGUUAGAACUUAAAAAUCUAAUUUACAUGAUAUGUGUGUGUGUGUCUAUAUAAUAUAUUAUUUUUUAAAUUUAUAAUAAUAUUUUUUUUUUGUCGACUAGUCUACGACUUGUCAACGACUAGUCGACUAGUCGAUUAGACGGAGGUCCAUCAACUCGCCUCGACUCAUCGACGUGACAACCAUGAAUUAAAGGUUAAUAUUUUACAAGACUUGUAGACAUCUAGGUAAGUUGUAUUAUUGAGCCUGUCACCUGAGAACUUUUUUGCCAGCAGUCUAACAAAAGUAGCCCUCUCUUCCACGUCCAUGAUUAAAGUCAUGGAUUGGAGUGUAUAUGUAGAAAUGUAUUUUCCUAUAUCUCAUUGAUGUAUAAUGUAUACAAUAUAUAGCAGACUACCAAUAGCUAUCAUAGGCGACAUUACAGGAGAUAUUAACAAGUACAGUAAACUGAAGCAAUUACUGUAGAAUCAAAACUGAUCCUAAACUAAAGCUAUUUUUGAAUUCAUAUAAUAUCAUAUCUGUACUUUAAGUGAUAUGCUGAUUUUGUGGGAUUGCUUUAACAGCCCCCCGCAAACUGGACGAUCUUUGAUGGAAAAGUUUGUGAGUGAGAAGAGAAUGUCGGUGUUUAUGAAGAGGCUUGGUAAGGUGGUCAGCUGGUUGAUCAACAGAUGGAAUGUAACACACACGAUGACUACCAGCAGCAACUUUUUCGCGAACAAAAUGGUAAUCUAAUUCAAUAUGUUUGGUCCGGGCAUGAAAAACUGGGUUAGAGGCCAUGUAUGUUGCACUUAAGUUAUCACAGUGAAGAAGGAUAGGAAACUGCACCUUAGUUCCAAGUUCGUGUAGUAAGAAAGCCAACCAAGUGGUUUCUACACUAGCAUGUGAAAGGGCUCUGUAUUCAGAUUCAGCACUUGAGCGAGCAAUUGUAGGUUGCUUUUUGGAGCACCAAGAGAUCAGAUUAGUGCCGAUAUAACAAAGAUAAUCAGAUGUUGAUCUGCGAGUUUCUGGACAGCCUGCCCAAUCUGCGUCAGAAUAAGCACUGAUAUGCAGUGGUUGACACUGGGGACGAAUGAACAGGCCUUGAUUAAGAGUACCCUUGAUGUAUCGAAGUAUGCGCUUCGCAGCUAGUAAAUGAGAAGUGCGCGGAUGACUCAUGAACUGGGAAAUUGAGUUAACUGCAUAGGCAAUAUCAGGACGAGUUAUCGUCAAGUAUUGAAGAGAACCAACAAUUUCCCUAAAGGCAGUGGGAUUGGCAAGUAUGUCGCCAUCAUCAGAACUGAGAGUAGUUUUUGCUGACAUGGGAGUACUUACUGGUUUAGAAAGCAGCAUAUCGUGCUUGACUAGAAGAUCAUGAGCAUACUUAAGCUGACCAAUAUGUAGUCCAUCAUUUUGAUAACUUACUUGUAAGCCAAGAAAAUAAUUCAAAGGACCCAAGUCUUUGAUGUCAAAUUCACGACCAAGUACAUGAAUGAAUCUUUCCAGAAGGUUAUUGUCGCUGCCCGUAAUCACUAUGUCGUCCACAUAUAGCAGAAAGUAGAUUGUAUGGUUGUUAUGACGGAAUAUGAAGAGUGAGGGAUCAGCUAAGCUUUGAACAAAACCAGCAGAUUUGAGGAAAGUUUUCAUACGGCGAAACCAAGCACGGGGGGGCCUGUUUUAGACCGUAUAGCGCCUUGUGGAGCUUGCAAACAUAAUUGGGUCUAGAUGGAUCAACAAAACCAGGGGUUGAGCCAUGUAAACUUCCUCCUUUAGUAAUCCAUGUAGGAAUGCAUUUUUGACAUCUAAUUGUCGAAGUGCCCAUCCCCGAGAAAGCGCAAGACUAAGGACAGUCCUUAUAGUGGCCGGUUUGAUAACUGGGCUGAAUGUUUCUUCGUAAUCGAUGCCUUGUUGUUGAUGGAAACCUUUGGCAACAAGCCGAGCUUUAUACCUUUCAAUUGUGCCAUCCGGAUUACGCUUAGUACGAAACACCCAUUGGCAGCCGAUUGUGUUGUGAGAUGGUGAUGGAGGCACAAGAGUCCAAGUCUGAUUUUUCAUCAGUGCAUUAACUUCCUCUGUCAUAGCAUUGCGCCAAACUUCAUGUUUAGAAGCCUCUGUAUAACAUGUUGGUUCAGAAUUUUCCACAGCGGUAUGAAGAGCCUGAGGAAGGGGAUGUUUUACAGCUGUAGCCUAACGUUUGUUCUGCGGAAGUGUGCCAUCUUUAGAACAAGUUAUCAUUGGGUGUUGAGCAGAUGGAAGAGGGAGCAUUUGAGCCUCUGUUGGGGCUGAUUCAGAUGUCGUCGUGGUUUCUGUUGUCACCGAUGUCGGAAUUGAGACAGUUGUAGCUUUAUUACGACGUUGAUAUGUGAGCACAGGUGGUGGAUCAUUUGAAGUUUGUGCAACUGAAUUAGUAGCUGGCAAUAAUGGUGAUUGAGACACUUCAUUAGUGCGGGGAGAAGACUCUGUGGAUGGAGUAAUGUGAUCUGGAUGUGAAAAUCCUUCUGAUGGCCUCAAGAAAGAGGCUGGGCUCGGUAAAAGAGCAAAUUCCAAUGGACCAGGUGCCUGUACCUGCAUAUUUUUGUAAGGGAAACAAGUUUCGUUAAAAAUGACAUGUCUGGACACAUAAAGACGACUAGUCUUGGGAUCAAGACAUCUAUAACCCUUAUGUUGUGGACUAUAUCCCAGGAAGACACAUUCAAUACUCCGACUGGAUAAUUUAUCAGAAACAUAUGGACCAAGAUAUGGAUAACAAGAACACCCAAAGACUCGUAGGGAAGAGUAUGAAGGAUGACUACCAUAAAGACAAUGAUGUGGAGUAUCCCAAUUUAAGACAGAGGUGGGAAGGAGAUUAAUAAGAUAUACGGAUGUUAAAACAGCUUCCCAAAGUUUGUGUGGAGCACUAGAAGUACGUAGGAGGUUACGGGCCAUGGUUGCUAUAUGUCGGUGUUUUCUCUCGGCUAACCCAUUUUGUUGAGGAGUGUGAGGACAUGAGAAACGUUGUUGAAUUCCCAGUGAGUUGCAAUAUCUAGUGAAUUCAUGAUUGACAUAUUCAUUCCCAUUGUCACUUUGUAGAAAUUUAAUGGUGAUGCCAAAGAGAUUUUGAAUUUUUGCAACCAAUGUUUUAAAGUGAGUAAGUACUUCAUUCUUCCUAUGCAUUGGAUAUAUCCAUGUAUAGCGAGAAAAUUCAUCUGUGAAAAGUACAUAAUAUUUAAAUCCAGAGGUUGAAGAAGUUGAUGAAUACCAUACAUCACUAUGGAUAACAAAAAAAAGGGGAAUCAGCAUAAGAUGUAUUAUUUUCAAAAGGCAAUUUGUGAGACUUGCUAAGAGCACAUUCAUGACAGAUUUCAUGAAAAGAAAUUUUAGAGCCAAUACUAGGACUUAAACGUGACAAGACAUCAGAUGAGGGGUGACCAAGACGAUUGUGCCAGAUGGAAGAGUGUAUAGUAGCAAGAGCUUGUGGAGUAGAAGAGGUGGAAGACAACUGAAGUUGAUAUAACCCGUCCUUACAAGGGCCCUGAAAUAAUAAACGACCAGUUUGUAAGCAAUAUAUCUGAUAAAAAUCAGGGGCAAAGAGAAAGAAGACUUGAUUAUCUUUAGUAAAACGAGCAACAGAUAACAAGUUUUUACGAAUAGAAGGAAUGUGGAAGAUAUUUUGCAAAGAAAAGUGAGAAGAUCCCAAAGAAAUUGGUAGGUUACCAGUAUGAGAAACGGGCAUUGAGUUCCCGUUACCCAUAUAAACAUUAUGAGGGCCACUGAAUUCUUGAGGAUUGUUGACAAGCAUGGAGGUCAUAUGAUGGGUGGCGCCAGUAUCUGGGUACCAAUUUGGGUCUGCAGCAAAAUGGGCUCCGGCGAAGGGUGCAACUGUCGUUGGGCCUAAGAACUUGUGAGGGCAUUGUUGUUGUCCGUGCUGGUUUGUGUGACAAUUGGAACACCACAUUGGAGCUGGGCCCAAUAUUCCAUUGGAUGGUUGAGGGCGAGGAGCCCAUGGAGACGAGUAUGGUCUAAGUGGAGAAUACGGCUGCUGGAACAGUGGUGUCUGUUGUUGCUAAAAGUUGCGGCCUGAAUUGUAGCUUCUUGAUCUGUUGAAGUUUCGACCAUUUGAAUUAUUUUUCUGAGGUUGAUUUUCACGGCGAGUAUUACUACCAUGAAACAAAGCCGUUUCUGUUCCUUGUUCCUGCUUAUGUGGUUUUUGGGCAUCAAAGGCUAAGAUGCGAGCACGUAACUCAGUAAAAUUGGGAAGAGAAGAGUGUUGUGAUAGAGCAGUGCGGAGCAUGAGGUAGUCUGGUCCAAGUCCAUGAAGUGUUGCAAGUACCAGAUCUUCAUCGGAGAUAGGCUUUUUAAUGGCUGCCAAUUGAUCAGAAAGUGACUUAGCAUGUCGAAGAUAAUCAUCGAUUGAUUGAGAACCUUUACUGAGCUCGAGUAGCUGAAGCUUGAGACUGGAUGCACUAGCAGCAGAACGUUGUGAGAAGUGAUUAGCUAAGCAUUCCCAGAUUUCUUUCGAGGUGUCAAAGCCAAUUGUGAGUUGCGAGACGCUUUCAGACAAAGAAGUAGUAAUAAGACUGACUAUUUGUUGAUCUAUGAUGAACCAAUCCUCAUAUUUUGGGUUGGGAAUUUCUUUUGCAGGUUCUGUUGGAGUCGCAGCAGUCAUGACGGUGUGAGAUGGUUCUGGUAUAGAGCCAUCAAUGUAUCCCCAGAAUUUGGCACCAUGAAGAUAGGGCUUGAUUUGUCUCAGCCAAAUUAGGUAAUUUGUUUCGAUGAGUUUGGUGAAUUGAGCUGUGUUUUGAGAAGGAAAAGAAGUAGGAGAAGAAAAUGCAGAAGCCAUGAUGAGCAAUGAUGCGAAGAGAAAGAAAAGGGAGGAGAUUUGAUUCUAAACCUAGGCUGAUACCAUGUAGAAAUGUAUUUUCCUAUAUCUCAUUGAUGUAUAAUGUGUACAAUAUAUAGCAGACUACCAAUAGCUAUCAUAGGCGACAUUACAGGCGACAUUACAUGAGAUAUUAACAAGUACAGUAAACUGAAGCAAUUACUGUAGAAUCAAAACUGAUCCUAAACUAAAGCUAUUUUUGAGUUCAUAUAAUAUCAUAUGUGUACUUUAAGUGAUAUGCUGAUUUUGUGGGAUUGCUUUAACAGUAUCAACUGAGAUGAGUUAAGUACUUUACACAAUGAUAUGUUUUGUUAGCAAGAAACAUGUAAACCACCGUAAUGAGAUUAUUAGUUGUUAAGAAAUUAUAAUUACCAGAAUGAGAAACCAACACAGUAAGAAAUUAGGAAUAAGCAUCAGCUUCAAGCAAAUUAUAUCUCAAUGUUUCUCAGUGUCACUAUGAGCUUGUGACUUGAUGCUUAAAGUUUAGGCUAAUUAUAUCUUCUUCUGAUAAAGCAGUUAUUUAAGCUUAUUGUGAUAUUUAUUUAUAGCUCCAUAUAGGAGUCUCCGUGCUCAAUCUCGAGGACUUGUUUGGGAACAGGAUGUUUGUUACGCUUGUACGACAUCACGAGUGAGGUCGUGCGCCUUGCUCUUAUGAACUUAUAUUGAUUAAAUGACUUAAUUUAAAUAUUAUGGCUUGUUAUUUUUUAAUAUAUAGGCAAUGCUUAUCGACUUUUUAAAAUUUAUUCUCCAGACCCAACACAUAAAAUUACACAUAUUGAGGAUGGACGGAUAAGAGCAUCCCGAAAAGAUUAUAUACGAUGUACCAAUUUAUAAUUUAAUAUUUAUGAUAUUUUCAAUUUUAUUCCAAACUACAUCCUGAUUAUUUCCUAACAAGUUAGGAUAUCUAAAUUCAUUCCUUAAAAGGUAGCAGUUCCAAAUUAUAAUUGAAAAGAUUUCGAUAUUUUCAAAUAUCACUCCAAACUACAUCCUAAUUAUUUCUUAACGAGUUAGAAUAUCUAAAUUCAUUCCUUAAAAAAUAGCACUUCCUCAUCUUAUGUUUAAGAAUAAAAUAUUCAUUUUCUUCUUCUUUUCAAUUUUUCCCUCCACAUUAUUUCUCUUGUAAUAGAGUUUGAUUUUAAAUAUAUACAAUAAUAAUAGGGAGUACAAGAAUUGUUGUAUGUAAUUUAGUACUCUCUCCGUCCUAACCAGUUAUAUACAUUUGGUUGGGACACGGAGACCAAGAAAAAGUGUAAAAAAUGAGUAAAGUUGAUAAAAAGUGAGUAUAGUGGUGGGACUCAUUUAUAUUUAAUAAUAGAUUUGAGAUGGUGGAGGAAAUUAGUUAGUGUAAUAGUGUUUAUAUUAUUAUAAAAUGGAGAUGGUGGAAGAAAGUAGUUAGUAUAAUGAUGUUUUAUAUUAUAAAUAUUUACUAUUUAUGGAAUGUAUACAAUGGGGGGACGUCCCAAAAUAGAAACUAUAUACAAAUGAAUGGGACGGAGGAAGUAUAAAUCCUAAUCUAUUGUAAGUUAAAUUUAUUAUGCUCAAGAAUAAAAUGUUUAUUUUCUUCUUUUUCACUUUCUUCCCUCCUUUUUUCAAAUUUUUUUCUUUCUAAUAGAGGUUGAUUUUAAACAUAUAAUAAUAGCAAAGAGUACAAGAAUUGUUCGAGUUGUAAUUUAAUAUAAUAUCCUAAUCUGCUUUAAUUUAAACAUCUUAUUAUAUGUUUAAGAACUUACUUGGGGGAUCGCCCUUAGAGAUCCGGGAUGUCAGAUUCAUAUGCUGGUUUUUCUUUUAGAACUUGAGUUAUUAGAUUGGAGUGUUUUAUUAUUUAUUUUAUUCGUAUAGCAAACUGAAGCUGAAUAUUUCAGCAUUGUCAACUAGAGCAUAGAAUUUCAAAAACUUAUGAAAAGCAUACCAGGGAAACUUGAGGUUACGAGCUGAAUACCGCUGGAAAACUUGAGGAAUGUACACAAAUAGGUUCCACUGUGUUGCCUUAAUCUUGCAUCUUAUUCUAUAAAAAACAACAAAAAAGUUCCACCCAGCUGACAUUAAAGACCUGGGCUGACUAGUCUGAUCAGCCGUUCAAGUUCUUUAUUUGCGAGCACUGGCCAGAUGAAGGUUUCUGUAAUGCACUGAGAAGUCUGCAGACAUCAGAAUCAGACGACCUCAACUAAGUAGAUUAUACAAUUUCAACUAAGUAGCUUAGUUUUUGAAAUGGACUACUAUCCUGCAGCAUUAGCCAAUUCAAGACUACUUAAUUCUUGAUAACACUGCUAACUGAAGUAACUAUGGAAUGAAAUCCAUACACAUAUAAGCUCUUUAUCUCAUUGCGUUGAUAAUUCAAAACUGCAGUUAAACUAUAUUAAGCCUUUUAGUUACUUCACGUAAUAAAAUUAAGAUAAAAACAUUCUAUAAACAAAAAGUCGAUGUAGUGCAGAGAAGCUCCAUUCUUAAAUUUAAAUUUAACAAAAUUAUGUCAAUAAACACCCAAUCAUUUGCAAUCAGUCAGACAAGAACAGCAAAAUUAACAAUGACAUUUGAAAUGAAUACUGCCAGGGUUGCAGACCCUAGAAAUAAAAAUGUUGGCAAAUGGAAAAUUAUUUACCUUAGCAAUCUCUCACUCUGUUAGACAAAUGGAAAAUACUUAUUAUGCAGAGCAAGAAAAGCAGGAUCCUGUUCUUGUGAUUUAAGUAGGACACUUAUUAUAUCUACUAAAAAAAAUUCCGCACAUGUCUGCAUGUGAGAAAAUAACAUUACAAUAUGUACUGUAACUCUCAAUAGUUGCUUUUAAACCUACAAAAAUGCUGGCAAAAUCGAGAAGAUUAUGUACCUCAGAACUCUCUCCUUCGUUACACCUACAGCAAGUACUUCUUGCACAAUGCAAGCAGAGUAGGAUCCUGUUCUUGCACAUCAAGUAAAUCCAGUAAACCAGAUGCAGUAGAUGCGUCUGCUGCAAAGCCGCGACCAAACAUUUCAUCUAGGAGUACACCUGCUUCAUAGUAAUUCUUAUUCUGUAAACAACCGCGGAUAAGCAUGUUGUAUGUGACAUCAUUAGGAAAGCAAUCAUUAGCUUCCAUUUCCCUGAAUAGUUCAUUUGCUUCAUCCAAUAACCCUUCAUGACAAUAUGCUUGGAUCAUCACUGUGUAUGUCUUGACAUUAGGUCGCAAACCUUUCGCAGGAAGGUUGUCAAAAAGGCUUCUUGCAUUCUCGAGAUGUCCAUUUUUGCUNNNNNNNNNNNNNNNNNNNNNNNNNNNNNNNNNNNNNNNNNNNNNNNNNNNNNNNNNNNNNNNNNNNNNNNNNNNNNNNNNNNNNNNNNNNNNNNNNNNNNNNNNNNNNNNNNNNNNNNNNNNNNNNNNNNNNNNNNNNNNNNNNNNNNNNNNNNNNNNNNNNNNNNNNNNNNNNNNNNNNNNNNNNNNNNNNNNNNNNNNNNNNNNNNNNNNNNNNNNNNNNNNNNNNNNNNNNNNNNNNNNNNNNNNNNNNNNNNNNNNNNNNNNNNNNNNNNNNNNNNNNNNNNNNNNNNNNNNNNNNNNNNNNNNNNNNNNNNNNNNNNNNNNNNNNNNNNNNNNNNNNNNNNNNNNNNNNNNNNNNNNNNNNNNNNNNNNNNNNNNNNNNNNNNNNNNNNNNNNNNNNNNNNNNNNNNNNNNNNNNNNNNNNNNNNNNNNNNNNNNNNNNNNNNNNNNNNNNNNNNNNNNNNNNNNNNNNNNNNNNNNNNNNNNNNNNNNNNNNNNNNNNNNNNNNNNNNNNNNNNNNNNNNNNNNNNNNNNNNNNNNNNNNNNNNNNNNNNNNNNNNNNNNNNNNNNNNNNNNNNNNNNNNNNNNNNNNNNNNNNNNNNNNNNNACACCUACGGCGAGUACUUCUUGCACAAAGCAAGCAGAGCAGGAUUCUGUUCUUGCACAUCAAGUAAAUCCAGUAAACCAGAUGCAGUAGAUGCGUCUGCUGCAAAGCCGCGACCAAACAUUUCAUCUAGGAGUACACCUGCUUCAUAGUAAUUCUUAUUCUGUAAACAACCGCGGAUAAGCAUGUUGUAUGUGACAUCAUUAGGAAAGCAAUCAUUAGCUUCCAUUUCCCUGAAUAGUUCAUUUGCUUCAUCCAAUAACCCUUCAUGACAAUAUGCUUGGAUCAUCACUGUGUAUGUCUUGACAUUAGGUCGCAAACCUUUCGCAGGAAGGUUGUCAAAAAGGCUUCUUGCAUUCUCGAGAUGUCCAUUUUUGCUUAGUCCAUUAAUCAGAAUAGUGUAAACAUGUACAUUAGGAACUAACCCACGGGAUUCCAGUAUUUGAAAAAAGGAUAGUGCUUCAAAUACAUAACAAUUCUGGCAAAGACCAUGCAACAAGAUACUGCAUGUCACUUUAUUUAACUCAACACCUUGGUUAAUCAUCUUUUCCUUAAAAAAUUCACGUGCUUCAACAUGUCUACCCGCAUGAAAAAAACCUUGCAGUAUAGUACUGUAAGUCUCAAUAGUUGGGGCUAAACCUUCAGAGGGCAUAUGUUGAAAAAGAGCUAUUGCUCUGUCCACUUUCUUCUUUCUACAGUACCCGUUGAUCAGAAUAUUAUAGCUAAGAGUAUUAGGCAGUAUUCCCUUUCUAGUCAUGCUUUCGAACACUACUAAUGCUUUAUCAACCUUUCCCCGCAAGCAGUAUCCAUCCAUUAGUGAGCUGUAAGUGACUACAUCAGGAUAAUGGCCUCUUUGAAUCAUCAACUCUAUCACAUCCUCUGCAUCUUCAAUCAUUCCUUCCUUGCAAUACGCAUCAACCAAUAUAUUGUAAGUAAAAACAUCUCGAGAAAUGUUCCUAACAUCCAUCUCCUUGAGCAAUUGUUUGACAUCAUGCCAUCGAUUAAUGUCACACAGACCUUGAACUAAGGAGUUGUAGGUUAUGACAUCUGGGGAUAUGCCUUUCCUUGUCAUUUGGUGGAGAAGACCCAAUGCUUGAUCAACUAAUCUAUGUUUACACAAACAAUCAAUAAGUGUGGUGUAAGUUACGGUAUCAGGCUUGCAACCUUUCUUCUCCAUAUUUUUGAACAACUUAACAGCCACCGAAGGAUUCCCUCUCUUGCAGAUGCCGUCGAUGAUUGUGUUAUAGGUUACAACAUUGGGUUGAAUAAGUUGAAAUCUGAUGAGGUUCUGGAACAAAAGCUGAGCCUCUUGAAGCAUAUCUUGGGAAAUAAGGCCCCUGAUGAGAGUGUUAUAAGUCACCACACUUGGCACAAAACCGUGCUUGAUGAUUCCAGCCAAUAGUGAAAAGGCAAAAUCGACACGAUUCAAGUGACAGAAACAGUUAAUGGCAGUAGUGAAGGUAUAUAUAUUAAGGGGGAUGCUUCGAACACGCAUAUCCCUAAAGAGAGACACAGCUACAGAGUACUCUUUCAUUUUAACGAGGGCGGCUAGCAGUUGAUUAAAUUUAAGAACAGGAAGCAUAGGCUUCAUAAGGAGCAUUUUAUCAAACACUUGGAGAGCAUCAUCGAGUUUAUCGAAACCAACCUUUGAUUUCUCAUAAAGUAAUUGCUGAAGUCUCGCAUGAGAUGUAUUGGAAAAAUGAGGAACAUAGGGGUGUUUGGGGUUAGGUUUAGUGGAGAACAUAAGAAAAUGAGCAUCGAAUUGAAACAAUGCGAGAGAACAAGUAGUAGUUGCAGACUCAGCUGCAGAUCGUAGAAAUGGUAGCAUUGGUCUCAAGGAAGCGAGACUCCUCAUCGCUGCUUAUAUAAUCAGUUACUGUAUGCUUCUUCUUGCCGGUGCUCUCACUUCACUGGAUUCAGUUGGCCUGAAUAAAAAAAAGGGAAUAAUGGGAUCUACUUUGUGUUGCAAAUUUGUAAUUAUAUCUAUAUAAUUUUUAAGAGGUAAAGUUUUAUAUUUAUAUAAAUAUAAAAAUUAAUAUAUAAUUUUCAUUUUAAUCAAUUUAUUAUUUUUUAGUUUUUUCCUUAUAUCAUACGCUCUCCGUUUUAAUAUAACUAGCUUAUAACCCGUGCAUUCCGUGCAAUGCACGAGCGGUUAUAAUAUUUUUUAUUGUAUCAUAUAUGUAGUUUAAAUUUAACUAAUUUUAUUGUAAAAAUAAAACUAUGAUAGACUAAUGUGAUUAAAUAAAUUUUUAUUUAACUGCUGAAUAAAUUCUUAAUAGUUAAGUUCGUCAAAUGACUAAUUAAAAAUUAGGUUGAACAUAUAUUUUGAUGAGAAUGUUACAUAUAUUUGUUUACAUGUUAUAAUUUAAGGAGAUCUAUAAACCCAUAUAUAAAUCAACCAAUCAACCUUAUAAUAUUUCGUUAGUAAUAAUUAAUAAUAUAGUAUAUAACAUAUUAUAAGUUAAAGAGACACGUAAACCCAAAUAUCGAUCUAUCAUACUGACCUAAAUUUUAAUAUUUGAAUUUUGAUUUGAUUGAUAAUAAAAAAAAUAUAUUAUAACACAUUAUAAAUUAAUGAGGUCCGUGGGUUGAAUACCAACCGUCUUGCCAAACUCGAUUGAUCGACGUGCCAACUAACCAAUUGAAAUUCUCAUUUUUCGGCUUUUGGCUUUAACAGUAUAAUAAUAUAUGGUUUAGUAUAGAUUUAUAAUAUCACUUUUAAAGUGAGACCGUUAGAGUAUUUAAAAAAAUGUUAAUUAAUUUUGGUUUAAUUAUAUAUAAUAAUAUUAUGUUUUUAUACAUAUGUCGCCCGUGUUAAUUGUAGAAAAUCGAUUUUUUUAGUUUAGGAAUCUGAAAAAAAUAAUGUGUUUUAGUUAAAAAGGUAAUUAUUAUGUUGCUCGAUGUUAUUUCAAAAAAUUGAUUUUUUAGUUGGAAAAUAUAAAAAAGAUAAUAUAUUUUAUUUAGAAAGAAUAAUUUGUUAUAUAGAUAGGCCCUGUUUCGGUCCAAGUGAAUAACUGGUUAUAUGCAUAGGCCCAUAUUUUGGCCGAAGUACCGAUCGACCAAACUUUUAAUGUUUCGGCUUUAAUAGUAUAGUAUGGAUAUUUUCUCCGGCCCUUUUUAGUUGUCACAUUUGAUUUUGACCAGUUAAAUUGACUAAAAUUUGACUAAAAUUUAUUGAUAUUUUAUUAAUUAAUAAAAAAAAAUUAUGUCACCGAAAAUAACUUUUAAUCUACUUUAAUAUGUAAAUUUCAGUUUUAAAAUAAUAUAAGCGUGAAUUAAAAUUUUUAUCAAUAAUUAAGCUAUUUGAUCAAUAAAAAUAAAAAUGUAACAACUAAAAAGAUAUGGAGAGAAUAGUUUUAAGAAUAGAGCAAAGUCGGUCUUCUAAUUUAUAUUUUAAAAUUUUAAGGUGCGUAAUUAAAUUUAGCAGAGUGGAAAAAUGAACUUGUGAACGGCUACUACCUUGGUUGUUGCUCAUAACAUUUAAACUAUGAGCUUACUGUCAAAAAAUCCAUUAAUCUUUUCAUUAUUUUGUUGAUUAACAAACAACGUUUUUUUACUAACAAGUUAACCAUCAACCUUUUCAAAAUUAAGUAAAUUUUAACCAUGGUUAAUUUAAAAUCUCACAUGAUGUUUGCCACAUCACUACUCCACCUACUUGCCACAUGUAAAUUAUAAAAAAUAACAAUAACAUCAAUAAUUCAUUAUCAAAAUCAGAAUAUCAAUAGAAAAUCUAAAAUCUCUAUUGCCCCUCUCGUUCUUAUUCAUUUAUAACAUCCCAAGCCCAUAACUUGAUGCAUACCGGACCCAACAACCCACCACAGGUCAGCCCAAAAGUGCUAGCAAUUUGGUAUACAUUAGUUAUUUGCUUGUGUUUAUAAAGGCCCAAAUACUCUUUUAUCUAACCGGAUGUUACAAACACCCCCUCUUAUAUGCUCGACGUCCUCGUCGAGCGCACAAUCAAACUCGAAACCCGGGCAGUGCCUUGGCACUUCCGGUCGGGUAUCGCUUUGAUACCAUUUAUAACAUCCCAAGCCCAUAACUUGAUGCAUACCGGACCCAACAACCCACCACAGGUCGGCCCAAAAGUGCUAGCAAUUUGGUAUACAUUAGUUAUUUGCCACAAAGGCCUACAGUUGAAACCCUACCCAACGAUCAUCUUGCUGCACUCAUUUCAAUCGUUGUUCUUCGAUUAAUACGGUAAGUUCAUCUUCGAUUCUUCCUUUCACCUGAUUUAUAUACUCAUUUGUCAUUAGGAUUUCUGAAUUCGAUUAGUGUUCUUAUGAUUUGGGUUAAUUUGGGUUUGUAUUAUAUGGUUGUAGAUAUCAAGUAUGGAGGAGGAUUGCAAGUGUUUAAGGUUCAAUUGGAGGUAAUAUACUGUCAUUAUUCAAGUAUACCUAGAUAAAUGUAAUAUGCUAGAUUUGGUGAUCGACUUCGAAGAUGAAGGUAAGAAGUCCGGCGUUGUGCUUAAAUACAAAUACGGGUGUUUUCAUAUGUGUACAAGAUGGACCUUGUCAAAUUGUUGAAUGAUAAAGACUUAAUGGAGAUGUUUACUAGGGUAAAUGGGGGAGAAGUUUAUAGAUAUAUAGGUAGGUACAAUGGUGAAGCCUAAUCCAUUAUAUGAGUUGUUUUUACAGUUUAAGCAAGAAAAUAAGGAGGGGGAUAAUGAGGGGGAUUAGGGGAUGGAUAAGAAGGGUGCUGAUGAGGUAGAUAUUAUGGAGGAGGGGGAUGAUAUUGAUGGAGAUAAAUACAAUGAAAGAAGUUAUAAUACUGAAGACAGUGAUUAUAAUGAAGAAAAGGAGCCUGAUGAAGAUAUUGAGUCUAAUGAAGAGAGUUUUGUAUAUAAGAAUAAUGAGGUCGCGGAGGAUAAUGGUGAAGAUAUUCAUAUUAAUGAGGCUGUGGAUGAUUCUAUUGAGGAUAUCUUUUUAUCUGAAUGUAAAAUUCUAUCAUAAUGACAAGUUUUUGGUUCAAAACUGAAGGAAUUUGUCGAUUUUACGUUCGAAUGAUUGAAAAUUUUUAUGUCUUCAUGAUUCAAAAAAAUUAUGAAUGUUGUCUUAUUAGUUUUAUUUUAUGAAUUUGUAGAUUGCAAUAGAAUUUGUUAUACUGUAAUUAUGCUCGUACUCAAUUACUUUUGAUGAAAAAAAUUGAAUGGAUUUUUUUUUUAAUAAUAUCAGGUUGUUUGUUGGUUAUUAUGACAGGCUAACUAAUAAAAUUAAUCUUCGGUGCCACGUGUACUAUCUUGGUUUAUCACAUCAGUUGUCAUUAACCAUGAUUAGUCCAUUAACCGCUUUUUUGCAUAAUUUUGAAAAAAUUAUUGGUUGAACUUGUUAGUAAAAAAACAUUUUUGGUUGAUCAGCAAAAUAGAGAAAAGGUUAAUGAAUUUUUGGCAAUAAGCUCUUUAAACUAUAUGUUGAUAAAUUGGAAUCAAUCUUAAAAUUAGAAUUUAGGAAAACAGGCAUCCAUUAGAUGAACUUAGGAACACACCUGCUUUGAUUGAAAUUUAUACAUAUUAUAUAACUGAAAAAAAUAGUAAAAAUUGGGUUGAUAAAUUUGCAUGAGCAUUGUUGAUUUCAAUAUAUACAAAAUGUUUUUACUAUAGCAGUAACAGAGUGAACUAGGACACAUUGUUGUACCCAAGUUAGUCAUCGUCUCCAGCUCCGCCGAACCCUUCUGCAUCUCCACCACCCCAAUCUUGAUCCCAAGUUAGUCAUCGUCUCCAGCUCCAUCGAACCCUUCUGCAUCUCCGCCACCCCAAUCUUGAACAUCUGCUGGUCCAUCAUCGACAUUAACAUCUAUAGCCAUGUCGAAACCAAUAUCAUCAUUAGGGACUUCCUGCAGUUCUGGCACGGUCUUCUUAAUCUCCAUAGAUGCAAUGUUUGCG
rnacentral:lncRNA from 1 species